rnacentral:lncRNA from 1 species
UAUUGGCCCAAUUUUAACUAAACUCAGAUUAUUCACUCAGCCUAUAUAUAAUUAAAAUAUAUUAUAUUUAUAUAUUUUUUAAUAUAUAUAUAUAUAUAUAGUGUAGAACUACUAUGCUAUCGAAAAUAUAGAGGAUUUGAUGUUUUCGAAUUUUUGACCUUUGAUUAAGAAUUGUAUGGUUGGGAUGAUUGCGGUCCCCCCUAGGAUUAAAUAAUAUCCCUAGGAUUGAGUGGUCCCUACAAAAUAAUAAUAGUAUUAAUUCAAAGAAAUGAUUAAAGGGGUUGAUCUAAGAAUAAAAAAAUCGAAAGCACCAUAUCCUUUAUACUUUCGAUAGCAUAAUAGCUAUACUAUAUAUAUAUUCGAGCUUUUCGAGCUUUUCGAGCCUAAUUCGAUCGAGCCGAGUAAUACUCAAGCUCGGCUUGAAAUAAAUUUCGAGCCUUUUUUUUUGUUCAAGCUCGGCUUAUUUAAUUUCGAGUCGAGUUCGAGCGAGCCAAAUAUCGAGUCGAACACGAGUCGAACGCGAGCCGGCUCGCUCAUUUGCCAGCCCUACAAGGGAGUAAAGCAUUAUGUCAUCAUGCUCUAUGAUCAACAACAAUAGUAGUAGUAAAGAGCUGGGUACCACAACAAUAAUCAAAACUGACGACCUCUCUGGCCAAUAUUAAACACCACCACUGCUACUAGUCCAUAAGGUUAUUAUGCGUUGUCAAGAUUCAAUUUGGCUGGUUCUAGGGCAACAAACGACUACAACAUGUAUAAGAAACUAAGCAUGCUAUUCUCAACGUCUACACUGAGCAAGUUAUGAACAUCAUAUGCAUAAUACAAGCAAAAGCACUAAGGGAGAAUGAACCAUCAAUAUUUUAGAAGUAGGGUUGGGAAGAAUGAACCACGUCAAUGGGGUACCGCUGUAGCCAUUGCGUAUUGUGCACCCACGUAGAAUAGUCCACUCAAUGAUUACGAUGUGUUUUCGACUCUUCAAUUUUCGUUCGGGAUAAGACUCUAGAACGUGAUCCCUAACAAGAUAACCCAUAGAAACCCAUUGCCAAAGUUUUUGGAUUGUCAAGUUCCAAAACCUGAUGUUGGCAUUUCGGAACCAUCCUCAGGUUUCAGAACCCAUGGUUAGGUUCUGCAGAACCAGAACCUUGCGCCCGUUCCAGUGGGCUAGUUCCAAAACCCAAUGCCCCAGUUCUGAAACCAGGUCUCCCCGGUUGCAUUCUAGCAGCAACAAUUUCACAAGUUUUGUGAAAUCGCAACGUCUAUUCAACUAGAAUCAACUCCAAAUCAUUCAAAACUCUUGGAGGGCUCCCUAGCAUAUAAAUAAAAACAUGGGGAAGCUAGGACUCAAGGCACUUUUCUAGGGUUUCAAGGCUAGAAACCUACAUCUAAGAUUUUCCGUGAAAUCCCUCAAGAGACUUCUACUACUUUUGUGUUGAAGCUCAUCCAAUGGGAGUUCAUAACAAGAAUAUUUUCAAACCCCUAUACGACAACAAUGCACCCAUAAAACCAAGUCGUAAAGCCCUUUUGAGUUUCCAAAAAAACUCAAUCUAGGAAAAACCAUCAACAAGGAUCCCCCAACAAAACUAAAGAUCCCUUAGUAACUCACCUAAACCUUAAAGUUCUUUAGACAAUGGAGCUCAAGAGGUUGUGUUCACCUUGUCCAAGCCCCCAAAAGCUCGAGCUACAAGUGGGAAUCCUUGAGAAAGAGGAGGAAGGAGGUAGGGUGCAAGGGAGUGAGAGGGGGGAGGAUAAGGAGAGGAGAGUUCUCUUGAGGGAAAGAAAAUAAGAGGGGGAAAAAAGCUAGGGUUAGCUUUUUUGAGCUAUUUAUAAGGGGUACGCAAUUGCAUUUUAGUCCCUGAAUAAUUCGGGUUUCAUUUUUUUCCCAACUCAACCCACACAGAGGGGGAAAAUAUUGCUAGUUGUUGCUUAUUCCCUACACUUGCAAGUCUAGAAGAAAUUGGAUAAAGUGAUGUUCCCGAGCUAGGACAUCGAAGAAGCUCCUUCCCUGUUUCCUUGUCCUUCACAGAGAAACCAGUAGAGUCAAAUUCAAAAAGAGAAUUAUUAUCUUGACAGAAUUUACGCACUGAAAGUAAAUUUCUCUUAAUAGUAGGAACAACAAGAACAUUUUUGAGAGCAAAAGAGUUAGAAGAUGUAUUCAAUUGAGUUUCACCUGUCUGAGUAAUAUCAAGUAAAUUUCCAUUACCAACAAGAAUUUUUUUAUGCCUACUAUAAGGUUUAGAAGAUGAGAGAAUACCAGAGUUUGCGGUUAUAUGAUUUGAUGCUCCGGUAUCCGGAUACCAGACUUCCUCACUGGGUUCGUGAAGGUUCAUAGCAGCAAAGGUCUGAGGAACUUCAUCAGCAGCGAAAGAAUGAUUGAAGCGUUGUCUGCACUGAAGAGCAGAAUGAUUGAACUUUCCACAUAUCUGACAUUGUAUGCCGGACUUCGGAAUAUAUGGUUGUUGAUUUGGAGUGUAAGAUUGUUGAGGAUAAUUAGGUUGAGACUGUGGGUAGAUUUCAGGAGAUCCACGACCAGAAUAGUGUCUACCACGUUGUCCUCGGCCUCCACGAUAUCUACCUCCACGGCCUCCACGAUUACCACGUCCACGAUUGGCAUAAAGAGCUUCACUGUCAAUAGUGGGAAUAGCAGAGGACGUAGUCACACUAGUGCGACGCUGAACUUCUGUUUCUUCUUGCAUCAAGAGUGGACGAAGUUGUUCAAAAGUUGGCUUAUUUCUGUGUGUGUUUAGAGCACUAACAAAACCUCGAUAUUCCUCAGGUAGCCCUAGAAGAACAGUCAUGACCAAAUUAUGGUCUGACUCGAUUUCACCAAUCGCCUGAAGAGCAUUACCAAUCGUCUUGAUCUUUUGCAUGUAAUCACUCAUGCUCAUUGAGCCUUUCUUGAUGCUCCGCAAUUCAGAUUUUAGAGAAAAAGCCGUGGAAGCAGUCUUAUCAAGAAAAUAUGCCUCAAUAAUUCUCCAAGCAUCAUAUGCAGUUUUAGGUGAGCUAGAAACAACCAUAUGUAAUAUGCUAAGAGAUAAAGUGGCAUUAAUCCAUGAAAGUAUAGUAGUAUCGUUCUUUUUCCAACUCACAUAUUCAGGAUUUAUAACCUCCUUCUUAUCAGCAGUAUCGAUAGUCUGAGAAGGCACAACACUAGUUCCGUCCACAUGUUUUGUAACAUCAAAACUUUCUAGAACAUUAAGAAAGACUUGUUUCCACACAAGAUAUGUAGAAUCGGUGAGUUCUAGUGGUAUGAGAGUUUUGAUAUUAACAAUUGGCAAAUUUGAGGUAGAAGAAGACAUGUUUACUACCUUAAGAUAAGGAUCCACCACUAGAUAAGAAAGAAAGAUAAAUCGGAAUGUAGCGGAUGUGAAUAAAAAAAAAACCUGAAUUCUAUCACAUGAGAGGAACCACUUAUCACCAAAUAAGAUCGACCGCACCAAGGAAAGAACCGAGUGAUACGAGCAACCAACAGUAGGACAGUCCGAGCGGCACCAGAGGAGCAAAGAGAAAUCACAGAAAGGCUGAAAAUACUGUAGCAGAAAUACUGUAGCGCUGUUACUGUAGCGCUGUUACUGUAGCGCCAGUACUGUAGCGCUGAUACUGUAGCAGUACUGUAGCAAUAUUGGGAAGAUAGAAAACCAAAAGAAAAGACACCUAUAGAAAAAGGUGAGAUUAAUGGUGGAUGGUGGCUAUGGAUCGAUAUCCCCACAUUAGGGUUCCCGCUCUGAUACCAUGAAAGAAGGGCUAAAGUGCAUACCCUCUUGAGUUGUAUUAAUGAAUAUAUAUAGUACAAGAGAUUGUCUUACUAUAGUAACAAUGACUACUAUAGUAAGAGUAUAACUAGGAUUACAUACUAUAUAAUCCUACUCUAUAGAAGGCAAUGAUACUACUCUAUAUAAGGCAAUAAUACACAAUAUCCUAAUAUAUCGUAACAUCCUAAUAUAGAUAAAAUAUAUCGUAACAGAGUCACUUCAGUAGGUAUUGGUGAAACAUACUAUGCCACAAUUAUGUUGUGCCAGUUGACUCUACAUCAAUCAUUCCUUUAAGAAUGCUCACAUGCCUCUAUGUGUUUGUAGAUCUAACAGCCAUAAUUUGAACAAUCGGAGAUUCUAACUGAUAUUAGAAUCCUUUACUAUGAUUAUAAUUACUUUUGAAUGUCAUUUCAUAUUAGUAGUGGGUAGUAUAUGAAAUAACUCGAUCUGAAAUUUCUAACGACUUGGAACUAGAGUAAUUAUAUACUUCUUUCAGAAUUCUGGUUAACAUCACUUAAAAUUCAUUUCAGAUCCGCUAAUUUGAUAUGAUAGUGCUAUUUCCCAAUGUGCAUCUAUUUUUAAAAUACGCUGGUUUUAACUAAAAUUUGCCACCUUUUUGUAGGUGAAUACAUCUGAUCUAAGAAAUGGAGCACACGUCAGGCAAAAAUUUGGGGAGGCAGUGGGUUCACUUGGUCUGAACAGAUGGUAUGCCAUGCAGUUUUCUUUAUGUAGUUUUUAUUUUUUUCAGCUGAUAAAAUUUUUCUUAAUUUUUUCUCAGUCACAUAAUCUUCAAUUUUGUAUGCAUAAUUGCAUAUAUAAAGAUCAUUUGAUAAACUUGAUCCUUUUUAUAUUCUGAUACAAGUUAUUUAGAUUCUUUGCCUUUAUCUUGUGGAUAUUCUCCUAAUUUCAUCAUUUCAUCAGUUUGUGAACUCAUUAUAGAAGUCUCAUGUUUGACCAACCUACAAUAAUGUUCUACUUACCUUUCAAUACCCAAAACCAAGAAAAGUUUAGUGAUAGGAAGGGGAUAUGUGAUAGCUGUUAAAGACUUAAGUGCAUCAACUAAAGAUUCACUGCAUCAAUAUAUUCAACAUGGACAACAGGCGUUCUUGGCAAGAGUAGUAGAUAUUGUUUUUCUAUGUUGUUUGAAUAGAUUCCAUUUUGUCCGAGUAGGCAGUUAACUUGCACGAUCUCUUGCAACUUCACGACUACCUAUAUAUGUUGUGUUGAUGCUGUUUAUUGGGACAUGUGUAGGAUCGAAAAGAGCCUACGACAUUGAGAUUCCAAAAAGUUUUUUUCUUGAUUUUGGAAUAGGGAAAUGUCUUUGAGCAGAUGGUGAGCAAUUAAGUAAUCCUAGAUACCUAUUAGCCUUUGGUCUCUUUGAGUUAACCAGCUCUACCCAACUUGUUAAACCGGAAGAGGGAAAGAAAGAAUGAAAUUGAUCGAAGGAUGCUUCUGGAUUGAUGCAGUUAUCUGAAAAAGUCAGACUAGGUCCGUAUGCUAGUAAAGAUACAUAACAGUUGCUACUACCCUUUGAGCAUCUACGACGACUAUAUGAUCCAGCAUGACAGGUGGUGAGCUAUGCAUCAAACAAAUUGUUGUAUUAUCCCCAUAACUUACCAUGGAAAAUCAUCUUAUGCUUAUUUGGUCGUAUAAUUGGUUAGCAGAUUCAGUGAGAUAGACUGUAGCCCAGUUUGGAGAUAUAUUGAGAAAUUAAUGUCAUGUUUUUCAGUAGUACCUAAAUAGGAGUUUGUGUUGAGAACAUGAAAUAAUAGGCUUCUACAGUAGUGGAAGCAGAGUUAGUUGAAAAACAACAAACUAAGCAAAACAAGAGGUAAUAUUCUCUUUCAUUUGUUUUCUGCUAGCCAAGGAUUUAAAUUAAGUGCCGUGGCAUGGGGUCGUGCCGGAAACUUGCCGGCACGGUGCGUGCCGAGCCGUGCCGAUGCGUGCCGGUCAAAAAAAUUCUUGUGUGCUGACACAUAAUAGCAUGAAAUAUUUAUUUUUUUUAGCAAUAAAAUAUUCUAACUAUUUAUUAUGCCUUUUUAUCAUAUCUUUUGAACUUUAUUGAGGAAAUUAUUUACUAAUUUAAAGAAUAGAGGGUUUGGAAUUGUGCCAUCGGCAUGGAGUCUGUAUCGUGCCGGUAUAUUGUUGGCACGGUACGGCACGGUGGAUACGGCCCGUACCAACGGGUACUUAAAACCUUGCUACUAGCCCUUAAUCUGACCCAACUUUAGGCAAUUUUUAUGUUUAAAUCCUUCAGCUGCAUAAUACUGAUUAAACAUUUAUAGUGCUUUGACUUUGUCUACUAUUAUAAAUUAUAUUUCUUGACAAGCCAGUGCAAUUUCAUUCAGGUCAUGCGAUAAUAUCCAUUUUGCAAGAAGAAAAAAUCUUUUUGAAUCGAUUUCAAGUGCUUGUGAUUCUAGAGAAGAUAGCGAGAAUUGCUCAAGAGAAGUGGUUGUAAACAGAUGUAGUCCAGAUAAAGCUUCUUCAGAGUGCACUUGGGGUGUUAGAGAAAACAAUACUGCACCUAAAUGUGGCACAAAUAAAACAUUAAUACUCUUUGAGGAUGUUGAUACUGUUUUUGAUGAGGACCGUGGUUUUAUCUCCACCGUAGUUCAGCUAGCCGACACCACUAAAUGGCCCAUUGUGCUUACUAGUAAUAGUGAGUUUUACUACCUUGUGGUCCAACUUAUUUCAAAUUCUUAAGUUCUAAUGGUUUUUUUUUUUUAUUUGGGUGGGGUAAAAGCUUGAGUUCUGAUGCUCUAACUUGGUAUUUUAGACAAGAAUCCUAUCUUACCGCAACUUUUGGGUCGGUUAUCAUUGGAAUUUAAGCAUCCAUCAUUUGAAGAGCUACUUUCCCUCGUGGAACUGGUAAAAACAUCUACUCUCUUCAAAGUCUUUAGAAUCUUCCGUAACUUUUAACACUGUUUAGUUUCUCCUUGUGCAGAUCUGUACUUCUGAAAGAGCUAAAGUUUCUUCAUCCUUAAUGAAGCAUUUAAUCAAGUCUUGUCUAGGUGAUAUUCGGAAGACAAUCAUGCUUCUUCAAUUUUGGUCUCAAGGCAGGAGAGACUUUGUAGGUUAGUUGUUUGCAGAUGCAGUUCUUUUCCGUUGUUGGAAUUGAUUCUUUACGAACCUCAGUACUCCUUUGAGCAAUGAACCUUUUCCUUUGUUUCAAUUUAGUCCAUUGUGUUUGUUGUGUAUGCGAAAGGUCCUCACAAGCAGACCAAAGGAAGAGAACACGGAUCAGCCAAUCACCUAUUUCUAUGACUGCCUAUCUAUCCUGCAAAACCAAAAUCACCAAAUAUUCAUCAUAGAGAAUCUCCAAAUUGCUUGAAUGGUUGCAAUAGCUAGUUUUGCAUGACAUUCGUGUAGCUUAUGUCCAUUGUUUUUCUUUUAUAUUCUUUGUUACUACAUGUCUUUCUCAUUUACUUUAGGAGUGCUUGCCCUAGUUUUUGAAAAGUGAUUUCUAGAAAAUUAAUUUUGAUUUGAAGAAUUGAUUUUGGUUAAAAUCUGUAGUAGAGCGUUUGGCUGAGUCUAGCAGGAAAGUGAUUUUUCUAAACUGAUCUUAUAAAAUUGUUGGCAAAAUUUUUUCUAUUUGAAAAUAAUAAAUAUAAAUUUAAAAUUUUAAAUUUUGAAUUAAAAAUUUGAUAUUUGAGUUUAAAACUUAAAUUUGUAAUUUUUAAAAUUUAAAAUUUUCAAACUUAAAGUUUAAAAGUUAAUAUUUGAUUUUCAAUUUAAAUAAAAAUUUUAAAUCUUAAAUUUAAAUUUAAAAUUUUAAAAUAAAUAAUUAUUGAUUUUGAGCCACUUCGAUUACUAGGCAAAUGAUUUCGAAAAAUCGCAAAAUUUAUUUUCUAGAUACUUCAAAUACUGUAGAUCAAGUCUAACGGUGCCGAUCGUUGAUUUGAAAGUCCGAACAUUGAAAACAAAGUGGAAGCACAGAGCCCUCUGUGCUUCCAUAAGCAUCCUAGCCGUGCUCUUGAAAUUUAAAAUUUACAAUUUUGGAAUGUGAAAUUUGAAAAUGGAAGAUUGAAAAUUAAAAAUUGAAAUUUGAAAAUAAAAAACUUAAAAUUUCAAAUUAAGAAUUAAAAAUUAAAGAUUAAAAAUAAAAAUUUUAAAUUACAAAUUUUAAAAUUUUAAAUUUGAAAAUUGUAAAUUGAAAGUUGAAAUUUCAAAAUUUCAAUUUAAUCUAAAAUUUUAAAUUUUAAAUUUGAGAUUUAAAAUUAAAAUUUAAUAUCUAAAUUUAAAAUUUUGAAAUUUAAAAUUUAACUUUAAUUCUUAAAAUUUGAAAUUUAAAAAACUUAAAACUGAAAAUUUAAAAUUCAAAAUUCAAAAUUUAAAAUUUGAAAUUUAAAAUUUAAAAUGUAAUAGUAAUAUUGAAAAUUUUGAAUAUGAAUUAAAUUUGAAUUUGAAUCCAAAAUUUAAUUUUAAAAUCCAAAAUCAGAAUCCGAUUUCAAAAGGUAGUUUUUAACUAUUAAUUUUUGGCCUCUAAAAUCAAAAAACUAAUUCUAAAAAUCGGAAUUAGAUUUUAAAAAUAGGAUUGCCGAACGCUCUUUUUUAAGAAAAUUACUUUUUGCUCCAAAAAUCACUUCCUAGAAGCUAGGCUAAACAACCCCUUAAUCAUUUUGCCUUUAAACAAUGAUGGUGAUCAUUCCACAUUUUUGCCUUUCCUUUGCAGAUAAGAAAAUCAAAUGCACUUGCAGCCCCCUUCCAUUUGAUAUUGAUGCAGCACAUUCAGUAAUGCCAAGAAUACUUCCAUGGGAGUUUCCAUGUGAACUAGCAGGAAAGUUAUACGAGGAGAUAAAUCUGACUAUUGAUAUGUUAGAAGACUAUUUGCAGGGCGUAGAAGCACCAAUCAAUGCAAAGCUAAAUUUUGAAGAGAUGAAAGAUUUUUUCAGUAUGGGAAAGAAUGCAUGUAAAAGUAAAAAGACUAUGAAGAAACCUAAGCUAAAGGCGCAUCACACAGUUGAUUGCUCUGAAGUUCCAGCUCAUGAGAAUGAUCUCGAUGACUUCUCCGAUGCUUCAGAUUCCCCUGUGCCGAAUGUUCAAGGAAGAGUGACAAGUAAUCGUUUUAUGGUAUUGUCAUCCCAAUCAGAUGACGACCUAUAUGAUGAGCAUCUGCCCGAAGAUAACAAAUUAUGCAAUUAUUUAUUGCACGAUACAUCAGUCGCAACUAAUUUACACGGCCAAGAAGCUUCAAGUCUCUUGGAACUACCUGCUGAUUUAUCUUAUCAAUUUAGAAAGGACAAUUAUGUUCAAACUCUAUUUGAAGGCAAUAGAACAAUUUCUACUUCAUGUGUUUAUGAUUCAUUCAAGAUGCAGGAUGUGUCAUUUGUUCCAGAGUCCUCAGUAUCUGGGGCUGAAACAAUUAAAAAUGACGAAUUCCUAUCAACAGCAGUAUCUCCUGACAAUCUGAAUGGCCUCAUGUUUAAAUCAAAUGAAUAUUUAGAAACUCUUGUUGGUGUUGCUCGUGAGGCUGAUGUAGAAUCAGUCGUUCAGGAAAAUUUGGAGCUGUGGAAUAGUCAGAAUGAAGAUGAAGCUACAACUGUUGGUUACCAUCUGAUGGAUGAGUGUAGCCGUCCUGAGACCAUGUGGCUGGUUUCUGGUAGUAGUAAAUGCUCUCCCAAAAUCAUAUCCGUUCAGGAUACUUGGAAUAAAUUACGUGGUCAACGUGACCUUCGUUCACACCUCAACCACCAUAAAGCGGCUUCUGAAGCAGUAAAUCUUGCUAGUGGAAUUACUGGUCUAAUUUCUGAAACUGAUAUUAUGUUCACUAGUUGCAAGCCACUUGUCAAUGUAAGCUGUUUUGGGUUUUUAGAUAGUCUGAAAAAUAACUUUUUUUGAAGGGAUAAUUGCCUAUAUACCCCUUAAAACUUCGGAAAUAUCUUAUUUACCCCUAUUUUUUUUUUCAAUAUACCCCUCAUAUGUUCCUCCGUUAUUCCAAAAUACCCCUGCAGUUAUCACCCGUUAAGUUAACUUGGGUUAAACGUGAGUUAAAUAUCUACCGCAGUUAAAAAAAAUGAAAAUGCCACUUUUGUCCUUAACUUAAGGGCAAAUAAAAAAUGUUGGUGAUGGUAGAAGGGUUAUAUUUGAAAAGACCAAAAAGCAAAAUACCUUUUGUAUCCCUAACUUAAGGGCAAAUAAGAAAAAUCGGUGAUGGUAGAAGGGUAUAUUUGAAAGGGCAAAAUAGUAAUUUCAUAGAAAUAACAGAGUUUAUUAACAGAUUUUAACUCUAGGGGUAUAUUAGAAAUAGGUUGGAACGUAAAAAGGGUAUUUUUAAUAUUAGCCUUCUAAGAGGGGUAAAUCAGAAAGUCAGGAACUUUUCAGGAGUAUAUAAGCAAUUGCCGCUUUUUCGAAAUAUGUGUAAGCUGUUUAGGUUUUUUGAUAGUCUGAAAAUUAACUUUUUUCCUUACAUAUUUCACAUUCAUGUGGAAUUCUACUGUUAAUUUUGCAGGAUGUUUUGGAGCCGUCAUUGACCCGGGGGGAGGAACCAGAUUCUUUCUCCUGGUAUUUUGACCAGUUCGAGAUUGGAUCUGCAUACGCUCAGCAUGGCUUUUGCUUUUACACUAAUGCAUGUGUUAAUGCAGGCCCAGAUUUGAGUAUAAAUUCAACUGAUCUUUCACAGGAAAUGCUAGCUUCCAGCAUUAGUGCUAUGGCUCUUGGAAAACUUUUGGCUAUGGAAAUUACUGAUAGUGAAGCAUUAUAUAAUAGAAGCUUGCAUAUGAAUGAGCCCAAAUUUUCCCCUUCUCAAAAGAGGUAUGGAAUGUCUGGACAAUUAAACUGCUUCUGAAAGUUUAUUUUAGCUGCAUAAUAAGAACAGUACUCAUAGUGGCGCCUCAUCGUCUCGCUGGUUGUUCUACUCAUGUUACUUUGUAUCAUUCAUGCUUUAGUUAUCUUGCUCACUUAUUAGCAUGAUUUAUUCUUGCGGGUGAUAAUUAAAUAAUCAAUAUUUAGUAAAAGCUUGCAAAUGUGUGGGAUUUUCCCUCAAUAGUUAAUUUAGUGCAAGUGAUUGAAGAAUUUAAUUAUUUAAACUGCAUGGAUUAAGUUAUUACAUCUGUUGUGAUCCCUGAAGAACAACAGUCCUAAAUAAUACUAACAUUACGACAAACAAGGAUGUCAAGGCUGCUAGGUCUGAGGCCAGGGACUCUUCAAACACCUUGGAUACCUAGGCAUUUAGUAGGCCCGGUCAAGUCUUAAAGUACGUGUAAUUAUAACUUUCUUUUCUAGAUUGAAAAUGGAAAGUAGUUUUAAUACAUGUAACUUCCUAAGUUGAGAAGGCUGUACUUAGAGGAAAGGAAAUGGAGAGGCCAGCCGCUGGUCUUUAGAAUUGUAUAAAGUAAGAAAGUAAAUGAAGAAAUUGGGGGGAUAGGGAUUUCAGGGUCAUUGAAGCCACCCAUUGAUGGUUGAGGAUGGAAAAGAUCAUUUCAUGAUUCUAGAAGAAAAAACAUUUGCAACUAAUAGGGAAGUGGUGAGGUCAUUUCGCAAUCCUGAUGAGAGCAUAGCUCUGAUAAUUAGUGGGGUAAAAUUUGUUAUAUCUUUUAUAUCCAUCUGUUCCUGUGGAAUUGGAGAUUCUACUAUCAUGAGCAUGGUUUGAAGUUUCCGUGCAAACACCAGAACGAAAACUGAGAUGUUUCAAUUUCAAUGGUGCUGUUUCAAAACUAAGGUUUCAAUCAAUCUGCCCACUUUGGUUUCGGUUAUAGUGGGUGGAAAGAUGGACUUGUUUAGGGCUGGCAAAUGAGCGAGCCGGCUCGCGUUCGACUCGCGUUCGACUCGAUAUUUGGCUCGCUCGAGCUCGACUCGAAAUUAAAUGAGCCGAGUUUGAACAAAAAAAAAAGCUCGAAAUUCAUUUCAAGCCGAGCUUGAGUAUUACUCGGCUCGUUCGAAUUAGGCUCGAAAAGCUCGAAAAGUUCGAAUAUAUAUAUAUAUAGUAAAGUUACUAUACUAUCGAAAGUAUAGAGAUCUGGUGCUUUCGAUUUUUUGAUUCUUAGAUCAAUCCCUUUAAUCAUUUCUUAUCUUUCGAUUAAUAUUAUUAUUAUCUUGUAGGGACCACUCAAUCCUAAGAGUAUUAUUUAAUUCUAGGGGAGACCGCAAUCAUCCCAACCAUACAAUUUUUAAUCAAAGGGUCAAAAAUUCAAAAACAUCAAAUCCUCUAUAUUUUCGAUAGUAUAGUAGUUCUACACUAUAUAUAUAUAUUAAAAAAUAUAUAAAUAUAAUAUAUUUUAAUUAUAUAUAGGCUGAGUGAAUAAUCUGAGUUUAGUUAAAAUUAGGCCAAUAUUGUUGGCCCAUAAAAACAAACCCAAUAGACAAAUAAAAGAGCAAAAUUUUACUAAAUUUAUAUAUUUUUUCUUUCUUUCUUUCUUUCUUUCACAGAGCUCUAAAUUUUCAAUAUGUUUCUCUCUUUCUCUUUUUCUGUCUCUCACCCUAAGUGGCCAAGCCGGAAGCCCUCUAAGUUACCAAGUAACAGCAUAUGCCUGCCGUUGCCUACCUUGCUAUUAAUUGUAUGCUUGAGAAAAUAUACAGAAUAUUUUUAAAGUAAAAAAUUAUUAUUCAUAUAAAAUUUUAAUUUUAGUUAUAUAUGAUUGGAUAGUUUAAUCCAAUAUUUAUCUAUAUAAUUUAUUUAUUUUUGACUGCAUAAAUGAAAAUGAAUAAUAUAGAGAUUGAAGGCGGAAGAAAAGACAUGUGAGGCUGAAAAAAUUAGAUAUUCAACUCAUAAAUUAUUUUUUUUCAUAUUAUAAUACUAUAUUUCAUAUAAUUAUUUUGUACUUUGAACUAUUAGACAUAUUUUUGUAUCAAAUUAUAGAUAAUGUUCUAUACAAAUUAAACUAUUGAUCGUAUAAUGUUGAGAAUUUCAAGCGGCUCGUUUCGGGCUCGAGCUCGCUCGACUUGAAAUUAGGCUCGCUCGAGCUCGGCUCGAAUUAAUUUCAAUCCAAGCUUGAGCUUAAAUUUAGGCUCGAAAUUAAUUUCAAGCCGAAUUUGAGCCGAGGUAAGCUCGCUCGAGCUCGGCUCGUUUCCACCCCUAGACUUGGUUUAGAAAUAAAUCCAAAUUGACUUUAAUUAGCCAAGAUCUGAUUACAUUAAAUUGAGUAUCUUUCAUGGUACUUUAUUUGAUGGGUUUUAUCUGUAUAAUAUAUGGCAAUGUGAAGUUUAACUUUGCUUAUAAAGUUAUGUUAUGAACAAGGAUUUAAGUGCCGUGGCACGAGGUCGUGCCGAAAACUUGCUGGCACAGUACGGCACGGUGUGUGUCGCGUCGUGUUCAUGAGUGCCGGUCACAAAAAAUAUAUGUGUCGACACGUAAUGACAUGAAUUAUUUAUUUUCUUUAGCAACAAAAUAUGCCAAUUAUUUAUUAUGUAUUUUAUCAAAUCUUUUGAACUUUAUUGAAAAAAUUAUUUACUAAUUUCAAGAAUAGAGGGUUUUGAGUUGUGCCAUUGGCAAGGAUCGAAGUGUUGCCCCGUGUCGUACGGCACGAGGUAGCAUGUACCGUGCUCCCAAGAAGGGGGCACGGUAUAGGUGGGGUGUCACGUCCCGGGACCGAUAUCAAUUUGGGCCGGCCCGAGCACGUCAAACAGACGCCGAACGGACAAAGUUUUCCCUGUCCGCCCAAGGCUCAUUACAUGUACAUUUUCAAACAAGAAGUGCACUAGCGGAAACAUACAAAUACGGCUUACACGAGGGUAAGCAAUAGCCAUGAGUGAAAGAAAGGAAACUAAACAUUCACUUGUACUAUGAUUCGAUUUAGAUCAUAUACAUUAAGUCCAACUUGUACAUUUUCAAAUUCCUUACAUUUCAUUACAUCAUUUCUUUCUUACAUCACAUUUACCUCGAAAGAGAGCUUUACUUCUUUUCUUUACAUCAUUAAUCAUCAAAUACAAAAGAUGAUAAAAGGGUAACUACUAUCAAAAUACAAGCCCGACUGGGGUGGCCUCUGACUAAGGUGCGAUACCUUUACCUCGGUCGCUCGCCGGCUCGCUCGGUCCCGGCUCUGUGGAAUAGUGGGGUGAGAACUACAACGAAGUUCCCAGUGGGUUCGGCUUCAAUCUCACCGACUUUCCCACUAGGACUAACUCAGGUAUAAUAGAAAGGAAAAGCAACAUAUAGUAACCAAUCUAUAAUAUGAUGCUAAUAUGCUUGAACAAUAAGCAGGAAUAUGCUCAACAUUAACAUAUGCAGAUUAUGCAAGUUCUUUUGUUCUUCACACUUUACACUUUGUCUUUGUUCUUUGUUCUUUGCUCUUUGCUCUUUGUUCUUUAAUCUCAAGGCUAACCCGGGGGUUUCGCCACAUUAACUUGCUUCACAUUAAGUCCAUCAUCGCGGGCCCUCAGCUUCCUCCCGCUAAGACCGUUCUUCGGGUUUAUUCCAACCCGUGAUGCAAAAACUCCGGAGCGCAUCGCCCGAGGGGGAGCGACCACGCUCGAGCACGGAACUCAUAGCAAGUAUGAUCGAAUCCUUAACUCAAAGGAUUGUAUGUUCAAUCUUGACUUUAUACUAACUCUAGUGUUCUUUAUAUCACUUUAUGUUGCUACUCUAGCAAUCAUUGUUCUUUACCUUUCUUUACUUUUGCUAACUCUAGCAAUCAUGUUCUUUACGCCCCACUUUGUUUUCACUUUAGUCAUUAUCAUUAUUCUUUACAUCACAUUGAUUCUUUGCCUCACACUACCUCUAGUGUCACUUUACUUUACGUCAUCAAAUGCCACUCGAUCUGUGUCUCAUUGUGUCACUCUGUUCUUUCGCCUCACUUUAGUUCACUUUGGUACUCACAUUUUUUCUCAUGCAUACAUAUAUAGCGUUUUUGACAUUCAUAAGGUUCUUAACCAUCACAUUAUGCAAGUUGUACUCACAAUCAUGCAACAUCACAUUUUUAUCAUUGCUUUACCCUAAAUGCAUGCAACAAUGUAUAUACAUAUGCUCAAUUGAAUGACACAUUAGGCAUAGAGGGAAGUUCAACGAGUUUGAAAAGCACCACCUACCUCGUAGGCUUUUAAAGGUGCUCCGAUGAUUUCCUUGGGAUUUUUAGACCCUCCGUUCUUUACCUGCGGCAAAACGAAGCCCUAUUAGGCCAUUUUGCUCAUAUCUUUACAUUUGCUUUUCGUAUACUCAAACCGAGCGCACCAACGCGUUUAUUUAGUCCCCAAUUAGAUUCUAGAGGGUCAAUUUCACUUAGAAAUUUUCAUGAGCAAAAGCCCCAAUUUGGGUGCCCUAGCUCCAUUGUAUACAUCAAACCUAGGGUUUGAUCUCAUUGGGAAGCAAAAGAGGCUUCAUUACACUCUAAAGAGUCCAUCUAAACCAUUUUUAGCUUUAUUAAAACCCUAGUUUGGGUUUCACCAUGAGAGGUGGUUGAAGCUCACCUCUAAGUUUCACUAUACACACCAUUUCCAUGGUUUGAUCUCCAAAAGAAACAAGAAAAAGCUUCAAAUACCCAAAGGACUCUAUCAAAACCAUUUCUAGGGAUUCUAUCACAAUAGGGAUCAAAGCUUACCUCAAAGCUUUCCUUCCUUGGCUUCAAUGAGGAAGAAGAUGGAGUUACUCCACUCCCUUGGCUUCUUUUUCACCUUCUUCUUCUUUUUUCUUCUCCUUUCUCCUUGUCUUUUUCCUCUCCUUCUUGCCUUCUAGAGAGAGAAAGAGAGAUGAGAGUGUGAGAGGGUGAGAAUGAGAGACACCUCAUUUCCCCUCAUACAUAGCUCAAUGGGUUGCAAAAAUGCAGUUAAACCCCUCAACUUUUACUCUUUCACACUGCCUGGACUGGGCAGUUUUCGCAUGCGGGGACCGGUCUCCCCGACCAGGGACCGGUUCCCGUAGGUCCUCCCCGCGGCUGUAGGGCUCCACGCAUGAGGCGAUCGGUCUCUCUUUGGGGGACCGGUCUCCGGGGGACCGGUCUCUCAGGCAGGGACCGGUUCCCGAAGCCUGCCUUCCCAGGACUUAGCCAAUUUUCAGCUUUCCUCUGUUUUCACGUGUACGGGGAUCGGUCUUUCCUUCAGGGACCGGUCCCCGAGAGCACAAAACCUGCAAAAUGCAGAUUUUGAAUCUUUAAGCUCUCGACGACCUCCAACAAUGCACUUUUGCUCAUUUUAACGCCUUCGGACCUUCCGAAGUGUACCAUCCUCGCACUUUGGUCAAUUUGACUAAAGUUCGAUAUUUAUUUUUCGAAUUCUCGGUAUAUUACAUGGGUCUCAGACGCCAGCUUUCCGGCGCCGCCGCCGGUGCCGCAGCACACUGCGUGCCUCUCACUCGCAGUGUGCCGCGGCUAGUUUUUUUUGGUGGUGUUUUGCUUUUUUUUUUUUUGCUUUCUUGCUUUUUUUUUCUUUUUGUUUUGUUCUUUGGGGUACUCGAAGCAUUCUGGGUACCCCACACCCCCCUAAAGACAUUGCAAAUCGAAAAUCUACUUGUUAGGCAAGUCAAAAAAAUUAUAUUUUAAUUUUUUUGUUUAUCAAUAUACGGGCAAAAUUUUAAUUUAUAUAUCUGAUCCAUACCACAGGGCCUCUCGGAUGUCUGUGGUGGAGGCGGAGCGGUGGGCUGCCUUCCACCACAGACAUUAAUUUUUUCUUUACAAAUUAUUUUGUCAAAAUUCGUCAUACCGCGAAACUUUUGCCGAAUUAGGGGAACAAAAUUGAACUCAAUAAACAAAUUUUGAAGCACAUCAAAUAUAAAAUUUUAUUUUUGCGUUAGAAUAAUACUUAAAUUUAUUUAAUUUAUUUGUCAUAUAAUUUAUUGCUUAAUUUUUGAUAGAUCUACUAAUUUUUUGAAAAAAUUAAUUAAAAAAUAAAUUUUCAAAUACUUUUUAAAAUACUUUUUUCAAAUUAUUUUUAAAAUGAUUUUAAAAAUAUUUUUUUGUAUUUUAUAAAAAAAAAGACUAUAAUAUGGUCAAAAGAAAGAAAAAAAAAAGGUGUCUUUGCAUUUUAAAAAUUCUAACCUGUAAAAAUUUCUAUUCUGCAUCAGGUAUAGUUGUACUUUACAUAUAAAAAAGCGUACAAGUAUGUUAAUUGAUGAGUAUAGUAAGCUAUACAUAGCAAAUAUUCAUAAUUAUUUGCUUAAAUCUUUCAAAAUAACAUUAUAAGAGGUUAUUGGAACAAAAAGAUUGAAAUAAGUCUGUGCCAAAACGUGCCAGUAGGAGGUCAUGCGUAUCCAUCGGCACGCAAUAUCAUGUGUCGGCACGGAAGCGUGCCGGUGCCGUACCGUGCUAGGUAGACAGCGGCACGCCCAGGUUAUAUCGUGCCGAUAUCUUGCUGGCACGAUAUGGCACAGUGGAUACAAUCCGUGCCGAUGGGUACUUUAAUCCUUGGUUAUGGAACCCUACUUUAACAAAAUCAAAAUGUUGUGAAAUUAUGUAUUAUGAAGACUAUUCUAGUUGUCUGUAUUUUAGUUAUUCUUUUUGAAAAGUGUGAAGACCUUUUAAUAAAUAUCUGAAACCAAGAUCCAACUGCCCAGUAAUAUCGAAUGUCUCAUAUUGGCAUACAACACAAAUAGAUAUGGAAACUAAGUUUUCAAAUGAUGAUCGUACGUAACAUGGAUGCAUAUAUAGAUGAUGCAACAAAUAAAACUUUUUAAUUUUUGAAUGCAAUUUCUUUUAUUUUGUAAGUUGUGUUUGAUUCGGACUUAAAUCAUUUAGUUUUAGUUGGUUUGUUUUACCCAUCCCCUUUUUUCCAAUAAACAUAGAAAAAAAUCCAAUAUAAAAUAAUGCAUUGGGGCUAAUUAAGUAGUGGAAGCUAUAAAGGGCUGAGAGGUAGUACGGCCAAAGAAAAAAAAGGCUGCCGUACAAGAGAAAAAGAGAGAGCUAAUAGCCACAUGAAGGGUUGUCUUUUAGGUUUAUAAAAGACGAGAGAAGGGUAGAAAAGAUUCAGAAAGAGGGCUUGGGUUGUAGAUACUCUAUUGCAGAAGAGGAGUCAGGUGUAAGAUUCUCUUAUUUAAUGAAUCUUAUUUUAUUCGCAUAUUUUCUAUUUUGGUUUUUCUCUCUUUUGUGAUUGUAUUAGCUUUUGUUGAGGAUAUGGGUUUAUGGUAAAAACCCGAUUCGACGCUUCCGUUGCGGAAUCCCAACGAUCGGUACCGGAUCCACAGCAGUCAGUAUCGGAGCAGGUUACGGAUUCUCAAAAUCCGGUACCGGGGCGAGUACCGGAUUCCCAACAAUUGCUCAGACCUUUCGACUUCCUAAAAACGCCUCGUUUUCUAUGCAUGACUGUCGGGUGAUCGUGUUGUGUUGAAGACAAAAGGUUUAGAAUUUGUUAGAGGAUAGGCUCUUAACACUAUAAAUACUAGUCUCUUGAUGCUUUGAGGGAAGAUUUGAUGAAUAGAAAUUUCUACUGUUCUUCUUUAUCCUUGUCGUGGUGUUCUUCUUCCCGGUGUGAUCUUCGAUGCUUCUUCCUUGUGCCGAGAUUGUCUUUUUCCUCAACUUGAUCGUUGUCGCUUCUUUCUUGUGGCAAGCCCGGCUUCUGCUCCUACCCCUUUUCUUCUAGGUCCCUGCCUACUCUUCUUCCUCGUUGCUGAAGUUCUAUCCGUGGGGUGCCCCCCUCAUCGAGAUCCCUUGCAAUCGCGUGAUCGGUGCACUUCUUGUAUCUUAUCUUUUCCUUCAUCUUUUGAUCUCUUAUUAUUCUUUUCAAUGUAGCCUUCCAUCAUUAUCAACCAUCUUUGCCAAAGCAACCAAAUCUAAAAGCUUUAAGUUCGAUAAAACUGAAUUUAUCAUUUUGAAACUUCUACAUGUAUUUUUAGCUGGUUAUUAUCUUGAAGGUUUAUCACCAUAUUAGGAUUGCUUCAAUUUGAUUUUAAUUUUUGCGUCUUGCUGAAAUUUUUGCUUCCUUGCUUUAAGUUUAGUAAUUUUCACCAGAAUCAAUAAAUUGAACCUAGUUUAUUUCAAGAAAUAUCUUCAAAUAAAACAAAGUUGAAAGUUCAGGUUUAGCAACCCCCCGGUUUGCAUCGAUUGGUAUCAGAGCAAGUUCUUUUUGUGGGAAUGUUUGUUUUUAUCUAAAUAAUUUUCUUUGGUGCUAAAGUUUGUCUUUCUUGUUCUUUUUUUGGGCCGAAAAAAAAAGAUCAUCAUUUCAUUUAUCAAUUUGGAAGCAUUUGGUAAUGGCAGGCAAUAGUGAAAUCCUCAUGAUUCAAGAGAAGCAUAUAAGAAACAAUAAGAUUCCCUGAGAAACAUAGAAAAUCAAAUGAAUAACAUUCAACAACUAUUGGAAAGGUUAACUAAUGCAACAACAAAAUGCGGUAGGAGAAGAUUCGGAGAGUGACAUUGAUUUUGACAAUCGAAAUUUACUUGCUGGAAGAAAUCUUUUUUGCAAAAUCAAGGGAAUGUGCUUCGAUGCUAUAAGGGUAUUAAAGUAGACAUAAGUGAGUUCAAGGGUAAAUUUUACAAUCUGAAGAAUUUGUGGAUUUGCUAGACAAAAUAGAACAUAUUUUUGAAUGGAAAGAACUACACGAUGACAAAAUUGAAAGUCAUGCCUUAGUGUGGUGGAAACAAAUUCAAAACGAUAGGGGUAGAAAAGGUAAGUAAAAGAUUACCUCGUGGGAAAGAAUGAAAGAAAAACUUUGAAAGAAAAUUUUUAUUGAUUGAUUACCAUCAAGCUAUUUUUCAAAAAUUUCACAAUCUUAAGCAAGGCUCUAUAGUCGGCACAAGAAUAUACUAAAGAAUUUUACACCCCUUAAUAAAAAACAACGGAUAGCUCGCUAUCUAGCCGAUCUUCGAAUCCAAAUCCAAGUCGAGUUAGCUCUUUUAACUUUCUAUAGGGUCAACAUGGUCUAUAGUCAUGCAUUUAAGGCUGAGAAUAAAUUUAAAGGACAAACCUUUCGUCAGGGAUGUGAUACCCCAAUAGUCCCACAUCGGGUAAGAAUGAGAUUGUCAUUGGGUAUUUGGAUAUAUUAGAGAACUCCAACCUAGUAAUAAUAAUUGAGCUUAAGCAUUUUGGGUUGGUGGUUUGGGCUCAACGAGUUAUUAUUGCUAGUGGGCCGAGUUGUUACAUUUGGUAUCAGAGCCGGUUCACCAGCCGGAAAUCUGAGAUAAGUCUUGGCCGAGUCAGGGUCGGAAUGACAGACUAAGUCAGGGUCGGUAAAUAACAGGCUAAGUCAGGGUCGGAAUGAAAAGGCUAGCGAGACAAGUCUCACAUCGCCUGGUGAUCGUGGGUUGUGUGUGUUUAGGGCUGACGAGGACGUCAGGGCCUAAAUGGGGGGAGUCUGUGACACUCCAAAAGUCCCACAUCGGGUGGGAAUGGGGUUGUCAUUGAGUAAAUUAGAGAACUCCACCCUAGUAAUAAUACUUGGGCUUAAGCAUUUUGGGCCGGUGGUUUGAGCUCAACGAGUUAUUAUUGCUAGUAGGCGGGGUCGUUACAAGAGAAGUGCGAGUGUAAAGAACACCAUGGGAACCUAGCCUAUCCCGAAGAAUGAGAGUCAAACCUCUUCAAAACCUAUUCAAGACCUUAAGAGCAAAGGAAUUUCAGGUGCUAAACUCGUUGUUUCAAGCAUCAUUUGUUAUAAAUGUAACAAAUGAGGACAAAUCCUUUGAUUGUCCUUGAGAAAAUUUGAUCUGGAGCUACUGGAGCUAAUGUAAUAGAAAAUCAACAAGAGACUGAAAAUGGAAAGAAACUGUAGAACAAGAAGAUGUAGAUGAUAUUCCUGAAGAAUCUCUUGAUGCGACUGAAACAAAGCUCAUGAUCCAUCAAGUCCUAUCGGCCUAAGUCCAGCCAAGAUGAUUGGAAGCGUCGCAGCCUAUUUAGAACCAUCUGUAGCGCGGGGGGUAAGAUUUGCUCUCUUUUCAUUGUUAGUGAGAGUAUUGAAAACUUUAUCUCUAGAGAAAUGGUUGAUAAACCCAAACUGAAAACUAAAAAACUUGCUCAAACCUACAAAAUAGCGUGGAUUAAGGAUGGGGCUGAGUUUCUAUUGGGAAGACUUAAUACUGUUAAGGUUUGGUGGGAUGUUGUUCCCAUGGAUGUGAAUCACCUAUUGUUAGUUAGACCUUGGGAAUUUGAUCGUAGCACUAUACAUGAUGGUAGGGAGAACACUUACAUAGUCACAAGGGACAAUAAGAAAGUUAGAUUGGUUCCCCUAAAUUACAUACCCAAACCAAAGACUAAAUCGGAAAAGUCCCAAAAGCAACCCCCCACUGAUGAAUAGAAAAUGAUGGAUUUGACCAAAAGCCAAUUCUUUAAAGAUUUAACAAAGUCUCCAUUCCAAUGGUAUAUAUCUUUUUAGCAAAAGAAACAUCUAAGAACAAUGAAGUUCCUCAAGCUGUUCAGCCAUUGCUGAUUGAAUAUUUUGAUAUCAUGCCUGAAGAACUCUUCGAUGGCCUUCCACUUAUGAGAGACAUUCAACGGUGCAUUGAUUUUGUACAUGGUGCAAGCCUUCCACACCUAGCCCACUACAGGAUGAAUCCUAUUGAACACAGAGUUACAAAAGCAUGUCUCUAAACUUUUACAGAAAAGUUACAUUAGAGAGAAUAUGAGCCUGUUGCGGUGCCUGUCCUCUUUACACCAAAAAAGGAUGGAACGUAACGAAUGUGUUUUGACAGUCGAGCAUUUAACAAGAUCACCGUCAAGUAUAGUUUUACUAUCCCUAGGAUUGAUGAACUGUUUUACAUGUUAGGAGGUGCAAAAAUAUUCUAAGAUUGACCUUAAGAGCGGAUAUCAUCAAACCUGUAUUUGACCUGGGGAUGAAUGGAAGACGGCAUUUAAAGCUAAAGAAGGAUUAUGCGAGUGGCUAGUUAUGCCUUUUGGGCUAGCCAAUGCUCCUAGUACUUUCAUGCGCUCCAUGAACCGAGUCUUGCGACCAUUCAUUGGAAAGUUUGCCAUAGUUUUACUUCGACGACAUUCUGAUCUAUAGCAUAAGUCCCAAAACUCAUCUAAAUCAUUUAAGACAAGUGCUUCACACUUUAAGAAAUAACCACUUAUACCUGAAUCUAAUCUUACGAAGUGUACUUUUUUGAUUGAUAGCCUUACCUUUCUUGGCUUCUUAGGAUAUAUGGUGUCCGCUGAGGGAAUUAAGAUAGAUCUUGUCAAGAUAGAAGCAAUUCAGAGUUGGCCAACCCUAAAGACCCUAACGGAAAUUCGAAGUUUUCAUGGACUCGCGUUGUUUUAUUCAAAAUUUUAGUUCAUUAAUUGCACCAAUAAGGGGGUAAAUUUAGUUGAACGCCCGAAGCUAAAAAGUUAGUUGGAUGCCUGAAGCUGAAAAAAGUUUUCAAUUUGUUAAGGACAAACUUACAAAGGCUCCAGUACUUGCCUUGCCCGACUUUGAAAAGGUUUUUGAGAUUGAUUGUGAUGCCUCGCAUAUAGGAAUUCGAGGUGUAUCGUCUCAAGCGAAACACCCUAUAGCCUUCUUUGGCGAAUAAUUGAACAAUGCACUAACAUGUCACCCCACUUAUAAUAUUGAAUUUUACGUGAUUGUGCACAGGGACGGAGCUAUAUGGAGGCCCAAGGUGGCCAUGGCCCCCUCAACUUUCAAUAUUUGCUUAAUGGUCCUUCAAAGUUUUUUUUUUGGUGGACCAUGGAUAGCUUUGGCCCCCCUAGUUUUUCAAUAUUUAAUAGUAUGGUGCCAACAUAACUCUCUCUCUCUUUCUCCUAAUCGGUAUAUUCUUUUUAUGGGUGAAAAUAUAUUAAAAGCUUUUUACUUAUAGAGUCUUUUGUAAUAUAUUUCUCUACUCUAAAAAUUUUAUUUAAUAAUUUUUUUAAACUUUUAUUUAGGCUUUUUUUUGCAAAUAGCCCCCUAAGCAAUUUUUAUUUUAAAAAUAGCCCUAUCAAAAUUAAAAUUGCAAAAAUGGCCCUGUNUAUAUAUAUAUAUAUAAUUUAUUCGGGUUUGAAUUCGGAUAAUAUUUCGGAUAUCCAUAUCUAUUAACAUCCCUACUCCUUAUUCCACUUUUCAAUAUACAAAAAUACGUAAUAAAAAAUACGUACUAAACACGGUGAACCAUUCACCGUGUUUGAACACGGUGAAUGGUUCACCGUGUUCAACUUAACAUAUGGGCCCAGCCAUGCCCGCGUGGCGCUGACGUGGCGCAUGCGUGGCAGGCCCAGGGCCAUUUUUGUAAAUUAAAUUUUGAUAGGGCUGUUUUUAAAAUAAAAAUUUGUCAGGGGUCUAAAUGCAAAAAAAGCCCCUUUUAUUUAUCUUAGGUGAGCUCUUUUAUUUGACUAAAUCAAGAAUUGUACUAAAUUUAAUAGCUAUGCUAAUUUUAUUUACUAAAAAACUAAAAAUUUACAGUUAAGAGUUAGUAAAAUUUUUAAGUUAUUUUAAUGUAAUAAUAUAAAUAAAAUAAUUAAAAGUUAAACAUCUGAAAAAAAAUAAAAUUCAUACUUUUGCAUUAUUUAUUUAAUUAAUAAUUUUUUAAUAAAAAUUUUUAAUUACGAAAAAUUUUGUUUAUUAUUUAUUACUAAAGUUUCUAUUUAAAUAUAUUUUGGUCCCCCUCAAGUUUGAAUUCUAGCUUCGUCCCUGAUUCUGCAGGCUUUGAAACAUUAGAGACCCUACUUGAUGCAUCAAGAGUUUAGUCUUAAUUUGGACCAUGAAGCAUUGCAAUAUUUAAAUUCUCAAAAAACUUGAGCAAAAAGCAUGCCAAGUGGACUGCAUCUGCAAGAAUACACUUUUCAUUUGUGGCAUAAACAACGCAUUGCUAAUCGUGUUGCUGAUGCGCUCUGCCGUAGAAACUAUUUUCUUGUCACUUUUUCCUCGCAAACUGUAGGAUUUGAGGUAGUUAGGACUAUAAAAUGAUCCUAACUUUUGUCCAUAGUAAAGUGUCUAUCUCCUAACAAUGAUUCAACUUCUGAUUACUGUUUAGAUGGCAGAUACCUUUUUAGAAAGUCCAAGUUGUGCAUUCCCCAGAAUAUUGAAAAGAGUUCUUUAUUUAGGAUUUGCAUAGUAACAUACUAGAGGGACAUUUUGAGAGAGAUAGAACUUUCGGAUUAGUUCAAAAGUUGUAUUAUUGGCCUAACAUGAGUAAAGACUUUGAAAGAUUUGUUCAGCGACGUCAAACACGUCAAUCAUUUAAAGGACAAACUCAAAAUGCCGACUUAUAUACUCCCCUGCCCAUUCCUACUAUACCCUAGGAGGAUAUUACCAGAGACUUUGUCCUAGGUCUACCCAAGACUGCAUGCCAAGUUGAUUAGUUUUUGUGGUUGUUGAUCUUUUUACAAAAAUGGUUCAUUUUAUUUCUUGUAAAACAAACUUCUGAUGCAUUACAUAGUGCAAAAUUAUUUUUCAAUGAAAUUGUACAUUUUCAUGGUAUUCGAGAAUUUUAUUGUCAAAAGUAGGAAGCAAAUUGAAUUUCAGUAGCCCAUUCCAUCCACAAACUGAUGGGCAGACGGAACUAGUGAAUCGAUCUUUGGGUAAUCUCUUAACAUGUUUAGCCGGAGAAAACUAUGGGAUUUAAUCAUACCUCAAGCUGAGUUUGCUUAUAAUAGUUUCAUAAAUUGAACCAUUGGAAAAUCUACUUUUGAAGCUUUAUCUGGCCGUCCUAUAGCCCACUUUCUUGAUCGAGCACCUAUAUUUUUCCCUGAUAGAGUUAGUGCAGAUGCAAAAUAUUACCUAAAACAGGUUCAAGAAGUGAAACAAUAGGUUUAUCAGAGGUUGCGGGAAUUUUGCUGUCAAGUACGUGUCAGUGGAUAAAUAUCGCCCGGAUAUGACUUAUAAUGCUGAGAUAUGACUUAUAAUGUAGGGGAUAAUGUUUUAAUCUAUUUUAGAAAAGAAAGUUAUAGCAAGUUAAGCAGGAAAACGUAUGGGCAUUCAAAAUCCUGAAGUUGGGGGCAAAUGCAUAUCUAGUUAAUCUGCCUUCGGAAGUACCGACAUGUCGGAUGUUCAAUGUCAACGAGCUGUACAAGUACCAUGGAGAGGCCCUCUCUAUUAUUGAUAUUGAUGGCUUGAAAUCUCGCACAAACGCUGAAACGCCAUAAGAUGAGGUGGAGGAUAUUCUGGAUAUGCGCGAGUCCGCGAUGCAUCGUGGUAUCCAUCGCUGAUACUUGGUACGUUGGUGUGGACAACCAUUGUUUGAUAGCAGUUGGAUUUAUGAGCCGGAUUUUCGCUAACUUAGAGAGGACUUGUACCAGAGCUAUCAGGAUGCCAUCUUGACGGGGUCGAGAUUUCUCCAACAAAGGGAGAAUUGAUGCAACAAAUAAAACUUUUUGAAUUCUUAAUGCAAUUUUCUUUUAUUUUGUUAGUUCGUAUUUGAUUUGGGCUUAAAUCAUUUACUUUUAGUUGGUUCAGCUAAACCAAACCCUUUUCUCCAUCCAAUAAACAUAGAAACAAAUCAAAAAAGACCUUUUGGCUUUCCAAAAACGUCGUCUUCUAUGUAUGAUCUUUGGGUGACCGUGCUUUAUUGAAGAUGAAAGGACAAGAAUUUAUUAUAGUAUAGGCUUUUAACACUAUAAAUACUUCGCACUUGAUGUUUUGAGGGUGGAUUUGAUGAGUAGGAAUUUCUACACUUGUUCUCAUUGUCAUGGUGUUCUUCUUUCCUGCGUGAUCUUCGACGCUUCUUCCUUGCGUCGAGAUCGUCUUCUUCCUCAACUUGAUCAUUAUCGCUUCUUUCUCGUGGCAAGAUCGGCUUUUUCUCUUACUCUUCUUUUGGGUCCUUGCCUCCUUUUCUUCUUUUUUCCCGUCGCUGAAGUUCUACUCAUGGUGUGCCGCCCUCGUCGAUCGUGGAUCCCACGCAAUCGUGUGAUCGGUGCACUUCUUAUAUCUUAUUUUCUCCCUCAUCUCCUGAUCUCAUUAUUUCUUUCAAUCUAGCUUUCUACCAUUACUAACCAUCUUUGCAAAAGCAACCAAAUCUAAAAGCUGUAAGUCCGAUAAAAACGAAUUUAUCUUUUUGAAACUUUUAUAUGUAUUUUUAGCUGGUUAUUAUUUUAUAGAGUUAAUUGCAUACAGGUUUCCACAAACAUAGUGAAUUGCAAAUAUAUCCCUGUAGAGUUCAACUUUCAUAAGUUAUCCCUGCAAAUGUCCUAAUAUUUUCAGAGAUGUCCCUGCCGUUAGAAUUCGUUAGAAAAAUUCAGUUAACCAUAGGUUAAAUAUUUUACCCGGAUUUAUCAUAACAAGUAAUGCUCCAACUCCAAUAUCAUCACAUAAAACAAUACCUGUGACAAUCAUCCGUCUCUACAUCACCCUCCAUCAGAUUUGUAGGCAUACGUCCACUAGGUGCCUUCCACAAUAAAGUUGGUACUGACGCUAUCGCCGACAUCGAAUUCCUCGGACACUCAAACCGAAAAUGGCUUGCUUGGCCACACAAUAAGCAUUUGCCUCCACACUGAGGGCACUGUGGAGGCACAUGCGGACCUCCACAAAUCACACAUCGCACUGGUUGUCGACGAUUCGAUGUCCUUCUCCCAGCUAAGGAACCACGUCCUUGAGGUUGAUUUCUUUUUGAAUGCCUUGAUGGUUCUGUUACACUUAAGUUGCCACCCUUGGUGGUCUCUUUCGUUGUCCCGAUGGUCUCCAUGCCUUUCCUCACUGAUAAGGCACGAUCUGUCGUCUAAUGAAAUUUCUUAAGGUCUGCUACCUGCUGAAUCAACAAAGUUUUCCAACCGCUUGAUUUACUCGUCUUGUCGGCACAGAGCCUCGGCUUGGAGUAAUGCCAUACACGACUGUCGCUCCACCACACCAACUAAGGGAGCCAGCUGCUCUCUCAACUCCCGAAUCUAACCGGAUCCGGAGGAUGCGGACUUGCCCGGCUCGGCCACCUCGGUCGCCACGGGGUGCGCCGUCAGUAUCCCAAGCUACAACAAACAUAACAGGCAUGGGCUAAAACAACUCACACCAACGUAUCCCCACUCAUAAACACAAUCCCAAUCAUGCGAAAGCGGUGAAGUGAACUCCUACUAUUCCCCGAUGUCACGUUGUCGGCCGCCAACGUGAUCCUCCAAGGAUAUAGAUGUUGUUCACUUCGAUCCAACUCCAACACUUUUGGAGCUAAAGACAUGACCUAAUCAUGUUACUUUCGCCAAUAAGUCUCAAAAGACUCCAUCUCUCACGCUCCUAAUCUUUAUCGGCUCCUAAUUCUUAUCGUCCAACCAGCCUAAGGUUUGCUAGAUCUACAAAGAUUCAAUCCUAGCCUCUGAUACCAAUAUAAUCUGUCACGUCCCGGGCUCCAGCUGAAGCCCACCCGACGCGUGCACAGACCCGCCGUGUACACCAACCACCCUCGGCGCACACAAGGCGGGCGUCUACAACAACAACAACAUAGAAAGGAAGUAGCAACAAAUUCUAAACAUGGUGAUCAGAGCAAGUACAUAAACUUCUACAUAAACAAACAUGAGUCUACUCCAAAAAGAAGCUUAAUAUCAGUACCUUAAAAAAAUUUACAACAUUGAACAUAAUACAAUUGUCAUCAAACUAGACUAAAAGAAAGAUGCCGAUAGGUCCCUCAAUAACAACACCGAAGAGAUUCUAGCUAGUCGCUAACCCCUUGCCACGAACCCUAGCCUCUCUCGCUGUGGAAGACUUUGAAACACAGAAAUAAACAACCAAUAGGGAUAAGAACUAUUAAACAAUAGUUUUCAUUUGGUAAGCCGCCGAGAGGCGAAAUACACCAUUAGGUCAACUGAGGUAUGGUAAGAUAUAAGAAGUACUAAACAUACAGAUAACAAUUAAUUGAACAAAUUCAAUUAUAGUCAUGCCUCUAUAUUAUAAUGUCAACUAACAUGUAUAUGAUUUUCCACUGUCACAUGCACAAGUAUUUGUAUAUGCAAGUUUAUAUGCAAGUUUACAUGUAAAAGUAUUUCCCUUUCAUUAUCAUCAUGUAGCUAUACUUCUAUACUAAUCAACAUGUGUAUAAAUUUACUACCACUAAGGUUGUCAAUACGAAUAAUGGCUAACAUGGAAGCCCAACUACUAUGUAUGCAUCAAGUAUUGCCACAGUAAUAACCCACUAGUAUGUCUAUCUACUUUAUAUGCACCGGCUAGUUGUGAUGUAUUAUGUUAAGUUUUCUUAACUCUUACCCAAUUAACGAGGGACUUACACAUGGUAAUGUCCCGACUUGUGCCGUGCUUAACGGUCCCGUGGUAGUCAGCAUUCCCCCUCUAGGAAUGAGCCUUUCUCACGGCAAUCCACUUCGGCGCCCAAUCCCGCACCGGCGAGCAUGUUGUCGCAAAGGCCAUUUUCGGGGUGCCGGCUUGUAGGGAGCGAUCCUCACAAGCUUGUGCGAAUGAGUACAAAGGUAAACAAGCAUGAUCAUAAGCAUCAUGUCCAAGGGCCACAUCUCAAUCAUCAUGUCUAAAACAUAGAAUCUCAAUCAUCGACUCAAGGUCGGAUAUUCUAACAUAAAUGUCAUGUUUCAGUUUCAAUAAACUCGGUGGGAUGUCUGUAUCAAUAUGCAACAUGUCUCAAGCAUGUAAAGGUUUACAUCUCUUGUAUUUACCUAACGGGUGACAAAUGUAUACUAUUUUCACUAUAGUAUGAAGAAAAAUAACUUACUAAUGCCAUUUUCAAUGAAUCAAGAAGAUGACCACAAGACCGUAGUUCAUAUUAUGCGUAUGCCUUGCUACAUAAACCUCUACUACAUGGAGUAAGAAAGUCACCAUGCAAGUAAUUACCUCUCACUUUACUAAGAAAUUAUAUGCCUUAGCCAUUUAUACAAUCAAACACAUGAAAACUCUUUCGUCAUGUUUAAAACAUGGAAUUGCAUCUAUCGACCUAGAGGUUGAGUAUAAUAUCGUAAUGUCCACUUUAGUUAUGCAUCUAAAUUAAGUGCAACAUAGUUUUACAUCAUGUCAUUAACAUGCAAUGGAUCACGUUUUUCAUUAUCUAUAAUGAGCAUAAAUUAUUGCAUUCAUGAUCAAACCCCUUUUGUUCUACUAGCCAUAUAGUAUUCCAUAUGUCAUUACUAAUCUCCAACAUGCACGUCCAUAUUUGCAUAAGAGGAACUUUGAUAUAACAUAUGAAACAAUAUGCAUAUUAUCAUCAUAAGCCUCUACUACAUGGAAUAUGUCAAAUUGCCUCUACUACAUAGAGUGUGUCAACUUCCAUAUAUAACAUAUAUGUAUCAUGCAUCCAAAAAAAUAUUAACAUGUCAUGAAUAGCAUAAAUAUGCAUCAAACAAUUCCUAUAACAAUAUAGAAGCCAUAGGGGGAGUUCAUCCAUUUUGGUGAGAUCAAAACCACCGGAUAACCUCCAAAACUUGUUUCUUUCUCCAAAUGAAGUUCCCCCUCGAACUUCUAGCACUCGAAGAAAAAUUCUCAAGAGGUUACAAGCUUCUAAAAAGCUUCCCACGAAAUUCACCAAAAAUCAAAUGGAAAUUAGUGAAAAUUACCUUAAUCCAAGGAAAUCGUGUCCAAGAUCCAAACCAAAGUGAAGGAUCUUCAAAUCCAACCUAAAAGAGUGUUUUACGCCCAUCAAUUCAACUCCAAAACUCAAAUUCAAGAAAUCCCAAAAUAAACCUUAGUUUCUACAAAACUAGGUUUUCCACCAAAUCCCUUGCAAAUCUCCCAAUAGAGGGUACAAGAAAGCUACUAACCUUAAAUUAAGCUCCAAACCAAGUCAUAAAGUGCUUUCCCUCCGAAGUCUAGAUGCGCGCAUCCAAAGAGGAGAGGAAGAAAAAGAGAUCAAACCGUAGGAUUAAAGGGUUAGAGGAAGAAAUCCAAGAGAAAUAAGGGGAAGAGCUCACCUCUCCUCCUCUAUCCUCAGCUAACAAAAGAACAAGGAGAGAGGUAAAGGGAUAUAUUACACAAUGUAACAAUAUCCACCAAGGUCCCUCAAAACUCAGAAAUUGCAAAACUGCACGAAACUGUCUCAGCAGCGUUGAAUACCUGUACUCGAGUUGGGGUACCGGUACUCGGCAGUUCCGGUACCAGGGACUCGGUCCCACAGAACCCGAAUGUUGGAAAUUCUGAUUUUCCACUGUGUUUCGGUACCAGCGCAAUGCAGUACCGGUACUCGGUACCGGUACACGUAGCCGAGUUCCGCAAAACUCGAGAGCUGUCCAAUUCAACACCCUAUUGAGUUUCGAUAUCUUAGUCCAAUAUCGGUACUCGACACAAACACAACAAUUUUGCAGAAUUUGAUCUCCGGAGUCCGUUUUUGCGCUUGUUAAGUCUCGAAAACACUCCUAAGCUCUUCAAACUCAAUCAAAUUCUUCAGAAUAGUAUAAAGUACUAUUCUCUCACUAGGACUGCGCAAUUUGUAGAAGUUCAGUGCGCUACAUUUUGCUUCCUUGCUUUAAUUUUAGUCAAGUUCGCUGGAAUUGAUAAAAUUGAACCUAGUUUAUUUUAAGAAGUAUCUCUAAAACGAAAUAAAGUUGAAAAUUCUGGUUUACCAACCCCUUGGUUUGCAUCAGUAGAUUAGUACAAUUGCAUGGAUAACAAUAUGUAGCUACUUUUUUCAGUUCUUGAAAUUUAUGACCAUAAUUGACAGGAGUUGCUUUACUAUAAACUUUAGGUAGCUAACUACUUAACUCAAAGUAGUUAAUUGGGAUACCUGAUUUUUUCUGUGCUCCUAAUUAACUCUCAUUACUGUUUGCAGGGUAUUAGAAUCUGGCCUCUAUGAUGCCAUUCUUCCUGUAAUUCCUACUAGGAUGUCUAUGUCAUUGAAAGGACCUGCAUUCCACGAGUAUUUGUCUUUUACAAGCCAAAUCGCCAAAUUAGAAUGUUCUCGGCUCUCAGAAAGCAAAGACAUAAAAUUACAACGAAGGUGAUCUAUCUAUAUUUGGUUUUUUGUUUUCAACUUAUCGCUUUGUGAAUUGUUACUUGUAGAACUGAGAGAGAACAGUCAGAACAUAUUUGAACAUAUUUUAACUCUUCACGACAUGAAACGUGGCCUCAGCUAUCGAAACUCUUUAACUUUAGAUCAUAUAUCGAAGCCCCUUUUUUAUCUUAGUAAAUUAUGGCAAUGGGAACUAUUACAGAACCUGGUUGAUUAACCUUUUUAGUCUUUCCCUUGAAUUUCCUUUUUUCUUUUCUAAUUAUGAUGGGAUUUUUUUUAAAAAAAAUUUACCUAUUUUUUCCCUAAUUUUUUUUUUAAAAAUUGCAUAUUAGAAAAAUAAUAACUCAAUUUUCAUCCAGCUCAUGUAAGCUUCACUUGAAAUAUGUUUUCAUUUGUGAUCCUAUAUCUACGUAUGAUGAUCUGCAUGAUUUUCCUACAAAUAUAUGUUAAGAAACAUGACAAAUACAUCCUAUUCAACUUGAAAAUUGUGAAUAAGUGAUUAAAUUGUAAUCCAGGGAAGUGACGAUUAAAAUAUAUCGGGAGCCUGGGCCAGCCUGUGCUAGAGGUCUGCUAAUGUGCCACAGGUCUGCACGGUCACGUAUCAUGCGAACUGUGGCUUGGCAAAAUGCUGUGCCAUGGCAGGGCAUUUCUUGCGUACUACCAUUGCUAAAUGAUGUUAUUUAUUUCAAUGUCUAGUCAUAAUUUAUUUUCUACUGUCGAGCAGGUCUCGUACUUCAAAGCAUUACUUAACUUUGGGCGGACUAUCCUUAUCUCCAGAAGAUGUGGGAUUGUUAGCUCGAAGCACCUGCUUUAAUGAUUCACAGCUACAUGCUCAACAUGACAAGGUUGCAAAUGAGAAAAUUUCUUAAAAUGUGCAUUUGCUGACGGUAACGUGCGAACUAACACAGCUAUUUGUUGAGGUGGCUAACAAGAACCGAAAGGAUUGCUUCUCUAAGGUUGUUGUAUCUUUUCCAAUAUUGUGUACAUCUCUUCUGGUCUCUAACAAUCCUUGCUAAAAGGAUUCUGUCCCAUAAAAGGGAGCAAUCAAUAUUUUUUUUCAUCUACUUAAUUGUAACAUCUUGGGGCAAAUUUCUGUAUCAUCCUGUGCUAAUUUAGGCCAUAGAGCUAUUAUUCUUUAGUAUAUAGAAAUGAGAUCCUCAAAAGCCAUUGCAAUGCUUGCGUGUAAAGAACAAUUAUGUAACAAUCGAGGGACUAAAGUAUAAUUUCAAAAGCCAGUGAAAUGAUAACAUUUCACCGACCUUUAAACAUCAUGUAAUAACUGAGGAAUUCAAACGCAAUUUUAUUUUUUGUAUAAUAAAAUGCAAGUCAAUUUCGGUAAAGAUUAAAUCCCUUGGCUUUCGAGGGUUCUUGUUGAAAACAAAGGAUAAUUGGAGAAGAAAUAUAUUUCUUUCUAAUUUUAUAAAUUACAAAAGACUUUUUUAUAUAAAGAGAGGUCAAGCUAAUACAUGGUGAAUUAUGAAUUGGUGAGGAAACUAAUAUAGUAUAUAAUAAUAUAAGGAAUGUCUAAUAUUUUGUAAAAAGAAAAAAAAUAUUUAUAUAAAGUAACACCCCCCCUCCCCCCCCUCCCCCGCAAACUCAAGGUGGAGUAAACACUGAGAGUUUGGAUAGAAGGUAUUGAUGUCGUUGAGUAGUCUGAGAUUUGGUGAAAAAUGGUGAGCAAAGGGAAUGAACGGUAGAGAUAUCGUUCCAUUAAUGUAAUGAUGGCGCACAAAGUGACAAUCAAUUUCGAUAUGUUUAGUACGUUCAUGAAAGAUAGGAUUAUUCACAAUUUUGAUAGCACUUCGAUUGUCACAAUAUAAAGGUGUUGAAAUAGAGCACUGGACAUCGAGGUCACCAAGGAGUCGGCGAAGCCAUACAAUUUCUGAGGUGGUAGAGGACAUAGCACAAUAUUCAGCUUUCGUACUAGAUUUGGCGACAAUAUCUUGUUUUUUUGAACGCCAAGAAAUCAGAGAAUCUCCAAAGAAAAUGCAAUAGCCAGUCGUAGACCGACGAUUAGUAGGAUCUCCAGCCCAAUCAGCAUCACAAUAUGCACGAAGUUGAGGCUUGGAAGAGGAAGAGAAGAAUAGACUUUGAUGAAUACUUCCUCGCAAAUAGCGCAAGAUGCGUAAAAGAGCAGCAUAGUCAACAGAAGUAGGCGCCUGCAUAAAUUGACUAACAAUAUGAACAUCAUAAGUAAUGUCGGGGCGAGAUAUAGUGAGAUAGACUAACGCACCAACUAGCUCACGAUAACGUGUAGGAUUAGUGAGAGGUUCGCCCAUAGUUGGAGUUAGUUUUUGGUGGAGCUGCAUAGGAGUACUCACAGUGUCAGUAUCAGUGAGCUCAGCACGAGAUAACAAGUCGGUAGUGUAUUUUUGUUGAGACAAUAUAUAUCCUCGAGGACUAUAUGCCACUUCAAUCCCCAAAAAAUAUCGAAGAGGGCCAAGAUCUUUCAUGUCAAAUUGUUGCUGAAGAUAGGAUUUAACAGAACGAAUACAAUUAGGAUCAUCGCCGGUAAUUAUCAUAUCAUCAACAUACAAAAGUAAGGUAGUGAGCCCGCGAGCAGAAGUAUGAAUAAAUAAGGCAUGAUCAUUUUCGCUUUGAUGAAAUCCAAAGGAAAGAAUAGCAGACUGAAAUUUUUCAAACCAAGCUCGGGGAGCUUGUUUAAGGCCAUAUAAAGCCUUGCGAAGCCGACAAACAUGAUCGGAUGAAUGGGAAAGACCAGGAGGUGGUUGCAUAUAAACUUCUUCAUGAAGAUCCUGUGAUACACUGAACUUCUGCAAAUUGUGGAGUUCGAGUAUGUGGCAUGAGUUGUGGAACUACCCUACAUGUUCUAAAGGGUUUAGAGACAUUAUGGCUAAGUUUGAGAGUGAUCGGAGUGUGGGAAACGAGAAAGUGCAUUGUAAUUUCGAACUUGGCCUUUUCUGCAUUGGUGUACCGGUACAAGCAUGAUGCUGUACCGGUACAGCAAGCAGCAGCAGGAGCUGCGUGGCAGCAGGGAUUGUUUGGUCUUUUUGGCUUAUGAUCUUAUCCCCAGAGAUGGCUGGUCGACCUCUGAAGCUCCUAGAGGGGCACUUGAGCUCAGAGAAAGGGAUUUUACAUCUUCUUCACUCUCUCUCUCUCUCUCUCUCUAGGUUUCUUUUCUCUACAAAAAUGGAUGAUUUAAGUGGAUUUUUCUCCCCUUGUUGAUGUUAGCUUAUUAGAAGCACCUUGGGCUGCUGAGGGAGUAAGGAACAGAAGUUUUGAAAGGUACUUCACAGUCCUGAACCUAGCUGUAACUCGGGUGGAGCCUUGGAGUGGUAAGCUAGUAGUUAUUCUUCAGGUUGAGUUUUAGUGAUGUAUUAAUGUAAUGUUUGAGUCUUGUGCUUUCAAGCUGUGUGGUGAGAGUUCAGCAACCUUGGAAGGAGGUAAGGGCUGUGGAGCUUCAAUUUGAAGUUGGAGAAAGGUACUACUCAAGCUGUAAAAGGUAUACUAUUUAAUAAUGUUCAUGGGUAAAGGGUUUAGAACUAUUGAUGCAGUUUUGAUAGUUGAGUUCGCAGCAGGUUUAUUCCGUUCUUUGAGCUGAGUUGACGAAGUGUGAAGCUGAAUUUGAGUACUCCUAUCUUCAGCAAAGCUAAGGGUUCAUGUGGGGGGGAUUUAAACAAGUAAGUUUCAGCUUAUAUUAAAUAGUUCUAUAAGAAUAAUAGGACUGUUUUGAGACUAAUUCGCAGCAGGCUUGCGACAGGGCAUUGGACAGCUCUCGACUUAAAUUAGGAGCUUGGAAAGGGUAAUUUAGUGUCUUCAUUGAAACCGAAGUAAGGGUUAAAAGCUGCAGCCUGGCACAAGGUAAGAAGCUCGCUAAAAUUUGAUGUGCGAUACUAGUUUCCAUGCAGUAUGAUGAUGUGAUGCGCGGCUGUGGUGCAGCAGGUUUGGUGCUUAUUUGGAAACAAUUGGUGAAACCCCUGAAGCCGAAUUUGGGCUGAUCUGAGAAGGAUCCAACUUGGAUUAGGCUGAGGUUUAGUUUAAACUAAACCUAGGUGAGAAGCUAGUUCAAACUUUGUAAUUAGGCGAAGUGUAUUUAUAAGUCUUGAAAUUCAGCUUAUUGCUGAUUGUGGUUCAUUCCUUAGGGAUUUUGGAUGCUUCAGACUGUCUACAAUCGUGGAAACAAGGAGAAUCGUCGAUUAAUAGGUGAGUUUGACCUAACCAGAGCAGGUGAAGCUCCCCUAUGUUCUAUAUGUGACUAUAGAAUUGAUAUGGUGUGUGUAUUUGGGAUUAUUGUGAUUGGUAAAGUACUUGGAGCAUGUCACUAUAAUAUUUGAUGUAAUUGCCAUAGAGCCUCUAUGAAGUAGAGAGCAUUCAUGCAUAAAAGUACUCAUGCAUAAUAAUAAUCUUGUUUGGUUUAGUAGAACAACCAAGGGCUAAGUUUAUAACGCUUUUAUAAAGUAGAGACCAAUGAUAGUGCCAUGAUAGUGGAUACUAGUUGUUGUCAAUAUUCUUUAUAUGGAGAAUUCCGAUCAAUAGAUCGAGAGUAGAACAUAGCAUACUAUGCCAUGAUGUUUGAGGUAUGUUGGAAUAGGGAUUUUGCUUGCUUGCCAUUGUGCUCAUUCGCACAUGCUUGUGAGGGUAGCUCCCUACAAGCCGGCACUCCGGAGUUGGCCUACGCGACAGUUGCUCGCCCGUGCGGGAUUAGGUGCCGAAGUGGAUUGCCGUGGGGAGUGUAUACUACCACGGGGCCAUUAGGCGCGGCGCAAGCUGGACUACCUUGGGUAGGUCCUUAGGAAUGAAAUGAACGUACUAAAUGACAAAUGACAAUAGUGAGUGCUUACUAGUUAAAAAUGUACAGUGGUUACUCUCAUAUUCAUGUUUAUGUUCAUGAUUAUAAAAGUUGCUAUAUCUCUCUUAUGCAAAUGAUUCAUUAUUGUAGAAAGUUCCUACAUGUUGAUUACAUGCUCAGUAUCAUGCUUACUAUCUUGCAACUAUCGUUUUACUUUCAUUUAGUACAUCAUGAGCCUAGUGGUGUAAUUCGCCGAGGCUGGCGGCUUACUCACUGGGAACUAUUGUUGAUAGUUCUCACGCCCUUUUUGUUGUUAUUUUUACAGAGCUAUCUACAGGAGAGGCUAGGGAUCGUGGCAAGGGAGUCGCGUUUAGCUGGACAUUGCUAGGGGCAUGCUAGUUGAUCACCUUGCUACUCGGGAUACUGCCGAGGGUGAUGUCCAGUGUAUAGAGUGACUACCAUUGUACCUACUUUUUGUUUAACCCGUGAUGUAUAUGUACUAUUGGGACCAGACUCUAUAGUUGUGAUACUUUUCUUUUAGUUGAGAUUUUGGAUUUUAUACUCCCUGUUCUCUUGUUGUGAGUAUUGUGGACGGUACUUUGCUCUGAUAUCAGGAUAGGAUUAUUUUAUAUUUUUACUCCUAUCGACUUGUUUCUUGUAGACGCCUUAUAUACUGCAGGUGUAUGGCGCGUCUGUGCACGUACCGGAUAUGCUUCCGCUGGUACCCGAGCGUGACAGAUCCCCAUGUAAGAAGGCAUUUUUAACAUCAAGUUGGUAAAGAGGCCAGCUACGAGAAGCAGCAAGAGCAAUAAGGAUGCGAACAGAGGUCAUCUUAGCAACAGGGGCGAAUGUCUCCUCAUAAUCAAUGCCAUAUUCUUGAGAGAACCCUCGAGCAACUAAACGAGCCUUAUAGCGAUCAAUUGAGCCAUCAGAAUUUGUCUUGACUUUAUAAAUCCACUUACAACUAAUUGCAGUCUUGCCAGGCGGGAGAGGAACUAGUUCCCAGGUACCAGUACGAUGAAGGGUAGUAAGUUCUGUGGUCAUUGCAUCUCGCCAUUCAGGAAUGGAAAUGGCUUGGCGGUAUGUACGUGGUUCCUGGAUAUUAGAAAUAGCUGCAAGAAAAGCAUGAUAUCGUGGAGAAAAAGGAGAGGCAAGACAACCAAAAAAUUGUGUGGGACGGUGAGUACGCAGUGAAUAGUGGCGCUCAGUAGUCGUCUGAUUGUCGGAAGGAACAAUAAUUGGUGGGUCAUCAGGUGGUGCCGGUACUAUAGAAACUUCUACAGAAGACGAAGAUGCAGUGGGCUGAGAGACAAUGCGUUGGGGCUCUUCGGGAGAAGAUGUGGUGGUCGACGAAGAAUUAACAAAAAAUGAAAGAUCAAUAACAGAAGGUGAAGAAACUGCAGAGGGAUCAACACUUAACUUAGAUUGAGCAUAAUAUGAUAAAUGUUCAAGAAAAAUGACAUCUCGAGAGAUUCGCAUGUGACGAGCAGUAGGAUCAUAACAUCUGUACCCUUUUAUGCUCAAGACUAUAUCCUAAGAAAACACAAAUUGACGAUUUCGGAGUUAGUUUGGUUCGUUCAUGCGGAGGCAAGAGAACAAGACAAGUACAUCCAAAAACACGCAAAUGAGUAUAAGAUGGUGAUUUAGCAUACAAUCGCUAACUAGGAGAAAAGCCAGAGAAAAGACUGGAGGACAUAAUAUUAAUCAGAUAAACUGCGGUAGAAACAACAUCAGCCCAAAAUUGUUUAGGCACGGACCCAUCAAUUAGAAGAGAGCGAGUAGUUUCAAGGAUAUGUCGGUGUUUAUGCUCAGCAACACCAUUUUGUUGAGGAGUAUAAGGACAAGAGAGUUGCGGCAAAGUACUAUGUUUAGCGAGAAGUUGGCGAAGUUCAUUUGAAAGAUACUCACCACCAGAAUCAGAGCGGAAAGUUUUAAUGGUGGCACUAAAUUGAGUUUGAACCAUGACAGAGAAAUUUUGAUAUAAUUGAAAAAGUUUAGAUUUGUUAUGCAUAAAAUAAACCCAGGUAAAGCGUGAGUAAUCGUCAAUGAAAAUAACAUAAUAUUUCUUUCCAACAUGGGUUGAUGUAGGUGCCAAUCCCCAAACAUCAGAGUGAAUAAGAUCAAAUGGUGCACUUGCAACAGAAUUGCUAACAGGAAAAGGUUUAAUGGAAUGUUUAGCAAGUUUGCAUCCAAUGCAAGAAACAGAUUCAGAAUUAAAAACAGGGUCUAAUACACCACUACGAACUAAAAUAGUAAACUUAUCAGAAGAUAGAUGACCGAGACGACAAUGUCAUAAAUCAGAAUUUGAAAUUGUAGCAAUAUUUGCUGAGUUAAUUUUAGGAGGAAGGUGCAGAUAGUCCAUGUAGUACGGGCAGUCACGUCUAUGACCCUGUUCAAUCAAAGUCCCGAUCCGACGAUCCUGCACAAGACAAGAAGAAGAAUCAAAGGUCACUGUGCAAUCAUGAUCAGUAAUUUGGCUAACAGAUUGUAACACCCCAUACUUUUAAUUUCUUAUUUUGACUCCAAUUUACUUUAAGUUUGGACCUUUUCAUAAUUUCGGAUCUUCGAGGGACUCGGUGGCAUUUUGUUGCUUAAUUAGUCCCUAACUAAUUAGGCCCUUUCUAUUGAUACGAGCCCCCCACCCAAUCCAUCUCUCUCUAUUUCGCUCGAUCCCCCUCUCCUCUGUACGCCCGUACGACCUCCGCCGCUCCCCUUGUGCACGCGCAACGUCAUCCGUUCCCUAUCGUCGUCGCCGUCAUCCGUAGCCGCCUCCAGCGCAUUUCUCAUUGGCCAUUAUUUUAUUUUGUUUCGUUAUAUCUUCGUACCCACUUUUGUCACUUAUAGUAUUUCCGAACCUCUCUUGUGAUUCGUAGUAAGCUUUAGUUCUAUAGAUGUUAGAAUUCCAUUUGAUUUUAGUUAAAAUUCAAUUUCUUAGUCUCAUCCUAUGAUUCUUUGGAUUUAGUGAAAAAUUUGGUAAUCAUCUUUUCUGCUAGCUUCCGUCUGAUUGUGUAAAAAUCUUUGUUUUGUAGAAUUAAAAAUUAAGGGUUAAGCGUACAUCAAAUAUUUUUGCAAACUGAGUUUCAAAUGUGAUUGAAGGGCUUUCUUUAACAAAGAAUUUUGAAAGUUGAUUAUCUGUUCUGUAAGUUAGUGACUGGAUAAUUUUGAAUUAAAAUAUCUCUUGGUAUUCUGCUAUGCUAAUGUUGGCCAUGUCGACAUGUACUUUGUUAUAGAAGCAAGCUUCGUCUUUGUUUGCGCCUUCGGGUGCCUGCGCCUAUCCGCGCCUCUAUUUUGUUUGCGCCUUCGGGUGCCUGCGCCUUCGGGUGCCUGCGCCUAUCCGCGCCUCUGUUUUGUUUGCGCCUUCGGGUGCCUCUGUUUUGUUUACGCCUUCGGGUGUCUUUGGAUCUCGCCAACGGAUCAUAAGAUAUAGUUAAGUGCCGGAGACAAUAUUUAUUUUGUUUAUAUGUCGAAAGGGAAAUGCUUUGAAAAAAUAUAGUUUCAAUCCGAUCCGAAUUUGAAGUUUUGAUAAAUUCUUGUUUUCUUAAAUUUUGCAAAUUAAAACCAGUCGCUUGAAUUAAUUUGUGUAUCUAUUUAUUUGUAUGCUUAAUCCGACUAAUGUGGUGUAUGGUUGCUUACCCAGGUACUGAGACCGAUUCGCAGGGCGGGGCUGGGAGCGAGUGAACGUUAGAUGUAGCUAGAUUUGAUUCUAACCUCUUCGUCUUAUUUCUUUUGCAUUUAGACAUGAACUUUGAACUUCGUAGAUAAUCAUUGUCUAUCCGUUUCUACCUUGUUAUUUCAUCGUACCCAUAUUUGUUAUUUAGAGCACUAGUUAGACUAAAUUUUGUUUGAUUGGCAUAAUAAACGAUAGUUCUGCUUAUAUGUGAUUUUCUUUGAUUCUAGUUGAAAUUAAAUUGAUGACCUCAUCUUUCGACAGUUUGGAUUUCUAUUUUUAUGAUCAUUUUUGUAUGUAAUUUGUCUGAUUCUGUAGCCUUGCAUAUUUACUAAAUUAGUAGAUAUGCGGCGUUUGUUAUGCCUCGGGUUUGGGGCGUGACAUAGAUAAUAAGCUAAGGGAGAGUCGUGGUAUAUGUAGGACAAAGGGAAUAGUAAAGCGUCCUGAAGUAUCAGAUUUAGGUGAAACAAAGCCACUAUUAUUGACAGAAAGAGAGGUACCAUUAGCAGUAAAAAUGUGUGAAUGUGAAUUUAAUUGAAAAGGUGAAGAAAGUAAAGAAGCAUGUGGUGUCAUAUGAAAUGAUGCGCCUGAGUCUAAAAUCCAGGAAUGUUCCGAAGUACCUCCAGGACCAGUCAUACCAAAACCUGAUGGCGUAGAUGAAAAGAUAGAGGAGGACUGCCCUGAUGAAGUGGAUGGAGUCAACUUGUCACGCCCCGAAAAUGCCAAUUUGGUCGAUUCGGGCCUGUACACAGACGCCGAAUGGACAGCACCUCUCCUGUCCGCCCAAGGCUCAAUAACCACAAGUACAUGUAUAAAGAAAGAAAUAAUCCGAGGAUAACAUUUUAAUAUACAUGGCUUACACGAGGGUAAGCAACACAAGUGCAAGUGAAAGUAAACUAACUAAACCAUUCAUACAUUGUAUCUUGAUUACUUUAAAUUAAAUACAAAGUUUGCAUAAUUAUUACAAUCACACAUUCCUCAAUAUAUAUAUUUGCCAUCUCUCAAACGAAUAAUUUCAUACAUUACACUUUGCUUUUAUCAACGGUAAAUGUUAAGGAUUUUUCUAAGUUGGCGGUUUUCGUGAAGUUCGAAUGGAGUCUUGAAGUAUUAAAGAUGAAGGUUGAUGAGAAGAUUGGAUUUUGACGAUUAAAGACUCAUUCGCAAUGCUCGGAAUCUCAGGUAUGAAUGAUAAAUUGUUUGUGGUGACUUUUUAUAUUCAAAAUAUGUUUGGAUGACUUAGAUUGCAUUUCUGUUGCACAAAUCUGGACAAUCUGAACCUAUUAUGGUUCAGGGACCGGUCCCUAAACAGAGGGACCGGUCCCCGUAGGUCUUCUCUGCGUAAAGACUACAAGAGACUGGUCUGUGGUAUCAAAAGACCGGUUCCCGUAAGUUGUUUUUUCAAAUACAUAUUAAGGAACCGGACCCUGGAUUGAAAGACUAUAACCGUACACUGGAUUUCUUGUUACGCAGGGAGGGACCGGUCCCCGCAACAAAGGACCGGUUCCCGUAGCCUGUAUUUUUUGUGUACGCAGAGAGGGACCGGUCUCUAGAACGAGGGACCGGUCCCCGUAACUUGGGUUUUUCUAUGUGCAGAGGAGGACCGGUCUUUGGAAUGAGGGACCGGUCCCCGAAGCUUAUAUUUUUGGCUACGCAAAGAAGGACCGGUCCCCGUAACCUAUGGUUUUUGCUACGCAGAGAGAGACCGGUCCUUGACUUGAAGGACCGGACCUUGGAAGACCGGUCCCGUCGGGAAGACCGGUCCCUGAGACCGUAUUUGUUUCCAAAAUUGGGUUUUUGCAAUCCUAGUUUACUUCUAAGUCUUCUAAACCUAUAUAUAUGCUAUGAGGGUUAUCAUAUGGGUUGAUGCUUAGAGUUUAGACCAUUAAGAAACCCUAGAAACUUGUUUUUGAGCUUUAUGAUCCAUGUCUUAAAGCAAGUUUCGAUUUGUUGAUCGUCAACUUGAUUCUUAGACUUUUAUUCUAAUGUUCCUUCGAGAAUCGAGUUGAUGAUUGACUAAAAGAGGAUUCCUCAUAGCUUAUGGUUUUUUAAAGUUUCAAUCACCACAAAUCAUAAUCUCUACGAGCUCCGGAUGGAGAAUUGGUGCAGGGAUUACGCGUGAGGCUGAGGAUUCGGUGGACGCAUCAAGGAGUCGAGGCGUUGACGUUGCGAGGAUUUGCGGCGGGAUCGAUCGAAGGACUUUGAUCGAUUGAGGACCGACGAAGGCGAUCUAUGACAAAGAUUCGGUAAAUUGGGUCGUGUAAUUAGUAAAUCACUUGUACUCAAUUGUUUCUAUAGUGGAUUUUUUGCGUGAUCGGUCCCGUGGGUUUUUUCUCCAAAUUGGAGUUUUCCCACGUUAAAUCUCGGUGUGUUGGUUUUUUAUUUCUGCUUUUACUUUAAAUUUGCACCGGGAGUUUUGAUUUUGCCGUUUACACCUAUUCACCCCCCUCUAGGUGUUAUUUACCUUUUAGAUCUUUGGAAUCCAUAUAUCACAAGUGGUAUCAGAGCGGGUAUAGGUUGUAAACUAUGGCCGAGGGAGGUAACAUUAACCAACCCCCUUUCUUUGAUGGCACUAAUUACGGUUAUUUGGAAAGUUCGCAUGAGAGCGUUUCUUAUUGCCAUUGACGAGUGGGUUUGGCAAGCAAUUGAAUUCGGAUGGAAACAUCCUACCGAACUAGUCGGUGAUGUUGCCGGUCCUAAACCUAGAAACAAAUGGACGAAAGAGGAAAAUGAACUAUCUUCGUUCAAUGGGAAGGGUAUCAAUGCUUUGUUCAAUGCUUUAAAUCAAACCGAAUUUUCUCGAGUUUCGGCGUGUGAAACCGCCAAAGAAAUUUGGGACACUUUACAAGUUACACAUGAGGGUACAAGCUUGGUAAAGGUUCAAAAAUUACAAAUAUUGACUAGUAGAUUUGACUCUAUUCGUAUGGAAGAACAUAAAACCUUUACCGAGUAUUAUACUCGUCUUCAAGAUAUUGUAAACACUUGUGCUAACUUGGGUGAAAAGAUUUCUGAACCUAAGAUUGUUUGAAAAAUUCUAAAGACCCUUCCCGAACGAUUUCAUCCUAAGGUUGCGGCCAUAGAAACGGUAAAACAUCCGGACGAAUUAAAAGUUGAUGAAUUAGUUGGUGCACUUCAAACAUAUGAAAUGACUUUUCCCUCUAAUACAUCGUCUUCCAAGUUGUUGUCUAAAGCUUCAGGUAUGGCACUUAAAUCAACAAAAGCAGGCAAUUUGGAGUCUUCAUCUACAGAUUCGGAUUCGGAUUCGGACCCAACCUUGGAGGAGUUCUGUCACGCCCCGAGACCGCUAAUAAUUUGGUCCGGUUCGGGCCCGUCGAACAGACGCCGGACGGACAGCACCUCCCCUGCCCGCCCAAGGCUCGACAACAAAAUCAUGUACAUAGAAUUGCCCAGUAAUUAUUCAAUUACAUACAUGAUAAGCACGGAGCACCACCAAUGCCAACAAGUAAGAGCAAGAUACAAGCAUGUCAUACAAGUAAAUACAGAGAGAUAUGUCUAUCUAUUACAUUCAUUCAACCAUUCAUUCGCAUCAAGUUUACAUUUUGUAACUUCAAAAUGGAUGUACACAUGUUUCGAUCUCCAAAUACAUAAGUAACUCUCAAAAUACAUCACAUCUCUAGGUACUCGAGGAUACUCUAAUGCAAAAAGGAAAGCUACUAUCUGACUAGGGCGCUAUGCCCUUACCACGGUCCUCUGCUGGUGUUCUCUCGCCGGGCCCUGCAACAAAGUGGGGUGAGAACUAUAUAAAUAUAGUUCCCAGUGGGUUCGGCCGCCGACUCUGCCGAUCUCCCCACUAGGUCUAAGCAGGUAUAAGUAGAUAAAUAGAUAGAUAGAUAUAUAUCUAAAGCCGUAAAUGAUGCAUAUCGAAAGAAUUGUAUUAUACUACUAUGCCUUGAGAUUCAAGAAUGAACAAGAUAGCCAUACAUUCACUAACAUGCUAUAAACCAACAUCGAGUAUGGAUACAACUCUACUAUGCCCAAUAUGCACAAUAUGCCCAAUUUACAUAACUCUCUUGAGUUUAUUACCAAAUCAUCUGGCUGGCCCAUAGGCGCGCCCUCAACUCACAUCUCAAAUCCGUCUAUGAAGGGGGACUCGAACCACCCGAGGGACUGUCUGCGGGACCUCACAUAGGCUAUCUCUUGGAAUCCCACAUAGGCUAUCCUAAUCGAUUCACGUGCCAAACUACGGAGCACACUACCUGUGCGGAGUGACCGCUACAAGCGCUGAAUAGACAAUGUGAGUAUAAUCAAAUCCUCGUCUAAUGAGGAUACCCUGUGUCACGUCUCGAGACCGCUACCAAUUUGGUCCGGUUCGAGCGCGUCGAACAGACGCCGAACGGACAGCACCUCCCCUGUCCGCCCAAGGCUCAACAACAGAUCGAGUACAAGAAUUUACCCAGGAAUUUAAAUUCUAUAUGUACACAAUCAACGAAGGGCACAACUUGUGCCCACAACUAAGAGCAAGUAAUCCACAAGUAUCAACAAGUGAAAAAGAGAGAGAACUACUAACUAUUACAUCACAUUUGUAUUCUUUUUAUAAUUACAUCUUUCCAAAAUGAAUACAUGUUCAUCUCAAUUACAUCAUUAGCUCUUCCAAAAACAUAAAGCAUCUAGAUACAAAAUGGUACUCUAAUGCAUAAAAGGAAGCUACUAUACUACUGCUCGGGCGCAAUGCCUUUGCAGCGAUCCUCGCCCGGCGCGCCCACACUCGGCCCUGCAGUGAAGUGGGGUGAGAACUAUCUUCUAUAGUUCCCAGUGGGUUUGGCCGCCGACUCCGCCGAUCUCCCCACUAGGUCCAAGUGGAAGUAACAACUAGAUAGAUAGAUAGAUAUCCAAAGCAGUAAAUGACAUAAUAGGAAAACUAUGCUACUCUGCCCAUAAUCACAAGUAAUGAAUGCAUGCAUCAUUUAGUAAAGGUUUACUAUCACGCUACUAUGUCCAAUCAUGUCCAAUAAGCGAUGUUCAAUGACAAUGCUAUUCUUUCAUUUACCCAAUCCUUGGCAAAUCCCUUGGGUUCGCCCACGACUCACAUCAUCAUCCCGUAGGGUAAGGAGUCUCAACUCGCUCUCGAACUCGGGGUUGUUUGCGGACAUCAACUCUGUCCCGAUCGCUCGACACUCCGGAGUACUCGACGACAUGAAUGGCUAUACCACCCCGGAUGGCUAUACCACCCCGAAUGGCUAUACCACCCCAAUAACGGACCAUGAGCUUGAUCUAUCCUCUCCAUUUGAGGACACCCUACGAACUAGGGCCAACAACUCUCUCGGAACUCACCUAUUCCGACAUUCAUGCAUAAGUGCUUAGCUAUACUAAGUUCUUUGUUCACGAGUCGUUUACUAGGGAAUCCACCUAUCCCUAUGUUCACGUACCACUAGUGUCGUAAUACACUACAUUAGAUGCCACUCGUUUUGUUCACAUAUCAAUUAUACGCCACUGGUUAUAUCAUUAAUUAUCAUCGAGUUCAUCUCUUUCCUUUAGCACUAUAGGAUUCAAUGUUUCGACCCAAUCUUUACCUAUCCAAUUUACCAAGUAUUCAACUCACUAGGUUAUUAUUUAGAAAGCAUAAGGAAAAGGUAUUACAAUGCAAUUCUACAAUGCAUAUGCAAGAGAUGAAAUUUCAUAUGUUCUAAGACAUAAUAAGGAGCCUGGUUACUUCGGGAUGACAUCCCCAACCUUUCGAAGGUUCCCGGCAUUGUAGAGAUCCUAAGAACACUCCUCGGCACUUGCUUCGAUGAUGCUUCGGCCUCCUAGGUCGAAACGAAGCUCAGAUGGCCUUAUUUUGCCAAAAGCUUCUCACCCGCUCGACGAAUCGCAAAUUCGACUUCGCGAAUGUGUUUAAACACAUAUCAAUUAGGUUAAGAGGCCAUCAAUUGAGAUCAAACCCCUCUAUUUAACAAAGCCCCAAAUUGAAGCCCUAGGUUUGCAACUAUGCAAAACCAUUCAAUCAAAACCCUAGAUUCUAGCUCUAAACACUUGUUAAGCAUGUUAGGGGUCUAUUUGACCCAUUUACAAGGCUAGAAAUCCAAAACCCUAGGUUCUACUAUGCUAGGGUUUAGUAGCUUACCUCUUGAGCUACUCCAAUGGGAUGAAGGGGGAGAGAGGAAGGUGGUGGAGAUGAUCUCCUCUAAGCUCUCCUCUUUCUUCUUCUUCUCCUUCUUCUACUUCUCUUUUCCUUCUUCUCCUUCUCUUUUCUUUCUUCUCCUUCUAGAGAGAGAGAGAGGGAGAGAAUAUGAGUGUGAGGGUGGAAAUGAGAGAGGGAGAGAGAGCCCUUUGCUCUCUAUACUCUCUAACUAAGGCAUAAUUGCAGCCAAGCCCCUCAACUUUAUCCAACUCAACCUGCCCAGUUUGGGCAGUUUUCGUGCACGGGGACCGGUCCCUCUACGGGGGACCGGUCCCUCUACGGGGGACCGGUCCCCAAGAGCUUCUCCCACAGGCUGGAGUUCCCAGCCAGCUUCUACGCACACGGGGACCGGUCCCUCCCGCCAGGGAUCGGUCCCCGAGAGCAAUGCUCUCGCAGGACAUCUACGGGAACCGGUUCUCCACUGGGAGACCGGUCCCAACUGGGACUCCAUAUUGCUUACGGGGAUCGGUCUCUCCCGCUAGGGACUGGCCCCUGAGAGUAGACUUGUGCGCAGAGGAUUUUCCCUGCGCAGCAAGCUUACGGGAACUGGUCCCUCAUGCCAGGGACCGGUCCCCGAGAGCCUGAUCAGCAGAAGUGCAGAUUUGCACUAUUUGCUCUCGUGGACUACAGUUCCAAUGCACUUUUUGGGUUUUAGACAUCUUCGGCUUUUUCGAAGCAUACCUACUCGACAAUUAGUCGAUUCUGGACGAAGUACAACUCUCGAAUUUCGAGAAUUCACUUCCUUACAUCCUCCCUUCCUAAAACGGAGUUUCGUCCUCGAAACUAAUCCAAUUCUCAACUCAAACUUAAACUUCUACCUCAAUCCUCAAAUAGAUGAGGAUGAUGCUUUUUCAUUAGCUCCUCGAGUUCCCAGGUGGCUUCGUGAUCGUUAUGAUUGCUCCACCGUAUCUUCACAUAGGGAAUUUCUCGAUUUCGCAGUUUUCGCACUUCUCGGGUGAUAAUCAUCACCGGAAACUCCUUGAAGCUCAAGUCUUCUUGAAGUUCCGGCGGUUCAUAUAACAUCGCGUGCUCUGGGUCAUGGAUGUACUUGCGAAGAUUGGAGACGUGGAAUACAUUAUGCACAUUGGCGAGCUUCGGCGGCAAGGCAAGCUGAUAGGCCACCGUGCCUACUCGCUCCAAUAUCUCAUAAGGUCCGAUGUACCGGGGACUUAGCUUUCCUCGUACUCCAAAUUGCUUCACACCCCGCAUCGGUGAAACUUUCAAGAACACGCGGUCGCCCACCACGAACUCUGUGUCUUGACGGCGCCUAUCUGCAUAACUCUUCUGUCUCGAUUGUGUCGUGAGCAAUCUCUUGCGAGCAAGGCGGACUUUCUCCUCCGCUUCUCGCAAAACAUCGGGGCAGAACUCUGCAUGUUCACCCACAUCACUCUAGUGUAUAGGAGAUUGACACUUCCGCCCAUAAAGAGCCUCGAACGGUGCCAUCUCCACACUAGCAUGAUAACUAUUGUUGUAGGCAAAUUCAACCAUUGGCAGGUGAUCACACCAAUUUCCCUUAUAGUCGAUGACACACGCUCGCAACAUAUCCUCCAGAGUUUGAAUGGUCCUCUCUGUUUGCCCAUCUGUCUGAGGAUGAAAUGCGGUGCUGAAAUCGAGCCGUGUGCCAAGGGCUUCCUGUAGGCUCUUCCAGAAGUGUGAGGUGAAUCGCGGGUCGCGAUCCGACACGAUCGACUUUGGCACCCCUUGCAACCUCACUAUCUCAUCGAGGUAAACCUGCGCCAACUUGUCAUCUGCCCACGUAGUGUGGAUCGGCAAAAAGUGAGCCGACUUCGUUAAACGAUCCACAAUCACCCAAAUUGCAUCGUGGCCGCCCGUUGAACGAGGCAAGCUGACCACGAAGUCCAUUGACACAUCCUCCCAUUUCCAAAUGGGGAUUGGUAGGCUUUGCAGUUUUCCCGCUGGAAAUCAACGCUCCGCCUUCACUUGUUGGCAUACUAAACAUCUCGCCACGAUGCGUCCAACAUCACCCUUCAUUCCAGGCCACCAAUAGUGCAAUUUCAAUCCUUGAUACAUUUUGGUGCCGCCCGGGUGAUCACAAUAAAGCGACCAAUGUGCCUCUUACAAGAUUAACCUUCGAAUCUCCUCAUUGUUCGAAACACACCAUUGAUUUCGGAAUCGAAGUGCACCACCGGCGUCUAUCGUGAAAUCGCCACCACAACCCUUCUCGGUGUCGCGUCACACUUUUUGGAGAUCUGGGUCCGCAGGUUGCAGAUUUUUAAUCCUUUCCAACAAGGUCUGUUGGACAACGAGCGUUAACAACUGAGCCGGAAUCUCGGGAGCAACUACCUCAAGGUUCAUUUGCUCCAUGUCCAGCCAUAGGGGCGUUUGAUUUGUAACCCACAUAGCGAGGUUCUCCACCGACUUCUUGCUGAGCGCAUCCGCGACCACAUUCGCUUUCCCGAGGUGGUAAAGGAUGUCAACAUCAUAAUCCUUUAGUAGUUCUAACCACCGCCACUAACGCAUGUUAAGCUCCUUUUGGGUGAAUAGAUAUUUCAGGCUCUUGUAGUCGGUAAAGAUCUCGCAAUGGGCACCAUACAGAUAGUGCCUCCACAGUUUCAAAGCGAAGAUCACCGCUGCCAGCUCCAAAUCAUGGAUGGGGUAGUUUUUCUCAUAGCUUUUCAGCUGACGGGACACAUAAGCGAUUACCUUCCCGCCCUACAUUCUAGUCUCGGCAGUUUUCCAAAAUCCACCCUUUUAGAGAGAGAGAAGAGCUAAUCUAGAGAGAGAGAGAGAUAGUGUUUUGGUGUUUAGAAUAUGAGGGAGUGAGAGAGAAGGGCUCACAUCACCUCCCUUUAACCCCUAUUAACACCAAAUUGCAAGAAACCCCCUCAACUUUGUGUUUUUGUGCACAGCCCACGCGGGGCAUUUUUUGUGUAAGGGGCCGGUCCUUGGACUUGAGGGACCGGCCCCCGUAGGUCCAGAAAAACAGUAUUUUAGGACGUAGCCAAAUUUUCAACUUUUUCAGCUUUCGGGGUCCGUUUUCACUCGUUUGGCCUCCGAUUCUUUUCAAAUCGAACCGAGACUCUCCAAACAUGUUUUCGAGUGUGUUUUCAUCAUGUUUCAUCCACGCUAAAGCCGGAUUUAGCUCUCGGUCCAACGUAGCCUUUCGGGUUUCGUUUUCGCGCCUACGCGCACCGAAAUGCCCGAAUGCUCCCGAACGAACUUCACCGAACUUCACCGGAGCCGUUCAAAUGGCUUUCCAACCAAAUGUACACCGUAACUUCAUAAUUUUAGAAGUCCGGUACCUUACAUCCUCCCCUCCUUAAAAAAGUUUCAUUCUCAAAACUCACUUCUAAUCCAACUUAUACCUCAACUCUACUUAUGAAAUAGUCAAGGGUUCCAAUACACUUUUGCAUCUCGGAUUGACCUUUCACUCAUUGUAAUCAUUCAAAGGUUCACUACGGAGGAUGUGAGGCCUAUUUCACUCACAUUUGCCACGUAUAAGUCCAAAAGUGCAUUACCACCAUGCAAGGAAUUACUCUUUGCAUUAUAUACCCAAUUGGGAAAUUCGUUCCGAUUCGAUCACGGCAUUGCUUAUAAGCAAUAUUGUUGGUGACUCGACCAAUCGCGAGUGCUUCAAUCACAACCGGAUCCUUGCUCUAUCACGAGAUGGCACACUCCGGCACAUCCCCAAUCUCAAUCCACAAAGAGCAUUAUCUUCAAGUUCCCAUUCUCACGUGGCUUCCAUUAGCUCAAUGUCUCACAAGAGCAUUUCAUCCUUUGCCAUCAUAAGCCACGGCCAACUCGGCUUCGUUCUUGCAACGAAUUCACACGAACCCUCCGUUCGCGAACCCAAGCCAAACUCACCAAUAGAGUUAUCGGUUAAACCGAUUACGUCGGUUUCCACAGGUGGACCAAUGGUCACCAAUAUUACGUAGGUCUACCGCCUAAACCUGUCUCACUACGCGUAGCAUCUCUCGUUCACUAGCGUAGACCCAAUCAUAAUCGGGCGAAAUUCUCACUUGGGAAUUCGCAUACACUCCAACCAGGAGCAACCAAGACCCCAAACCACGUCAAGUCCUCCGGUUGGGUCACAACCGCACUCUUAGUGCAUCAUCGAUCUCAUGCUCUAAUGCAUGGCAUUCUACGCUCCCGGGUCCAAGCUCGGACUACCGUCCUGAACAAAACUCUGCCCUACCCGUAGGUACCGGGCCACUGUCUCAAACAGCCGACUGUGCCUGUCCAAGGGCCUAGGCUCCACAGUCCACAAGUGGUCCAGGCACGGGUCGUCCACAAGUGGUCCAGCCACUAGCCUUACGAGUGAUCCAUGGCCCGCUUCAUACUUAGCAAUGCUGAAGUGCUACUGCCAACACACUCUCCCGGCUGAGUCAAUACCGCACACUACGAAUUCCUAUACUCGAGCGCUCUUACGCUUUCUAUACCAAAUUCGGCAUAAGGCGACCUUGCCUAUGCGCAUCGGCUACAAGAGCACAACUGCCUACCUCACAUUGAGGUACUACUAGGCCCACAGGCCAAACUUGGCGCUAAUCAACCGUUUUCUCAACAGUGAUCUACUUUCACUGUUCGAUCUACCAAAACCGUAUUCGAACUUUCUGGGAUUACUCGGGCAUCCGCAAGUAUUAGUGCUCGACUCUCGCAAUCUACCAACCACAUUGCCUUGAGAGUUGCCUCACCAUUUCAUCUCUACAACGAGAUUCAUUUCUUGUCCAAGAACCAUUACUAGCAAUUUGUUAGUGCCACAUGGCUCUCUACUUGCUCCAGCAGGCGCCAUACUCUCACCGCAUAAGCAUGCUCGGGCAUCUACACUUACCCGUCCACUGGUCUCUACUAUACUGAUGAAUAAAUAGUAGCAACUGACCACUCAUUAAUAUGCAUGCUACGCAACAACUUGAUAUUAUGCUUGCUUAAUUAACUCACACCUGCCAUGACAUCGUCAGUAGUAGCAGGUUCCUCCACCUGCUUCGCGUAUCCACGGCCAAUGCCCGCCGUGAACCCCUCGGUGGCAUCAACCUCAACGGUCGCUCUUCCGACCAUGCUGUAGGUGGCACACCUGCAGACUAUCCUGGAGAGGAAAAGGCUGUCGCCAACGUCACGGCCCGAUAACCGCCCACACGAAUGCAUAUCUCAUCGCGCAACGUACCCCGCCGCGCCUGAUGAGAACUUCUGCAAUCCCGUAUCUUGAAGAAGUUAAUAAAGGACGCCUCCGAGGUUUGGGAUUGCAGUUGCACUCGAGAACGUACACUGCCCAAACUGGACAAAUUUCGUGUACGGGGACCGGUUCUCACUCGAGGGAUCGGACCUUCAGGGACCGGUUCUCCUACGAGGGAUCGAACCCUGAGAGCAAAUAUUGCGCGCAGAGAUUUUCUACGGCGCACCCUGCUUACAGGAACCGGUCCCUCACACCAGGGGCCGGUCCCCGAGAGCAGAAAUUCUGCAACUUAGCAGAAUUUCCAAUCUUGCUCCCCGAGGCCCUUGCCAAUGCACUUUUGGGUUCUUGACGGCUUCGGCCUUUUCGAAGCGUACCCAAUCGAUAAUCAGUCGGUUCUAAACGAAGUCCAACUCUUGUAUUUCGAGAAUUCACUUCCUUACACGCACAACCUCGACCACGUCCGGCCAAGGUCUUCGCAGAGGCACAUCGGCCACUUCCUUGUCAUUCCGCACUGCGUUUGGGACGCAACUCAUGAUACGAGAGAAUUCCCGCUCGUAUUCCCUCAUGGCGCGGUCUACCUGCCGCAGCUUCGGGAACCUUUCCUGAAGCUUUCCUUUCCCACCACCCGGAAAGUGAACAGAGAAUAUUGAUCCCUGAAACUCAUCCGAAGUCAUAGGAGAGAGAACAGGCGAUCAAUUUUGCUUGACGCCUUCCACCACACCUUUGCCGACUGCUUGCAAGCAACGCACCGCUAGGUGUACCUUGUCCCACUCUACAGUGCACAGAUCCCCAAAGGGAGUCUCCAUGAAGUAGAUCCACAACUUCACGAUCAAUGGAUCCGCAUUCUCUCCAUCAAGGGUAGACUUAUCAAACCGCUUGAAGGUCAUGAGGGCCGCCAAAGCUCGCUCCCUCACCGCCUUCACUUCUGAAGCGCUAGAAGUCGGAUUACCCCCACCCCGACGGAAACACCUCCGCCUCAACUCCCGGCCGUACUCAAUGAGUCGGAACUGGUGCGAUCACUACUGAUCCACCAACUCUUGGAUUCUCUUAACUCGCUCCUCCUGGCAUAUGGCAGCCUUCUGCUGACACUGCACUAAUUCAGCUCGUUACCCCGCCACUCCCACGAGAGUGGCCAAAUGCUCGCGAAGUCCUAAGUCCCCGCUUGCCUCGGACUGCUCAGGGACACCACUUGUCCUAUCCCGCGCCGAUCUAGAUGAAGAUCGUCUACGCGGUGCCAUCGCUUCCUAAGACAUGACAACUCGGUCGGCUCUCGACCCUCAAGGUCGAGCGCGAAACAACCGACAUCGACUUAAAUCGGGCGAAAGUCACGCAAGGGCAUCUAUUCUGAUCCCUCGGUUUCAUGUUGUCGAUCGCCCAACAUGAACACACUUGGUCGAGAAUAAACCACGCCUCAAGUCUACCUCUAAUAUCCGUCUUAGAGGUUUACAACUCUUGACCCAAUCAAUUAACCUUUCGCCAAUAGUCACAAGUCCUCGUCUCUCACGAGCCUUAUUCUUCUAUGGUUCGCUAUCCUAGGGUCUCCUAGGUCUGCCUAAACCAUUCCCAUUCUCUACUUUAUGCUCUGAUACCAUCUUAUCUGUCACGACCCGCGACCCCUGCCUAUUUGGCCGGAUUCAGGUCAUCAACAGACCGCCGAACGGAUAGGGUUUCCCCUGUACCGCGAACAGAGUCUCUUCUGUACGUUCUAGGCAUCGCAAUCAAUAUAAUACAAGAGGUUCCAACCAAGAACAGUAUUCGACAUACAGAUUGCAUAAGGAAGUAUCAAAAACAUAACACAUCCUAUGUUAUUACAAGCAUUCACAUGAGAUUCAUUUUUACAUUACAUUCAACUCCCAAAUGCAAUCAAGGUUAUUACAACUUUUACUUAUUUACAAGUUUGAUACAUCUUGUUGUUUUCAUUUCCCCUCUACCCCUAGGCUAUGCCGACUCGGGGUACCGCUAUCUCUGGUCUCUGGGUAGGGUGCUAUCUAUGGAACUACGCCCUUGCCUCGCGCCGCCGCGCCGCUCACGUGCGAACCUGUAACACCCCAAAAUAACGUGGGGUGAGAACCAACUCCAUGGUUCCCAGUGAGGACGGCCACCCAAGGAAAUAGCUCGACCAAUAGGUCCAAGGAGGCACUGCAACAUGUUAGUCCAAAAAUAUACAACAGAUAUAUAUUCAAAUUGAAAUACAUGUCAUGCCUCACAAUAUGCAAUAUGAAAUCAUGCAACUAUGCAACUAAGUAGUUCACUAGUAGAUCCAUCGAUACUACUUUCAAUCCUGCUAUUCAUAGCUCAUCCAAUUGACUUCUAACUUUUCCUCUGUCUUGGAUUCAUGUCAAUUACCAUUCUGAUCAUAAGGUUUCAUUGACCUUCACUGUUUGUUCACGAGGUUUUAUCUACCUUUACAAAGCUAUCCACCCGACUCGGUCUUCAGUCAAUCAUCUGCAGAAUACCGCGCAAAGCCAAGCUCGAGGCGAAGGACGUCUCACUUGCACCUCAGCCUUAGAUCCACUCAACUGGGAUACCAAAUCCACUAACAAUGUCUAAUUAGCAAAUGUUCAAUAAACAGUGCUAUUGUCAUGCCCCAAUCCCCGCCAAUUUGGUCGGGUUCGGGUCACGUCAACAGACGCCGAAUGGACAGAGCCUCCCCUGUCCGUCCAAGGCUCUAAAACAUGUAUAAUAAAGCAAUCAAAUAAUGAGAUUAGCAUUUAUACAAGGCUUGCACGAGAGCAAGCAACAACGGAAGCGAAAGCUCUAAUCUAUCAUACUCAAGAUACAUAGUACUUGAUUGCUUUUGCACCAAAUAAAAGUAAACUGAACUAUUACAUUUCUUGCUUUCAUUCAUAAUUCUUUACAUUUAGCUAUUCACCAAAUUACAUAUUUGUUAUCAACUUUACAACUUUCUCAAUCAACAAAAGAAGUUGAUACAUGUAAACCAAAAAGGGAAAUGACUACAAAAUGUGAAAAAGUCCCGGUGGCCGCUAUCUACGGCGCUAAACCCUUGCCUCGGUCCUCUGCCGCCCUGUCGUACUAGGACCUGUAGGGUUAGUGGUGUGAGAACUACAACGAAGUUUCCAGUGGGUUCAGCAUCCGACCUCGCCGACUUACCCACUAGGUCUAUCCAGGCAUAAGUAUGACAAAGGAAGAAAAGUAACCAGUACUAAUGCAUCUAAUACUAUGCUUGCAAAAGAAUGUCAGUGGAUAUAGGUAAUCAACAAUAUAUAUUAUGCAUGCAUGCAUGUUCUUUAUCAUUCCUUUGUCUUUCUGUACCCAAUCUUACCGGUUAACUUUGUUAAUCCCAAUAGCUCACCAUUCCAUCUCCCGUCUUCCGAACGUUACGAACGCCGAGUCCGCGUCCUAUAGUCAAAAUAGUGCCAAAUUAGGCCCUUUGUACAUGAACUACUCUUAAACAUUUUUGUAAUGUUAAACGGAGUUGUCCCACGCGUCGAGGUCACCCCCAAUUAGGUUUCUACGAGGUCAAUUCGUCCCCAAAAAAUUCUAGGGCAAAAGCCCCAAAUUUGAGCCCUAAUAAUGUCACAAUGAGAUUUCUCCUAAAUUGAUCUCAUUCCUAAGCAAAAGAUAGCUUAGAAUCACCUAGGAAGCUCUCUAAUACCUUUACAAAGCGAUUCUGCACAUUCCUAGGGCAUCUAGUAUGAACCCUAGGGGUUCACCAUGAGAGCACCUCAAGAAACCAUGGUUUCAUGGUGUCUUGAGCUUAACAAGGUUUCUAAAGCUUGAAACAACCUCAAAACUCUAAAUCUUAGGGUUUAAAACCAAACUCUAGAGUUCUACUUGCUUAAACUCACCUUGGCCCAAGCUCUUCCUAAGAUCCUUCUUGCAGGAGAGCUCUUAGAUCCACCAAAGCUUCCAAAACCCACUUCUCCUUGCUUCUUCUCUUUCUUCUCCAAGCUCUAGGGGAUGAUCUCUAGAGAUAGAAAGGGAAAAAUGAGAGAGAGAAGAGUGGAAAUGGCUGUGGGAGAGAGGGUGAGAGGGGAUGGGUACAUAAUAUGUUGCAACAAUAGCAACAAGACCCCUCAACUCCAAAUAUUUGCAUCAGCCCUUACUUGGCAAUUUUCGCAGUCGGUGACCGGUCUCCCCGACUAGGGACCGGUUCCCGAAAAGCUGUUUUCCAGGACUUAGCCAAUUUUCGGGGUUUUUGGCUGACUGCACAACGAGGGACCAGUCUCUCCUUUAGGGACCGGUUCCUCAGGGACCGGUUUCACUGCCAAGGACCGGUUGCCUCAGGAUUCCUAGCAGGCUACGAGUACGGGGACCGGUCUCUCCUUCAGGGACCGGUCCCCGAGAGCACAAAAUCUCAGACUUAGCCAGAUUUUCGAAUUUCACUUUCUCGGAUCCCUUUGUACUAUAUAUAGGCUCCAAAACACUUGUAGCACACUGGACCUUUGCAAAUUGCGAGGUUCGAGUGUUCGAUUUGUAUUCCGAACUUUUUCACACUUGGUGGCGGGCCGUCGAUGGUAUACCGGCCUAAAAGUUCGAUCUCGAGAGUUUUGGCAGAGUCCUGAGAGUUUUUACUCUCGGGGACCGGUCCCUGAUAGGAGAGACCGGUCCCCCAGUGAACAGUGCUGCGCAGCCGGCGAGGCAACCGGUCCCUGGCAGUCGAGACUGGUCCCCGAGCGCGUCUGCGCGGGGAGAGACCGGUCCCGCGCAGGGAGAGACCGGUUCCCGAACGUUGGAUUUUCGGGGGCAGGCUGAGAGACCGGUCCCAGGUCGGGGAGACCGGUCCCUCUGGGCGAAAACUGCCCAGACCGGNNNNNNNNNNNNNNNNNNNNNNNNNNNNNNNNNNNNNNNNNNNNNNNNNNNNNNNNNNNNNNNNNNNNNNNNNNNNNNNNNNNNNNNNNNNNNNNNNNNNUGGAGGAGAGAGAAGAGAGUUGGAUCUGGGCUAUAUUAGUAGCCAAAAUCCCAUUAUUGUUACCAGUUUUUUGGCUUUGCCGAUCAAUCUUUUCGAUUAUUUCUAACCAUUGCAUUAAAUACUAGGUAGCCCAGUGGGGACCAUUAACCCUUAGGCGGACCACUCAACUUCCUAACCGACUGUAAUAUCAUCCUGAUCCUACAAUUUUUCAUCCAACGGUUAAAAACUUGAUAGCAAAAAGAGCGUUUUACUAUUAAUAGUAUUCCAGCCUAAUUCUAUAUAUAUAUAUAUAUAUAUAUAUAUAUGGAGAGAGAGAACUAUGCUAGAAUAUUAUUAAUAGCACUGUUUUUGACCAUUGGAUGAAUAGCAUGGUAACCGAAUAAUAUAUAUAUAUAGAGUCCGGCUGGGAUACUAUCGAUAGCACCAAGCACUUGGUGCUAUCGAGUUUUUCGCUAUUAGAUUUAACCAUUUGACUAUUUUCACCCGUUAGAUUAUACUAUUCCACCAACAACUGACUCAAUUCUAGGGGGCCCACAUCAUCCUAACCGUAUAUUUCUUCAAUGAAGGGCUGAAAACUUAAUAGUACCAACAACUUGGUGCUAUUGAUAGUAUUCCAGCCUAAUUUUAUAUAUAUAUAUAUAUACACGCCCCGGGGCCGAUUUUAAAAGCCUUUUUAAAAUAGAGUUGCGGAAAACGUGCCAUUUUUUUUUUUUUUUUUUCAACCUGGCCCACGUGACGUACAGACCCGCCACAAAUACAAAGUUCCUCUGUCCACUCGGACGGAGUCUUCUUUGUAUUUGCACGGCGUACCAACAAUAAAACAGGAUCACAACCACAAUCUACAUUUACCAAUCAACAACCAAGGCAUGAUAUGCAUUUCCAUACAGCUAACAAUCCUUAGAAUGAUGCAUGCCUCUAAGCACUCCUUAGGCGCUGGAUGAUGCAAUGCACAAUACAACAAACAUCCUAUUUAAAAGUGCUCCCCACACGGAAGUUUUUGUUUUUAAACUCUAAUUCAUUCAUUCAUAAAAACCAUUCAAAAAUUUUUUUGAAAUUGUUUCCCACACGGAAACUCUAUUUUGAAAACCGACUACCUCGAGGGGUAGAAAACCACGAUGCAUAACUACAAGAAAACCAAAUCUCCACAGAACCAAAACCACAGAUCGAAAACUCCAAUCUCAUGUAUAAUAAAACAUCCAUAAUCUCAUGCAUAACGGAAAUCACCACAUUCAAACAUCUAACUGAACCAUUUAUUUAAAUGACUACUAAAGGCGGAAAGAAAUAACCAGGGUGACGGUCGCUACUGCCGUCUAGCUAGAUCGUUCUCUCGUCGAGCCCAAAAUCCAACUCCUCGUCUCUGUCACCUGGGGGGGAAAGGGGGGUGAGAAACCGCAACCAUGAUUUUCUCAGUGGGUACGACAGAGCCACGAAGGCAAGCCGUAAUCACCGGAAACCAAAGGAGAUAGAUAAACAAAUAUAUAACUUAAGCUGAUAUGAAAUAGAACUACAGUAGCUACAACAGAUAAAUAGGAAGCAAUAAAUAAACCUGCUACUGUAUAGAAAACAAUGCAAAGAAUGCCUCAAUGUACUGAACCAGAAACUGUACCCAAUCUGUGCCUGCUGUAUCGGUCCGCAGACCUCAAGCGCUGCCUGUCACUAACUGCACCGACCUGAUCCAUCCGCCCCGCAGGACAACCUAUCCGGAUAAGUACACCUCCGAUCGGUGGCCAAACCGAUCCGGUGUCAUGAAUACCCCCAAGUGCCGUGACUAAGUCAUGCUGGUAUGCUUAAACAAAAACAAACCCGGCUAAAGCCGGUGCCUAGGCCGAAGCCAACAACGAGGGCGUACAAUGCCAAACUGAAAUAGAAGAUAGGGCGUACAACGCCGAACUGAAAUAGAUGCUAGGGCGUACAACGCCGAACCUCGAUCAACCAGAUCGAGACACACGACAAGAGAGUCGAUGUGUUGCCUGGACCCAAGGUCCACAGAGAUACUGAAAUACAAAUGCAACCUGCUCUACAUGUCUAUCAACUACUAACCAAAUGCAAUCAAAGAGGUACGAUAUACGAAAGAUAAGCAAGCAAUGACAUGUAGAGACUAAAAUACGGGAAUAGAAAAACAGGAGAAGGAGGUGAAACGCUCUCACCGACUACCAGCUCGAAGCACCCACCUGUCACUAUCGCGUCGGAANNNNNNNNNNNNNNNNNNNNNNNNNNNNNNNNNNNNNNNNNNNNNNNNNNNNNNNNNNNNNNNNNNNNNNNNNNNNNNNNNNNNNNNNNNNNNNNNNNNNNNNNNNNNNNNNNNNNNNNNNNNNNNNNNNNNNNNNNNNNNNNNNNNNNNNNNNNNNNNNNNNNNNNNNNNNNNNNNNNNNNNNNNNNNNNNNNNNNNNNNNNNNNNNNNNNNNNNNNNNNNNNNNNNNNNNNNNNNNNNNNNNNNNNNNNNNNNNNNNNNNNNNNNNNNNNNNNNNNNNNNNNNNNNNNNNNNNNNNNNNNNNNNNNNNNNNNNNNNNNNNNNNNNNNNNNNNNNNNNNNNNNNNNNNNNNNNNNNNNNNNNNNNNNNNNNNNNNNNNNNNNNNNNNNNNNNNNNNNNNNNNNNNNNNNNNNNNNNNNNNNNNNNNNNNNNNNNNNNNNNNNNNNNNNNNNNNNNNNNNNNNNNNNNNNNNNNNNNNNNNNNNNNNNNNNNNNNNNNNNNNNNNNNNNNNNNNNNNNNNNNNNNNNNNNNNNNNNNNNNNNNNNNNNNNNNNNNNNNNNNNNNNNNNNNNNNNNNNNNNNNNNNNNNNNNNNNNNNNNNNNNNNNNNNNNNNNNNNNNNNNNNNNNNNNNNNNNNNNNNNNNNNNNNNNNNNNNNNNNNNNNNNNNNNNNNNNNNNNNNNNNNNNNNNNNNNNNNNNNNNNNNNNNNNNNNNNNNNNNNNNNNNNNNNNNNNNNNNNNNNNNNNNNNNNNNNNNNNNNNNNNNNNNNNNNNNNNNNNNNNNNNNNNNNNNNNNNNNNNNNNNNNNNNNNNNNNNNNNNNNNNNNNNNNNNNNNNNNNNNNNNNNNNNNNNNNNNNNNNNNNNNNNNNNNNNNNNNNNNNNNNNNNNNNNNNNNNNNNNNNNNNNNNNNNNNNNNNNNNNNNNNNNNNNNNNNNNNNNNNNNNNNNNNNNNNNNNNNNNNNNNNNNNNNNNNNNNNNNNNNNNNNNNNNNNNNNNNNNNNNNNNNNNNNNNNNNNNNNNNNNNNNNNNNNNNNNNNNNNNNNNNNNNNNNNNNNNNNNNNNNNNNNNNNNNNNNNNNNNNNNNNNNNNNNNNNNNNNNNNNNNNNNNNNNNNNNNNNNNNNNNNNNNNNNNNNNNNNNNNNNNNNNNNNNNNNNNNNNNNNNNNNNNNNNNNNNNNNNNNNNNNNNNNNNNNNNNNNNNNNNNNNNNNNNNNNNNNNNNNNNNNNNNNNNNNNNNNNNNNNNNNNNNNNNNNNNNNNNNNNNNNNNNNNNNNNNNNNNNNNNNNNNNNNNNNNNNNNNNNNNNNNNNNNNNNNNNNNNNNNNNNNNNNNNNNNNNNNNNNNNNNNNNNNNNNNNNNNNNNNNNNNNNNNNNNNNNNNNNNNNNNNNNNNNNNNNNNNNNNNNNNNNNNNNNNNNNNNNNNNNNNNNNNNNNNNNNNNNNNNNNNNNNNNNNNNNNNNNNNNNNNNNNNNNNNNNNNNNNNNNNNNNNNNNNNNNNNNNNNNNNNNNNNNNNNNNNNNNNNNNNNNNNNNNNNNNNNNNNNNNNNNNNNNNNNNNNNNNNNNNNNNNNNNNNNNNNGGGCGCGCGCAGGAGGAGCAGGGGAAUGUGGGGGAGGCGGCUAGGGGGCUAGGGCAAGGCUAGGUUAGGGUUAGGUGAAACAAAACCCUAAAGAGCAACUAUAUACAAGGUGCAACAAAGCGAGAAAGCCCCUCAAACGUCGGAAUUUCAAUCCGAGUCCCUCACAGCGUGUGUAAAACACGCGAACACCCCUCUACGAGCGAUCCCACACGAAACGAUACAUAAAAUAUCGCGACUUUCGCGAAAAUACCGUUUUGCCACUACCGACCUCUCCUCGAUCAACGCGCGAUCUCCGCAGAUCCGUCCGUCAGAUUUGCGAACGGAUUGCACCAGUGCAGUCAGCACGAUGGAGACAACAAAGCUGCGAUUUCGUUCGUCUUGAUCGACCACGGAUUCACGGCAAAAUCCAACCUUCUUCGAAUAGAAGAAAUCACACAAAAAUACAUAUAAAACAUGUAUUUUUGGAUUUUCUCGAAAUCCGUGCGUCAAACUCAAAAUCCGUCCGUCAAACUCAAAAUCCGUCAGCGUCAUUAGUUCCAGGAUAGCUGACCCGGUCAAAACGAGCUAUUGGACUGCUAUGAACAGAGUCCGGUACGAGCCAGAAGCCAACUUCUCACCGCGGCUUCUCCGGAAAAUCGAGUUACUAUUCACUUUAAGUGAAACUUGGAAAUUGCGUAGAAUUUCCGUUUUAACUCGUUUUCGCCCGAAACUUGACGAGUGCUUUUGUAAUUAAAGUACACACAAAAACAUCGUCAACUGAGAGUUUAGCUACACUGCAAAAAUCUCAGUCCUUACAAUAUAUAUAUAUAUAUAUAGGGUCCAGCUACUAUACUAUUAUGAGUACGGUCGCUCUCGUACUCAUAAAUCGUUUUCGAUGAUAGAGCUUCCGAAUCGACAAUCUAUACUAUUAAACGUUAUUUACAGCAUUUAAAAUUUCUAGAAAUCAAAUUUUAUAAUUUUUUGAGAUCAUUUACCUUACGAUCAAGAGGUCAUAAAUUUGACAAUUUUUAAUGACCGGUAUGGGAUACUUGCUAGUUUAACGGUGUAAAAGAAUCGGAAUUUGUUAAAUUUUUGAUAGAAAAUUCUAUUCACUACCUAUAUAAAAAUCAAUAACUCUGAUCUUGAAUUGAAGGAUCUGAUCAUCCUUUUUUAGGACGUCGUUCGAUUUUGACUGCUCAUUUUAUGCCCGUUUGAUAGACUUUAUUAUGAUUUCGAAAAUUUACGAAAUUUAUUUUCUAGAAGUUUCAAAUACUCUAGAUCAUAUCUAAUGGAGUGGAUCGUCGAUUCGGAAGCUCCAUCAUAAAAAACAACUUAUGAGUACGAGGGCUCCAAUACUCAUAAUAGUAUAGUAGCCAUGGCCUAUAUAUAUAUAUAUAUAUAUAGUCCAUCUACUAUUCUAUUAAUAGGAUUGAAGACAUUGUCCUAUCAAGUCAAUUUGAAUGAUUGGAACUUCAAAUUGAUAAUCGGUACCGUUGAAAUUGAUCGACACAAUUAGAAAUGUUUAGAAACCAAAUUUUGUAAUAGUUAAAAAUUAUUAUCAAGUUCAUCUUAAGAGUUGAAAAAUAAACGGUCAUAAAUGAAUAACCUUCUUAAACAAGCAAACGACUCAUAUAGGCCGUCAAAUAUUGUUGAUUUUACGACACUUUGAUCACCAUGUAAAUAAUAUUUAAAAUUUAUGAAAUUUAGUUUCUAGAUAUUUCAAAUACUCCAAAUCAACUUCAACGGCUCUGAUCAUCGAUUCGGAAUCUCUAUCAUCAAGAAUAAUUUGAUAGGACAAGUGCUACUAUCCUAUUAAUAGGAUAGUAGCCCUAGCAUAUAUAUAUAUAUAUAUAUAUAUAUAUAUAUAUAUGAGUCUGGCUACUAUACUAUCGGUAGCAUGGAACGCUCCGUGCUACCAAGUUGUUUUCGAUGAUGCGGCUUCCAAAUCGACGAUCGGCUCCGUUAGACUUGAUCUACACUAUUGAAAAUAUUUGGAAAUUAAAUUUCAAAUUUUUUCGACAUCAUUUGACUAGUGAUCAAAAGAUCUCAAAAUUGACAAUUUUAAUGUUUUCUUAGCCUUAAACAAUUUAAAAACUAUCUUUUAAGAUAAGUGAUGGAUAUAUUUUUAGUUAUUGAGACUAGAACUUAACUUCCUAGACUAGUAGGCAAUUUGAGAGUUUGUGUGGUGUAGCACGGUAAUUUUGACGAGUUAAAAUUCUGGCAAACUAUGUGAUCAGUANNNNNNNNNNNNNNNNNNNNNNNNNNNNNNNNNNNNNNNNNNNNNNNNNNNNNNNNNNNNNNNNNNNNNNNNNNNNNNNNNNNNNNNNNNNNNNNNNNNNNNNNNNNNNNNNNNNNNNNNNNNNNNNNNNNNNNNNNNNNNNNNNNNNNNNNNNNNNNNNNNNNNNNNNNNNNNNNNNNNNNNNNNNNNNNNNNNNNNNNNNNNNNNNNNNNNNNNNNNNNNNNNNNNNNNNNNNNNNNNNNNNNNNNNNNNNNNNNNNNNNNNNNNNNNNNNNNNNNNNNNNNNNNNNNNNNNNNNNNNNNNNNNNNNNNNNNNNNNNNNNNNNNNNNNNNNNNNNNNNNNNNNNNNNNNNNNNNNNNNNNNNNNNNNNNNNNNNNNNNNNNNNNNNNNNNNNNNNNNNNNNNNNNNNNNNNNNNNNNNNNNNNNNNNNNNNNNNNNNNNNNNNNNNNNNNNNNNNNNNNNNNNNNNNNNNNNNNNNNNNNNNNNNNNNNNNNNNNNNNNNNNNNNNNNNNNNNNNNNNNNNNNNNNNNNNNNNNNNNNNNNNNNNNNNNNNNNNNNNNNNNNNNNNNNNNNNNNNNNNNNNNNNNNNNNNNNNNNNNNNNNNNNNNNNNNNNNNNNNNNNNNNNNNNNNNNNNNNNNNNNNNNNNNNNNNNNNNNNNNNNNNNNNNNNNNNNNNNNNNNNNNNNNNNNNNNNNNNNNNNNNNNNNNNNNNNNNNNNNNNNNNNNNNNNNNNNNNNNNNNNNNNNNNNNNNNNNNNNNNNNNNNNNNNNNNNNNNNNNNNNNNNNNNNNNNNNNNNNNNNNNNNNNNNNNNNNNNNNNNNNNNNNNNNNNNNNNNNNNNNNNNNNNNNNNNNNNNNNNNNNNNNNNNNNNNNNNNNNNNNNNNNNNNNNNNNNNNNNNNNNNNNNNNNNNNNNNNNNNNNNNNNNNNNNNNNNNNNNNNNNNNNNNNNNNNNNNNNNNNNNNNNNNNNNNNNNNNNNNNNNNNNNNNNNNNNNNNNNNNNNNNNNNNNNNNNNNNNNNNNNNNNNNNNNNNNNNNNNNNNNNNNNNNNNNNNNNNNNNNNNNNNNNNNNNNNNNNNNNNNNNNNNNNNNNNNNNNNNNNNNNNNNNNNNNNNNNNNNNNNNNAUAUUUAUUCAAAAAUUUAGAAUAAAAUAUUUUAUAAAUUUAUAUGUUAUAUUUUAUUAAAAAAUAUCUAUAAUAUCAAUUUUAAAUUUUAAUAUAAAAUAGAUUGAUAGAUUUGAUAUCCAAAAUCAAAAAUUAAAUUUAAAUCACGAUUUAAACUCAAAUUUAAAUUUUAAUGUAAAAUAGAUGGAUAGAGCAUAUUGAUAUUCUGACAAAAAUUUGGAUAAGCAUGAAUUUAUUUCUAUUUUAGAGAUAAAAUGAAAUUAAACGAAUUUUGAAUUAAAAUAUAGAUUCACAAUAGAUAUCUUUCGGUUGGCAAAAUUUGAAUAAGUAUAUAUAUUUUUUUAUUUUAGAGGUAAAGAUAAAUUAAAAGUUUGUUUUAUUAUCUAUCUAUAAACCUAAAUGAAAGCACAACAUUUCUUGCCACGUGGCAAGUCAUCCUUCAUCCCUUCAUCCUCAUAAAUAAAUAAAUAAAUGAAACCACUUCCUCUAUCUAAAUAUCAAAUUAACAAAAUAAUUAACUCUCUCUAUUUACCUGCUACUUGAGUUUAUUGCUAAUAAAUUCAUUCCGUUUAAUAUGGACGAUGUAGAUUCAUUGAACCACUAAGCAAUAGUGACAUUAAAUAUCAAAUUCUUUACUCUUGGACUUUUAUCUUAUGAAACCAACCCUUCGCCUUCCCUCCACAUAUAACGCCUAAUUUAACCCUAUCUAAACCGUAAAUCUAGAAACCCAUCCAAAAAGCCCAACCCUUUGCCUUCCCUCCGCAUAUAACGUCUAAUUAAUGUAUCCACCCAUUUUAACCCUAAUAUAAUCGUAAACCAUAAAAACUCACGCAAAAGCCUCAUUCUCUCCUAUGCAUGUCAUGAAAAUGAAAGCCUAUUUUGUUUCUUAUAAUAAAUUACAACCUCCUUCAUUUAGCAAGAGGUGUGAGAUCUAUUUACUUUUUUUUUUCUUUUUUUUUUAAUUCCUAAUUUUGAUGUAUUAUCCUCUUCUCAUUUAGCCUAAGGAGUGGGCGAUGCUUCAGGUCAUAGCGAUGGCGGAGGUGGUGAAUGUUAUGGCAGUGGAGACUAAGACGGCUGCGGAAGAAAGCAUGGGCAAUGACAGUGGAGAUCGAGGUAGCAGUAAAAGCAAUGGCAAGCCUCGCCCUCUUAGAGACUAAUAUUAAGUAACAGUUUCUCUAUCUUUUCUUUUUUUUCUCUCUCUUCUUAUUUUCUAUUUUUUUAAUCUAUUUUUAACCUAUUUUAUAGUAUUUUUUGGAAUUAUUUGAUAGUUUCUGUUUAAGAUGAGUUGGAUUGGAUUAAAAAUCUAAUACUCUGAUAAUACCUGCCCGCCGCAUCACGCGAGUAACUACACUAGUGUUAUUUAUUUUACGUAAGGAAAGAGAAAUCAAAAAUUUUUUUCGCCUAAAAAUGGGUCUGCCGACAUAUCGAAAUUUGAAAUACGUGCUAGAUAGUUUAGAUAUUAUAUUACAGUUAGAGAUAAAAACGAAUUAAAUUAAAAUUCACAGUAGAUAUUCUCAGAUUGGUAAAAAUUUGGAUAAGCAUAAAUUUUUUUCUGUUGUAGAAAUAAAGAGGAAAUAAAAGUUUUUUUAAUUCUAUUAUUUAUUUUACGUAAGGAAAGAGGCAUCAAUUUUUUUUUCCGCCAAAAAAUGGGUCUGUCGACAGACCGAAAUUUGAAAUACGUGCUUUUAUAUAUAGUAUAUAUAUAUAUAUACAUAUAUAUAUAUAUACAUAUAUAUAUACAUAUACAUAUAUACAUACAUAUACAUAUACAUAUACAUAUAUACAUACAUAUACAUAUACAUACACAUAUAUACAUACAUAUACAUAUACAUACACAUAUAUACAUACAUAUACAUAUACAUACACAUAUAUACAUACAUAUACAUAUACAUANUAGAAAAUGAGAAUCUUAAUUUAAUAAUUAAAAUUUACAAAAUAUGGGUCUCUUCACAUUUGGAUUGGUCUAAAAUCCAAAAAGAAAUUUGUAAUAUAUAUAUAUACACACACACACACACACAGAAUUGAGCUCUUAUUAAAAGCACAAGUCGUUGGUACUUGUAGGUUUUUGGCCUUUGGAUGAUGAUUUGUACAGUUAGGAUAAUAGUGGCCCCCUGGGGUUGAGUGGAUGGUUGGUGGAAUAGCAUAAUCUACGGAGUGGAAUUGGUCAAAGGAAUAAAUCUAACCAUGGAAAACUUACAAGCACCAAGUGUUUGGUGCUUUUAAAAGCACCAUAGCUGGACUCUACAGAAAUAUACACACACGCAUGUGUAUAUACAUAUGUAUAUACAUAUAUCUAUGUAUAUACAUACAUAUGUAUCUAUGUAUAUACAUAUACAUGUAUACAUAUAUAUAUACAUAUACAUGUAUAUAUAUAUAAAGUUGGACUGGGCUACUAUUAGUAGCAAAAUACCAUUGUUGCUACUAGUAUUUUAGCCAUUGGAUCAACUCUUUUCAUUAUUUCUAACCAUUGGAUUAAAUACUAUAACCCAGUAGGGACUACUCAACCCUAGGUGGACCACUCAGCUCUAACCGACUAAUAUCAUCCCGACCCUACAAUUUUUCAUCCAAGGGUUAAAAACUUGAUAGCAAAAAGAGUGUUUUACUAUUAAUAGUAUUCCAGUCUAAUUCUAUAUAUAUAUAUAUACAUAUACAUGUAUAUAUAUACAUAUAUACAUAUAAUUAUGCUACUAUACUAUCAAUAGUACCAACCCUUGCUACUAUUGAGUUUUCGGUCGUUGAAUGAAAAGAUGUGCGGUUAGGAUGAUAGUGGUCCCCAGUUAAAUUGAUAGUAGUCCCCUAGGGUUGAGUGAGUGGUUGGUUUAAUAGUAUAAUCUAACGGGUGGAAAUGAUCAAAGGGUAGAUCUAACGGUAGAAAACUCAAUAGUACCAAGGGCUUAGUACUAUCGAUAGUAUAGCCGGACUCNNNNNNNNNNNNNNNNNNNNNNNNNAGAUGAGAGAGAGGAAUAGAGAGAGAGAGAAGAGAGAAGAGAGAGAGAGAGAGAGAGCGAGAGAGAGGUGAUUGACUGGCUAUCUAUAGUAGCAAAUACCAUUGUCUUACAUUUUUAGCCUUUGAUCAACUCUUUCAUUAUUUCUUACCAUUGGAUUAAAUACAUAACGCCAGUGGGACCAAUGUUAAAUAUUAUAACCCAGUGGAACCAUCAACCCUAGGGGACCAUCAACUCUAACCCGAAUAAUAUCAUCCUGACCCUACAAUUUUUCAUCCAAGGUUAAAACUUGAAUAGCAAAAAGAGCGUUUUACUAUUAAAUAUUUCAGCCUAAUCCUACUAUAAUAUAUAAUAUAAUUUAAAUAUAUAUAUAUAUAUAUAUAUUAUAUAUAAUAUAUAUUAUGAGUACGAUCGCCCUCGUACUCAUAAGUUGUUUUAUAUAUAUAUAUAUAUAUAGGGUCCGGCUACUAUACUAUUAUGAGUACGAUCGCCCUCGUACUCAUAAGUUGUUUUCGAUGAUAGAGCUUCCGAAUUGACGAUUCACACCAUUAAACGUUAUCUAGAGCAUUUAAAACGUUUAGAAAUCAAAUUUUAUAAUUUUUCGACAUCAUUUACCUUGCGAUCAAAAGGUCACAAAAUUGACAAUUUUAACGACUGAUAUGGAAUAUUUGCUAGUUUAACGGUGUAAAAGAAUCGAAAUUGGUUGAAUUUUUGAUAGAAAAUUCUAUUUACUAUAUAGAUAAAGAUCAAUAACUCCGAUCUUAAACUGAAGGAUCCGAUCAUCCAUUUUUAAGACGUCGUUCGAUUUUAACCGUUCAUUUUAUACCUGCUUGAUGAACUUUAUUAUAAUUUCAAAAAAUUAUGAAAUUUAUUUUUUAGAAGUUUCAAAUACUCUAGAUUAUAUUUAACGGAGUGGAUCGUCGAUUCGGAAGCUCCAUUAUUGAAAAUAAUUUAUGAGUAUGAAGGGCUCUAUACUCAUAAGAGUAUAGUAGCCCUAGUUAUAUAUAUAUAUAUGUAUAAUUACAACAUGUGCAGAAUCUGUCGUAUGAUGAUCAUCUAUCUUAGUGUAAUUAAGAUCAAACUUAGUCUUUUUCUCUCAUUAGUAGGUCCCGGUUCAACUGUUGGGCUUGGGUUGUGAAACAGUAAAACUAACUAGGUUUGAAUUCUUUUUAAUUUUAUGGGCUUAAUUAUAUUUCAUUGCAGUUUAAAGUUUUUAAUUUGUUGUAUUACUAAUUUUACGGGCGGGCUCGGCAUGGCUCCAGACUGGGCCAUUUUACGGCACAAGUAGUAUAGCAACCGCCGGCAGUGCAAGUGCCAACCCAGCCCAUAAAAUUAUAGUCUUGCUGGGAAGAAGGGUUGGUUAUUUUGGUCCAAAAAUAUCCAACCCUUAGGACUAGCUACCUCAUCGCUUCUUCUCUGAUGAAGGAUUUUUGCCUGUUGCGGAAAAAAAAUGGUCCAAAUAAAUUUUUUUAAUUUAAUUUUAGAAUUUUGUAAAUGAUUUUUUGCUAAUGCUUUUGUACAUCUUUAUUUUUAGUUAAAAUACUAAUUAAAGAGGACUAUUUUGGUCUUUUACUUUUUUUUCAAAAUUUCAUACUUUUAAAAAAAAAAUAAAAUAAAGAAAAACUAAAGGCCCGGUCGGAACACGGCCCAGCCCGGCCCGGUACGGCCCGGGCUCGCUUCUUGCCCGUUCGCCUGAACUUUGUGACUGUAAACAGCUUUUAUACUUUCGCUCAAUUGUGUAUAAAAUAUAAACAAUAUUAUACAAAAGUAAUAAUAAUAAUGAAUAGUAGGAUAUUUUUAACUUAAGACUAAAGUUUCUUUUGUUCAUCUGAGUUUGACGCAUGACACGUGGUGUCAUUUAGGGCGGCCUCAGGUCAUUACACUCAACACCUCAUCAUUUAAAAAGCUCCAAGAAAAUAAAUAAAAUAUAUGCAAUCAUCUAUAGUGACGAAAACAGUCUCGAUGUGGUCUCCAUCCGAAGCUUCCGCCGAAUAUUACCCAUCUCCUCUUUGCAAGCACACCACGUAUACCUCAGCUCAAUUAUUUUGUUUUUGUGGAGUACGUACCAUUCUGCCUGCUAUUAAUUCGAGUGUAUCAUUUCACAAAAAUAUCAAACCAUUUUCAUCAACAUUUAUUAAAAAUAUAUAUUAUUAUACAUAUGUGAGAUAAGAAUAUACUAUACGUGUGGAAUUCCAUUUUUGCUUUUCAGGAUUGAGAAUACACUUUGACUGUGAAAAGCCCUUAGGCUUUCAGAAAAAUAUAUAAGCGAUCGGAUAUGUCAAACAGUUAGUAGGUGUCUAUGGAAAUCAAGAAACAUGUCAAAGAGAAAUUUUAGCUAACACACGAGUUACGUACAUAUUGCCUUAAAGAUAUUACACCUUUUAUGCACCCCUACUAUAUAUACAUAUCUUAAUCGGAUGAAGUACAAGUUUAUACUUUGUCAUCUAAAAUUUGCAAGUUCAUACUGUACAAAUUAAUUACUGUGUACUUUAGAUUUUGUUUCUAAUUCUUGACAUUUUUUAUAUUUUUUUGUGAUUGUAAUGGUAUAUAUAUAUACUUGUCGCAUUAGCAGCUUACAAUGAAAACUAACAUUCUUAUGUGCAGUAGUUAUAAUAGUGCUCCUUACUCAGAAAAUAAUAAUAAUAAAAAUCUUCUAGCUAAUUAAUUCUUGUUAUUUUUUUAAACUUUUUUCCGAAUGUUCUAGAAGAAGAGCAAAGCAGACACUAAAGCGCGGCAACUAAUUAAUUAUCCUCCAUUAAUUCCCCUAGCUAGUGAUGUUGUUGGACUUAAUUUUGUCCAACUCCCAAAAUGACUCGGUUGAGACAAAGCACAGCAAAGGUGCUCAGGAACCAUGUUGGCACCCUUUUUGGAACAACUCAACAAGCUUAGCCAACAUAGUGAUGAGACCUAGCAAGCUAUAGGCAUAGACCAGAUUCCCCUUGUCCAUUGGUGCUCCUAUGCCUCUCUCCACAUCUUUAUGAAACUUUCCUAUUGUGUCCUCUCCAUUCCCAAUUGUGUCCACUCCACUAUAUCAAUCAAGGAAAAGGAAUAAGUGCUUGUUGCGGAAAUUAAACAACUUAUAUACUUGUGGUGCUCAUCAUAUAUCUCCCAAUUGGCUUGAUAACAACAUUAUUGUUAAUACCAUUUUGAUGUUGAGUGCGCUUAGCCAUUUAUCCAUAAAUAUCUAAAAUACACAAUUGUAAUUUGAAGUAUACAUAUAUAUAUAUAUAAAUAUAAACGAGUUUUUUCUGCUUGAAUAAAGGCGAUCGAUGUGUACGCACGGUUUCUAAUAUCAGUUUCGCCUAGGGCGAUCAAUUGGAUAAUAUUCAGUAUAAAGUCACUUCGCAAUAAAAAAUAUAUACUUAAUUGGGAGCUUGAAAGCAAGAGAAAGGAGGAACGGGGAGCAUUAGGUUCUGUUUUUUCUUUUUCUUUUUAUUAUUUCCCCCUCCUUCAUGCAUGCAUCCCUUUUCGCCUUUUGUCUCUUUAGUGUUUUUUUUUUUUUUUUUUUUUUGCUUUGCCUUUGCUACCUUCUUUUGCCUUUGCCUUUGUAAUGUCUCAGCCUUAUUAGUAAUGCAUUGCUAAUGGGAUGUGCACUAAUGGGCUUGUUGCNAUAAAAAAUAUAUACUUAAUUGGGAGCUUGAAAGCAAGAGAAAGGAGGAACGGGGAGCAUUAGGUUCUGUUUUUUCUUUUUCUUUUUAUUAUUUCAACAUUAUGGAUCAAGAAAUGAUUUUUUUUUUUUUGUCUCUUUUUUUUUUUUUUUUUUUUUUUUUUUAGGCUUUGCCUUUGCUACCUUCUUUUGCCUUUGCCUUUGUAAUGUCUCAGCCUUAUUAGUAAUGCAUUGCUAAUGGGAUGUGCACUAAUGGGCUUGUUGCUCAUUAGAUUCCCACUUCCUGUUUGUGGCUUUCUAGUUAAGCCUUACUAUUACUACUACUACUACUACUACUACUACUACUACUCACCACUGCUGCUAUUGCUAUUGCUAUUGCUACUGCUAUUGCUACUACUGCUGCUACGAAUAGGCCGGUAUCGUUGUCCCUGCUAGUCUCGCCAUAGUAGUAGGCAAUUCCCUUAGUCCUUACGCAAUCCUCCCCUAUUUGUCGUGCAAUCUCUUUCAUUCAAUUUUACAUUAUUCUCUUGACUAAGAAAUGUGCAAUAUCGCUGGGCUAGCUAUUGUUUUUUAUUUAUUUAUUUUAUUUUAUUUUUUUCUUUCCCCUUUUCCCUUCCACUUUUUCUUUUCCUUCCUCUUUAGAGGGAAUAUGGUCCAUGUUACUAUCGCAUCAACAACCGUCGGAUGUAUUUUAUAAAGCAAAAAAAAGAUUAAUGCCCCACUCAAAACAUAGAGAAGAUCCUUUGACUUGUGAAAAAGUCUAAGGCACAAAAUAUAUUUGUUUAGAAAUUAACACUCUGAAAGCCGAGCUCUAGUGUGUUUAGAACAGGCCCGGGUUGAGCCACGAUUUAAAUUUUUAAGAUGGAAACGAAUAAAAUUAUAAAAGUGUGGUGAUUUUACUAUAUAUAGAGAGCUUCAAAAAGCUCCUGUCAAAAUAAGCAUUUAUAGUCCCACUUUUGUUACUACAUUUUUCCUUUUUCUCUCUCGCACUCACACACACACACAACAUUAGCCAACUAGUUUCACUGGAUGAUUAGUAACUGCUAUCUAUUACUUAAUUAUUUACCGCACUCCGAAUGUGUAAAUCUAUUAAUGACCAAAUAUUUAUUAUAAACUUCGUGGUGUUUAAAAUAUGAUCAACAUUUUAUUUAGUUCGUUCUGAUGAAUGAUAAGGAUGCAAACAUUUUCCCCUAUUUAUUAUUGGGAAAAUGUUUUUCUUUCAACAACACCCUAGAAAAGGAAACCCUAAAAUGUGUAAUCAAGAUCUUUAUCUAAUACUUCUGGUUGACCAUUUUGUUUGCCAAUGAUUGAUAUCUGAGCGGAUUUGUCUACUACUAAUGUCCGAGCUAAAACCAGACUAGCUAGAACUAUAUCCUCCUUGAUCAGUAGUGAUUACAGUGGAUCGAAUCAGAUUGGUCUCAGGUCGAAUCAAGGUGUGGUAAGAACACAGAAGGCUGAGUUGAAUCCAACUCAAUCGGCCAGCUAGCAAGACGGUCAAGAGGCUCGACCUAAAUCUGACUUUGCAAUAGGUCGAGCGGAUCUAACUUGCCUAUGAUAUUUAUGUUUGAUUGUUCAUAGCAAUUAGUUCGAUUUUGUUUUGCUCAAUUUUCAGUACUGUUAAUGGUAAUAGCUAGAAAAAUAAGAAAAUUACAAAAGUAGACAAAAGGAUUUAUAAGGAUGAAAUAAAGAGAAAUUGAAACGCGACUUCUUUGAGGAACUCCUCAAUAAGAUCUUACUCAUCAGACAGUUUGGUAAGAUGUGCUAUUCAUCUCGUAUCAGAAUUUUAAAUUUUCAUUCCAAUAUAGAAAAUCUCCACUUGAACCUCAACACCGUAUUAUUGGACCGACGGGUGAAUUUAGAGAAGGCUCAACAAUCAGCAAGAAGGAAUUGUUACUCACUUAGUUGUUUUUUUUUUUUUUCUUUUUUCACCCCAGGAGAAUAGAGGCUUAAUUAAAAGUACAAAAAAAAGGCAAAGGUUAAAAAGAAAGUAGGAUGAUAGAUUACCAUGAUCCAGUACUGGGUCAAACGUAAAAACUCUGGUCCCAUAUUCUAACUCUAUAUUUGACAAUUUGAGUGAAAUUGACCAAAUUUAGUCGAUCGAAUAAAAUAUAUAUACUACUGAAAGAAAUAUUUGGUAAACCUGAUUUUUAACUAAUAGAAAUUAAUCAGAAUAAUAAAUCUAAUCUUUGCAUAGUAAAAAUAAGUCUGAUAAAUAGUAACAAAAUCGAUCCUAAAUUUAGUUCUUUUGAAAUUUCUAAUUUGAAGGACUAGAGGCACAGAUUUUUUAUAUAAUCCUGUGUGCAAGAAUAUUAUUCUAUAUAUAUAUAUAUAUAUAUAGAGUUGGACUGGGCUACUAUUAGUAGCAAAAUUCUAUUGUUGCUACCAGUUUUUUAGCCUUUGGAUCAACUCUUUUCAUUGUUUCUAACUAUUGGAUUAAAUACUAUAACCCAGUAGGGACCACUCAACCCUAGGGGGACCACUCAACUCUAACCGACUAAUAUCAUCCUGACUCUACAAUUUUUCAUCCAAGGGUUAAAAACAUAAUAGCAAAAAGAGUGUUUUACUAUUAAUAGUAUUCCAGCUUAAUUCUAUAUAUAUAUAUAUAUAUAUAUAUAUAUGCAGAUGGUAAUCCCACCGUCCAGCCAAAGUGCGAUCAACCAGGACCAUUCACACCGGCUUAUCAUCAAAUGGCCUCGAGCUUCGUGCGGAGAGAAAAGUUCUGCACAUAGAUCAUGAUAGAAAUUUGCUUCUUUUCUGUGCACAAGAUUGUGGGAAAUUUACUUUCCUCUGGGUAGGUCUCUUCCACGCGCACAUGAGCACCAGCUGAAAAAUUACUGCCAACGCUCAGUGCUAGUGCUGGGGUUGUCAACGAGCUGAAUAGGGGCGAGCUAGCUAGGAACCGCUCGUCUUCGUUUCUUUACAAAACGAGUCGAAUAUAAGCUGAUCGACUUGUUAAAAAAUUUGAGCUGAGAAUUUUACUUUUUGUUAGGCUAGGCUUGCGUAUAGCAAAUUAGAUUAUCAGCUCUAGUAUUGGAUGUAAAGAUAAAAAAAAAUUAAAAAAAUAGAAUAUUUAGUUUAGUAAUUAAAAUUUAUAAAAUAUAAUUUAAUUUUUUAUAUUUAAGUUAGCCUAAAAUCUAAAUAGUAAAAAUUUACAAUGUUUAUAUAUAUAUAUAUAUAUAUAUAGAGUUGGACUGGGCUACUAUUAGUAGCAAAAUUCUAUUGUUGCUACCAGUUUUUUAGCCUUUGGAUCAACUCUUUUCAUUGUUUCUAACUAUUGGAUUAAAUACUAUAACCCAGUAGGGACCACUCAACCCUAGGGGGACCACUCAACUCUAACCGACUAAUAUCAUCCUGACUCUACAAUUUUUCAUCCAAGGGUUAAAAACAUAAUAGCAAAAAGAGUGUUUUACUAUUAAUAGUAUUCCAGCUUAAUUCUAUAUAUAUAUAUAUAUAUAUAUAUAUAUGCAGAUGGUAAUCCCACCGUCCAGCCAAAGUGCGAUCAACCAGGACCAUUCACACCGGCUUAUCAUCAAAUGGCCUCGAGCUUCGUGCGGAGAGAAAAGUUCUGCACANGAGCAAAAGCUACAACGCUGAAAGCUUAGCAGCUAGCCGAGGCACUGGAAGCACGGAAGGCUCCGUGCUUCCGAUAGCAUAGUAGCCUCACUCCAUAUAUAUAUAUAUAUAAACAUUGGCCUACUUCUUUCCGUCAAAAUCAAGAGAACUACAAGAGUUGGCCUAGCAAUAAGAUUGGAGUGGAAGAAUCAGAGUUGGAGCCCCUCUCCUCUAUUAAAGCUAAAUUUAAAUUAUUCAAAAAUAAUCAUAAUUUUAAAACUAAAUUUAAUAUUAUUAAAUUAAAAUAUAUACAUAAUAUAAUUUAGUUAAAAUUAGACUUUUUUUAUUCUGAUAAUACUAUAAUUAAUUUUAAAAAUAUUAAUAUCUUUUAGUCAAGAUCAUCGAUGUUUCAAAGAAAGAAAAGAUCAUAAUAAGGGCCAUGAGAAAGAAAAUGACAUAUAGGAAUAAAAUAAACAAGGUUCACAGGUAUACUUAUAAGGGCUUUUUUUGCAAAUAAUCCUCUGACAAAUUUUAUUUGUAAAAAUAGUCCCGUCCAAAAAUUAUUUGCAAAAAUGAUCGUGCCCCUGCCACGCCAGCGCCACGUCAGCGCCACGCGGGCAGGGCGGGCCCAGAUGUUUAAGUUGAACACGGUGAACCAUUCACCGUGUUCAAUACAAAAUUUUUGUAUUGGACACGGUGAAUGGUUCACCGUGUCCAAUACAAAUACCCCAAUAAUGACUAAGUUGAAGGUAUUUGUAUUAGACACGGUGAACCAUUCACCGUGUCCAAUACAAAUUAUUGGACACGGUGAAUGAUUCACCGUGUCCAAUACAAAUAUUUCGAUAUUAACUAUUUUGUAUUGAACACGGUGAAUCAUUCACCGUGUCCAAUAUAAAAACUUUGUAUUGAACAAGUGAAUAGUUCACCGUGUUCAACUUAACCAUCUGGCCCAGCUCCGUCCGCGUGGCGCUGACGUGGCGCUUGCGUGGCGGGGCCAGGACCAUUUUUAUAAAUAAAUUUUUGACAGGACCAAUUAAAAAAAAAAAAUUUGUAAGGGAUUUAUUUGCAAAAAAAAGCCCUACUUAUAAUGUAGCAAGUACAGGAAAAAUUUUCUCAGCGUUACACGUGACAUUAUUGACCGACGUAAUAAUGCCAAGGUUUUCAUUCAAAUUGGCAAAUAAAUUGUACUAUUUAUUGUCCUGAGAAUCUUUAAAUGUAAACAAAAAAACAGAAGAGAGAAAGAGAGAAUCUUAAUAUUAAUCUAUUUAGAUGCGCGAGGGACUAUAAAAAUAUGAGCUCCUUUGUCCUCUUAGGAGGAAAAAGGGACACUCAUUAUGCCCCCCCACAACCACUUAAAAUAAUGCUUCAGCUUUUAGGUCCAACUUGCUGACUUUCGGCUAGCUGUUUAUUUUUAAUUACAUUAAUUUAUGCAUGGGUCCCACACUCCUUUUUUAAUUCCCACUUUAAUUAGAAUUUAUAUAUUCAUAAGGUGGUAUUCAAUACCAGUAAAAAGAUCGUCGGUCAUAACCACUAAUAGACUAUUUUAAACUCAUGUGCUGAUAAAAAAAAAUAUAUAUACUCAUCACAUUUAAAGACUCAGUUAUAUCGAUAACGGAAUUUCGUUAGGUCUGUUAUAGACUACACUUCCACUCAACUUGUUAAUUUUCCGAGAAUAAAAAGUUGAUCAUGUUUCAUAUUUGGGUGGGGUUAAUAUAAAUGAAGGAUGGUUUAGGAACGUACCAAGGAUCAUUUUUAAUUCUUAAAUUGAUGCGUUUGUACGUGGGUCCUACUUGAGGCAUAUUCUUACUCUAAUUCUGACUUUAAUUAAGUAAUAUUUAUAAGGUGGCCAUCAAUAUCAAUGGAAGGAUAAAUUAAUUUGGGUGGGGUUAAUCCAAAAGAAGGAUGAAUUUAAAAAGUAACAAGGAAUAACUAUGACAACAACACAAACAUAUGUAAAUGGGUAGUAGCUAGUAACAUUAAUAGCACGCAUUGAAUCUGAUUCUAUAUAUACGCUGAACAAAAUCACUAUAUUAAUUAAAUAUGAUCUAUACAUAAAGUAUAGAUGAGAUGAUAUAGUCAACUUGCCAAAAUUAUGAGCCAAAUUUGAUUAGUUUGUAGUGCCUUUAUUUUUAUCUUCGUUAUCAUCAUGGAGUGUCUAACAAAUGUAAAAAAGAAUCUGAAGCUUUUGCUACAACCAGAAACAACAAUAAAAUGUUAAAUCUUAAAAGCAAAUAUUUUAAUUUGGAGAAAUUAAAGAUAAUAACAGAGCCAGAAAAGAAAUAUGGCCAAUUUGCAUAAAAAAUCCACUAGCUUUGUGCUUUCGCAAAAGUGGGCCACCUUUUUCGAUUUUGCAGAUUCAGACUGGAUUUUUAGUAAACUGACCAAAAUACCCUUAUACCUUUUUCUCUCUCCUUUUUUUUUUUUUUUUUCUCGCGUUCUUUUUUUUUCUCGCCGAAGAAGGCGAUGGAGGCGAAGGCAGAAACGGCCCCCAUCGUCUCUGCAGCUCACGCCCUCACCCCAACCCUCGCCAGCGCACCCCUCGCCCUACUUGCCUACAACCCCGCCAAAGCUGCGCUGCGACCCUCUUUUUUUUUUUCUCUCCGUCCCUCCUCCACAGCCUCCGCGACCCUCCGCGAUGAUAACGAGGACGGUAACGCGUCCUCUUUCUCCGCCUUCGCCCUCCAUCUCCACUGCAGCGGAUUUUCUACCCGCCAAACAAACUCGCCGUCCACACUGCAGUUGUCGGCGAGGAAGAGGAAGUGCUUCUCGGGGCCGAGAAGCUUGCCGGCGAGAGAAGGGGCACGCGGCCCACCCAUCUAUUCUAGAGGGCGGCGGCAAGCGCGGCCUUGACCGUGUCGGAGGCGAGGAGGGCGAGAAAUGCACGGGAGAAUCUCUGGAUUAGCAUUUUUGUUUGUUUAAAACAGAAAAAAAAAACUAAAAGGCCAAAAAUUAGAGAAUAAUAAAAAAAACCAGGGAAGAAUGAAGAAGAAGAUGAAUUUGCACUGUUAAGAUUAAAUUGCACUGUUUUAAAAGAACGUUGCACUAUUAUGGAUGUAAGUUGCACUCUUUUAAUGUAAACUGCAUAGUUUAAGAUAAAAGUUAUACUUUUUAAAUAAAAGUUGUACUCUUUGAGAGAUAUUUAUACUGUUUCUCUUCUUGUUGCACUCUUUAAGAUGAGAUAUUUAUACUAUUUCUGCUCUUGUUGCACAAUUUUUCUUGUUAAAGGGUGCAGUUUAUAUAUCAACACAUCAAAAGAGAAAUAGUGCAACAAGAGGAGAAAUAGUGCAACAAGAGGAGAAAUAGUAUAAAUAUCUCAUCUUAAAGAAUGCAACAAGAGGAGAAACAAUGUAAAUAUCUCUCAAAGAGUACAACUUUCGUUUAAAGAGUGUAACUUUUCUCUUAAAGGGCAGUUUAUAUUUAAAAGAGUGCAACUUACGUUCAUAAUAGUGCAACGUUUUUUUAAAACAGUGCAAUUUAAUCUUAACAGUGCAAAUUCUUUUUCUUCUUCUUUCUUCUCUGGUUUUCUUUAUUAUUCUCUAGUUUUUGGUCUUUUAGUUUUUUUUUUUUUUUGUUUUAAACAAACAAAAGUGCUAAUCCACAGAUGCUCUCGUGCAUUCCUCGUCCUUCUUGUCUCCGACACCGUUGAGGCCGCGCUCGUUGUCGCCCACUGGGGUAGGCGAGUGGGCUGCAUGUCACGCCCCGUGACCCGUCUAUUUGGUCGAAUUCGGGCACGCCGACAGACCGCCGAACGGAUAGAGUCUUCCCUAUACGUCCUAGGCAUCACAAUCCAUACAAACGCGAGGUUCCAACCAAGAACAAUAAUCAAGCAAGGAUUGCAUAAGGAAGUAUCAAAAACAUAAAUGCAACUAUACUAUUACAAGCAUUCGUCCCGGGUUUUACAUUUUUAUUACAUUUGUUUCAAUCUUCCAAAUACAACCAAGUUAUUACUGUUAGAAAAUUGCGUACGGUAAAAACGCAGCGGAAAAAGAAAUCAAACAAAUUUGAUUUUGAAAACUCUCGAGAUCCAAUCUCAAAUACCACGCAAUUAGGAUCCCUCGUGUUCUUUAAGAUUAAAGAAGAAAAACAAAAUCGAAUCUUUACCUUUUUCGUGGAUAGAUCUUCACCUCAAUUUGAUAAUCGUGGAAUUGGAUUCUCUUGAAGCCGCACACACGUCUGGCCUCUAUAGGUAUCCACAUGAGGUCCUUGAUUUGAUCGAUGUCCUCAGCGGGGUGCUAGCUCCCUUGCAAAGGGCGUCAUUUUUUGUUAGAAUAUGGAAGAGAGAAGAGAGGAAAGAUGACGGUUAGAGUUUUCUUAAAACUCCCGUAUAAUUAUAUAGAGGAAUAUAAUCAUCUUUUUAAUAAUAUAAUAACCAUUAAGGAUAAGUACAAAUCUAGAUUUAAAUUUAUUCUUUUCUUAAUUAGCUAGAUCGAUCAAAUCUUAAUUUGAUUCGACUUGAACUUUAUAUUAACUUGAUCAUAUCAAAUUAAUAAAGCAACAUUUGCAUAUAAGUCCUCUUAUAAUUUACUAACUAUUAGUAAGUCCUCUCUAGUAACAUUUACACCUUAAUACCGCUAAUUUGUAAUAAUUACAAAUUAGUCCAAUUAUCAACAUAUUGACAAUUAGGUCCUCCGGCGAUUCAAUAAUCACGAUCUAGCUAUCCGAUCAAUCACAACCUCUUAUGUGUGUGACCCUAUAGGUUCUAUUCUAUCUGGUAGUGAGAUAUAUUUUGAUCACUAUCAACAAUAUCACUGAAACUCUUUUCAGUGGAUCGGAACAAUUCCAACUCAGCCCAAUGAGAAUUAUCGAUCAUCUAGAUAAUUCUCAUGAGUCUCACAAUCCACCAGUGACGCCUAGCAACAUGUAGUGGCAUUCCAGUAGAAUGGAAUACUGAACUUCUUGGUGCAGUUACCGUAUGAUACAGUCCUUCUAUCAUGACUCCCGACUAGACGCAGGUCAUGGAAUAACUCGUCAAAUCCCAUCGUCUGUCAUAUGCUAAAUUUAUUCAACUCGAGUUUCUAAUAUUGGAAACCCUUUUCCGCUAUUAACUCUGCCCUGACCAAGGUCUUCUAAACUCGGUCUCAUAAAUCACAUAGGACUAACACCCCCUAUCUACCAAGGGAGAUAGAUUCCAUCUAAGUGCGCACCCUAUUCCUACAAUGAACCCACUGCAGCCAACAUGCACCGCAAGGACCCGAAUGGCUAGGGACCAAGUGUAUGUACAGUCAAACUAUAGUAACCUCAUUGUGAAUAGCCGAGGCACCGUAGGUCAAAGGACCAGUCACACUACUGCAACAUUGAGUAAGUCACUGACGAGUGAGUAAGACAUCCAAGUGACUUCUCGUAUUGGUCACGCUCGGUACCCUUGUUCUCUAACAACCACCUGCAUAUUCGCUUCAGUGUCCCCACACUGUCGACUCGAGACCCGUCUACCCAAAAGGGAAGCGACCUAUGCACCAAUCUCAUCGGAUCAAUCACCGUCCCCGUGAUGAUCCAUUGAUCGGGAGCAUUUAGAAAUUAACCACCAAUGAAACAUGCCUCAAAUUCUCAACUCUUGAGAAUAUAUGUCAUCAUCUUAUUAAUUCCUUGGACGAUUCAUGGACACAUACACAACAUGAAUGGUAAUAAGAACCCAACUUUAUUCAUAAGAUUUUAAAGUCAAAUACAAAUUUAUGUCCUAGAAAGAAUACAGGUUUCGGCCUGGUUGGUGUCGAGUACCGAUACCUAUUGGUAAGUACCGGUACUGGGACUGGGUUCCGGUAUUGCAUCGGGCUAGCACCGGUACACAGCACGCGAUUUCGCGUGUUGAGUAUUGGGUACUGGUACCCAAGUUGAGUACCGGUACUUAGGCGACAGAAUUGAGUUGGCUAGGGGUCUUUUGGUCAUUUUGGUUGUUGAUAUUAUCACCAACCGACCCCGACUUAUAUAUCAGCCUAAGAAGCUUGGAGAAUGUCGUAGUUUCUCCUCCUCUUCUCUCUCUAGCUAAUUGAGGGUAGAUCUCAGUUCUUUCCUUCUUUGCUUAGGAGGAUCGUACGUGUGCGUGGGUUGUUCCCGGUUGAGCUGUAGGAGGUCGGGCGAGCACGGGGUUUCUCCUAUCGACUUCUAGCUAGUGUUGGACGAGCGUUCGAGGUGGGUUAAUGUUUACGGAAAUCAUCGGAAUUCCUUCUAAGUCGUAGAAAUGGCAGCAUAUAUUUUCUUGUCUUGCUCAUCGUGUUUAGUAGCUCGAAUUCGUAGAUUUGCAUGCUUUAUAUGAAAUCUGAAUUUGGAGCAUAAUUUUAUGAUUUUUGAUGAAGUGAUAUAUGUUGAACUGGGAUUUGACUUAGGAGAAAACCCAUUAAACCUACACUGUCAUUUUCAAAUUGUUAACAGAUUUAGCUUUCAGAAGCUAAUUUCUUUAUUGUAUCACCGCUAUUAGUGCGUCAUGGAUAUUUAGAUUAGUGUAGGUUGAGAUUACGCUCGUGCUGAGCAGCCAACUCGUUUUACAGUAGAGUUUGUACUGUUUCGUACUAUCGGGUGCCGUCGGGGCGGACGGUGGACCCAAAUGUUUACAUAUUGUAUCAGACUGUGUUGAGGGCACGUGAGUCUUGGUUGUUAGACCAGUUUGACCCAUUUGUUUUGACUAUAGCCUGUGUGAGAUUAAUUGAGCUCGACAGAGACACGCUUGCAUACUCGGUUGGAUCGCUCGACGAGUGUCGCUUCGGAGUGAGGCUGUCACGCCCCCAUCCCCGCCAAUUUGGUCAGGAUCGGGUCACGUCAACAGACGCCGAACGGACAGCAUCUCCCCUGUCCGCCCAAGGCUCCAACUACAAGUAUAAUUAAGCAAUCAACCAAAGUAAUUUGCAAUUAUACAAGGCUUGCACGAGGGCAAGCAACAACGGAAGCGAAAGCUCUAAAUUAAACAUACAACCAUACAUGAUAUUUGAUUAAAUUUAAACCAAAUACAAGUGAACUAAAACUAUUACAUUCUUUUCCUUUUUAUUCAUAAUUUCUUUUACAUCUUAAUCAUUCUCCAAAAUACAUGAAUUGUUUUCAACUUUUACAUCUAUAAAUCAACAAAAGAAAGUUGAUACAUGUAGACAAAAGGGAAUGACUAAAUGCAUAAACUCCGGCGGCCACUAGCUAUGGCGCAAUACCCUUGCUUCGGUCCUCCGCCGCCCCGCUCGCGCUCGGACCUGUACGGUUAGUGGUGUGAGAACUACAAAGAAGUUCCCAGUGGGUUCGGCAACCGACCUCGCCGACUUACCCACUAGGUCUAUUCAGCCAUAAGUAUUUCAAAGGAAUAAAAAUAACAACCAUACUAAUGCUAAUACUAUGCCUGCAAGAAAACUGUCAGUGGAUAUAUAUAAUCGAAUAAUGAAUGCUCAUGCAUGCAUGCUUGUUCCAUACUUUACUUUGGUUUUUACCCAAUCUUGCCGGUUAACCUUGUUAACCCAAAUAACUCACAACCCAAAAUCCCUUAAUAACGGGGGACUCGAACUAACCUAGGGACCGUCCUCUGGGCGGACUUUAUCACGCCCAGUGGUGACUAACUCCGGAGCGCACUACCCGAGGGGGAGCUACCUCCCUCAAGCGAAGACUUAUCAUGAGUAUCGAUCCAAUCCUCAACUUGAGGAUACAUAGCCACUAGUCACAAUGCUAUUGUCAUAAUAGGUUUCUACCUAUUUAUUCAUGCUACUUUCCAAAUCAUACUUGUCACAAUGCCUCUGUGGUUAAACUAGGUUUAACAAUCGAUUUCUCAAUGCCAAUCAUGUCUCUAUUGUCAAUGUCACCUUUGUUUACUAUUGUCUAAGUCCAAGUCCAAGUCUCACAUUCAUACAACUUUAAGGUUCUACCAUAUAUGUCCAUUAUGCUUCUAUCAUUCUCUAUGUUCAACUAUGUUAGAAGCAUGUAAAUGAAAUCAAACCAAGGUUCACAUGUAAUUUAACCCUACUAUGCAUGAAUGACUAUACAACAAUAUACUCAAUAAAAGGUGAAAUAGGCAUAAAGGGAAAUCUGAUGAUUCCGGUGUGCACCCCCAACCUUAAAUAUUGUAGAUGGGUUGUAGUUCGACUCUCGUGAUUUUAGCAUGCCUCUUCCGCGAACUAAACCCAAAAUAAAGCCAAAUUAGGUCCUAUAUACAAGAUCUCUUACUUAACCUUUUCGUAACGUUAAACGGAGUUGUCCCACGCGUCGAGAAUAUCCCCAAUUAGGUUUUCAAGAGGUCAAUUUGCCUCGAAAAUACCCGGAGUCAAAAGCUCCAAAAUCCAUGCCCUAACAAUGCUAUAUUCAAAUUUCUCCUAGAGUGAUCUCAUCUCUAAGUAAAUGAUAGCUUAGAGUCAUCUAGGAAGCUUUCUAAUACUAUUACCAAGCCUCUAGAACCAUUCAUAGGGCAUCUACUAUGGAUUCUAACAAUCCACCAUGAGAGGGUUCCAAGAAAACCAUAUUUUUAUGGUGUUCAAAGCUCAAAAGAGUCUCUAAAGCUAGAAACAAACUCAAAACUCUAAAACUUAGGGUUAAAAUCAAACCCUAGAAGCAAUCUUGCAAGAACUUACCUCUAGUCCCAAGCUCUACCAAGUCUUCUUGUUGGAGGGCUUCUAGAACCACCAAAACCUCCAAAAUCCACCUUCAAUGUCUUCUUCUCCUUCUUCUCUUUGCUCUAGGUCUAGCUUUCUAGAGAGAGAGAGGGAAAUGAGAGAGGGAGAGAGUGGAGAGGUGUUUGGGCUGUUGGCUGUGAAGGAGAGGAGGGUUGGGUUAUUAGCAUGUUGUGACAUUUGCAACUAAGCCCUCCAAAACUUCUAAUUUGUAACAGACCUUAAUGUUGCUGCCAGACCAAAGUGUGCCGGAACACUUUGGGCUGUUACCGGUUACACGAUUACGCAGAGGCAACCCGAGAGCAUUUCCCUCGGAUUUUACCAAAGUGUAGCGGUACACACUAGGGGUGUACCGGUACAUUUUCUACGAAAAUCUCAAACCCGAGAGCUUACUCUACUCGGGCUGCUGGGCUGUUACCGGUGACAACUCGAUGAUUGUACCGGUACACUUUGCCCAGAAUGCAGUUUUAGCUCCGAUUCGACUCUACUUCGCGCCGGUCGAUGCUAAAACCCUUCUAAUACCUCUUAAACUCAUUUUUAGCCCUUCUAACAUUGUUGGAAUGCUAAAUGCAACUCGUCCAUCCAUCUUUUUUGCAUACUUUAGUCAAUUUGGUUAAAGUUCGAUAAUUUCUUCCGGGUUUCAAUAUGUUACAGAGGCUUUUCUUAUGUUGAUAUCACAGUAGUCCUGUUUGGACAGUGUUCUUGAACCAGCCACCCCCGUGGGUGGUGUGCGGUGUAGCUUUGAUACAGGCUGGAUGGGCCAGUCGGCAAUCCCUGGAGAUUGGGUCAGUGUGUAGCUAGUGAUGCAUUUCUAUGUCUAUAGAGAGUAUGGUUGGAUAGCAGUAGUUUAAUAGCAUAUAGCUGUAGAAUUACUUUCAGCUUACUUUACUAUCCUUUGCAUACCUUACUGUAGACUUAGGGCGUGUUUGGUUCGCUUCUUUUUCACCCUAGAAUCGGAAUCGAAAUGAGUGAAUCCGUUUGUAGAUGUUUGGUAUGUGGGAGUCCCAUUCCGAUUCCGAUUCCUGAGUGGAAUGAGAAUCCCCUAAUCACCUCUUUUUCCAAUCCGGUCUAGGAGGCCGGAUUGGAAGUUGAAUCCGGACGGAAUGGAUAUUUAUUCGAAUUAAAUUUAUUUUUUCAACUUUCUUUAAUUAAAAUAUAGUUUAAAUUUAGAAAUUAAUUUUAAAUUUUAAUUUGAAUUUCAAUUAAAAAUUAAAAUUUAAUCAAGUAUUUUGAAUCUAACUUAUAAAUUUGAAUUUAAAUUAAAUUUUAAUUUAUAUAAAGUUUUAUUCAAAUUUUAUUUAAAAUUUAAAUUAAAUUUAUGGAUUCAAUUUAAAAUUUAAAUUAUAAUUUUAAGUUUGAUUUUGAAUAAAUCAAAAUUUAGUUUUAUAUUUUGAAUUAUCCACUCUACUUCAAAGUUUAAUUUUUUUUAAAAAAAUAGAUUUAAAAUUUUGACAUUAUUUCAAAAUUUUGAUAUAAAUUUUUAAUAUUUAAUUUUUAGUUUGAUAUAACCAGAGAAGGAGUACCGGAACUCCUCUGUAUAAACCGAGAACUGAAGCCCUCGGGUUUGAGCUUUGCGAGGUAGAGUACUGGUACUGCAUUGCCCAAGAACCGGUACUGCAUCGCGUGGGUACCGAUACCCUGCGUGUUGUUCGCUUGGCAGAGGUUUGGGUUGUGCUGUGAUGUGACGCCCCGACUUCCCAGGGGGUCACCCAUCCUAGGGCUACUCCCGUCCUAGCACGCUUAACUCUCUUAACCUCUUGGGCCUAGCCACCACCCAAAAUGCUUAAGCCGGGUUAAGAGUUUAGCCCUAUUAUAUCUCAUAUAUAGGACUAUCCAGGGUCUCACAAUCUCCGAUCCGUUAAGUCCUGACGUACUCGUCAGGCUCAGACCCACAAGUACCAGGUACAAAGUGCAAACUUAACUCGCUAGCCCGUCAUCCAGACCCUGGCUCAGCCGAGACUCAUCUCACACUUCCGGACGGGAUAAUUGGAGAUCUGAUACAUCAUCUUAUCUAUAACACCCCAAUCCUCCCCCAAUCAGCAUCGGGUUCGGGUCACGUCAACAGACGCAGAACGGAAAAAGUCUCCCCUGUAGGAUUUUUCUCCAUUUUUCUCUCUAGAUUUCUCUCCCAACUCCUUUUAAUUUGAGGUGUGAUCUCUUCCUUAUCUUCCUCUUCAUGGUAGCAAGCUUGGGGAUCUUGGAGUGUCACGCCCCGUGGCCUAUUUUAAAAGCCUUUUUAAAAUCCAUUACCAUUUUGAAAAUAGAGUUGCGGAAGAUGUGCCCUGUUUUUUCCCUCUUUUUUUUUUCAACUUGGCCCACGUGACGUACAGACCCGCCACAAAUACAAAGUUCAUCUGUCCACUCGUACAGAGUCUCCUUUGUAUUUGCACAACGUACCAACCAUACAACAGGAUCUCAACUACAACCUACAUUUAUCAAUAAACAACCAAUUCAUGAUAUGCAUUUUCAUACAGCUAUCGAUCCUUAGAGAUGAUGCAUGCCUCUAAGCACUCCUUAGGCGCUGGAUGAUGCAAUGCACAGUACAACAAUCAUCCUAUUUAAAAAUGCUCCAUAUCCGGAAGCUUUGAUUUUAAACUCUAAUUCAUUCAUUCAUGAAAACCAUUCAAAAAUCUUUUGAAAGUGUUUCCCACACGGAAACUUAAUUUUGAAAAUCGACUAUCUCGAGGGGUAGAAAACCACGAUUCGAAAAUUCAUAAAUACAAUUCCGAGAACCACAAAGUACACAUACGUCCCAAAACUGAAGAUCCAUAAACCAAAUCCACAAAUCCAUAAACUCCAGUUACAUGCAAUGGAAAACCAAUUCAACCAGCUCACAAAAUUCAAACAUCAAGUAUGAUCGUCUAACUGAACCAUUUAUUAUUAAAACUACUAAGUGCAGAAAUGAAAGUAACCAGGGUGACGGUCGCUAUACCAAACUAGCUAGAUCGUCCUCUCGUCGCACCCAACACCAACUCCGAGCCCGAAUCACCUGGGGAAAUGGGGGGUGAGAAACCGUGUCACGCCCCAGGACCGAUACCAAUUUGGGCCGGCACGAGCACGUUAAACAGACGCCGAACGGACAGUGUUUUCCCUGCCCGCCCAAGGCUCAUCACUUGUACAUUUUCAAGUAGAGAAAAGCACUAGCGAAAACAGACACAAACGGCUUACACGAAGGUAAGCAAUAGCCAUGGGUGAAAGAAAGGAAACUAAACAUCUACACAAGUACUAUGAUUCUCUUUUGAUCACAUACAUUGCAUUCAACUUGUACAUUCAUAGUUCUUUACAUACUUUUCAUCAUUUCUUUUUACAUCACAUUAUGCUCGAGAUAAACAUUACAUUCUUUUUCUUUUACAUCUCAAUUCAUCAAAUACAAAAGAUGAAGUAAGGGAAUACUACUACAAAAUGUAAACCCGACUUGGUAGUCACUGUCUAUGGCGCGAUACCUUUACUGCGGUCGCUCGCCGGCUCGCUCGGUCCCGGCUCUGUGGAAAUAGUGGGGUGAGAACUACAACGAAGUUCCUAGUGGGUUCGGUUCCAAUCUCACCGACUUUCCCACUAGGACUAACUCAGACAUAAUAGAAAGGAUAAGCAAGAUAGUAACCAAACUAUAAUCAUGAUGCUAAUAUGCCUGAACAAUAAAGUAAGGAAUAUGCUCAACAUAAAUCAUGCAAGUAUGCAAGUUCUUUGUUCUUUACUCUUUAUUUCUUAAUCUUUGUGCUUUGUUCUUUAAUCUCACGGCUAACCCGGGGGUUUCACCACAUUAACUUGCCCACAUUAAGUCCAUCAUCGUGGGCCCUCAGCUGCGCCCCGCUAAGACCGUCCUCGGGUUUACUCCAACCUAUGAUGCAAAACUCCGGAGCGCAUCGCCCGAGGGGGAGCGACCGCCCUCGAGCACGGAACUCAUUGCAAGUAUGAUCGAUCCUUAACUCUAAGGAUAUAGUUCAAUCAUUGUCUUUACACUAACUCUAGUGUUCUUUAUAUCACUUUAUUUUGCUAGCUCUAGCAAUCAUUGUUCUUUAACUUUACUCGUUCUUUAUGCCACUUUCAUUUUCUUUACUUAUCUCUACUCAUUUUCAUCGUUCUUUGCGCCACAUUUUUCUUUGAUGCCACACACUAACUCUAGUGUUCUUUAUAUCACUUUAUUUUACUAACUCUAGCAAUCAUUGUUCUUUAACUUUUCUCAUUCUUUAUGCCACUCGAUCUAUAUUUUAUUGUGUCACUUUGUUCUUUCAUCUCGUUGGAGACUCACAUCAUCUCAUGCAUACAUAUAGGGUUGAAUAGGUUCUCAAACAUUUCGAAUAGCACGUGUACUCACAUCAUGCAACACUCACAUAUAUAUCAUCACAUCUACCCUAUAAUGCAUGCAACAAUAUACAUAUAUGCUCAAUUGAAUGACACAUUAGGCAUAGAAGGAAUUCCAACAAGUUUGGAUAGCACCACCAACCUCGUAGGCGUACUAGGAUGCUACAAUGAUUUUCCUGGGAUUUUUAGCCUCUUAGUUUGCUACCUGCGGCAAAAUGAAGCCCUAUUAGGCCAUUUUGCUCAUAUCUUUACAUUGACUUUUCAUAACGUUAAACCGAGCACACCAACGCGUCGGAAAUACCUCCAAUUAGAUUUCUAGAGGGUCAAUUUCACUUUGAAAUCCUCCAUAACAAAAGCCUAAAUUUGGGUGCCCUAGCUCUUAGCAUAUCAAAACCUAGGGUUUGAUCUCUUAGAGAAGCAAAAGUAAGUUUCAAACCAUGUAAAGGUUCCAUUUGAAUCAUCCUUAGCUCAAUCAAAACCCAUUUUAGGGUUUCACCAUGAGAGGGGUUGAAGCUUACCUUCAAGCUUCACCACCGCCACCCAAUCCAUAGUUUUGAUCUCUAAAGAAGCAAAAGAAAAGCUUCAAAUACUCUAAAGGUCCUAUAAAAACCAUUCUUAGGUUAAUUCAAACCCUAGUUUCGGUUCUACAAUGAUUAGGGUUCAAGCUUACCUCUAAGCUUGCUCCUAUGUUGCUCCAAAGAGGAAGAAGUGGAAGUAGCUCUACUCCUUGGCUUCUUCUUCAUAUUCCUUCUCUUUUUUUUCUUCUUCUUUUCAUUCUUUUCCUUCUCUUCUUUCUUUUAUUUCUUCUCUUCUUUGUCUUCUAGAGAGAGAAAGAGAGGUGAGAGUGUGUGUGAGAGGGAGUGAAAUAAGAGAAAUAUCCCAUUUGCCCCUUAACAUAACCCAUAUGAUGCAUAAUUGCAUUUGGGUCCCUCAACUUUGAUCUUAUUAAACUGCUUGAACUGGGCAGUUUUCGUGCUCAGGGACCGGUCUCCCCGACUUGGGACCGGUCCCAGAGAGCUUGCCCCGCGGGCAGCCAGGGCCCCAGCGCAAUGCAACCGAUCUCUCCCAGAGGAACCAGUCUCUCGGGGACCGAUCUCUCCCCGCAGGGACCGGUUCCCGAGAGCUGGUGUUCUGGGACUUAGCUGAUUUUUUAGCUUUCCUCAUUUCUCACACAUUCGGGGACUGGUCUCUCCCACCAGGGACCGGUCCCCGAGAGCACAAAACCUGCAGAAUGCAGAUUUUUGAUUCUUUAGCUCUUGAAAACCUCCCACAAUGCACUUUUGAUCAUUUUAACACCUUCGGACUUUCGAAGCGUACCAUCCUCGCACUUUGGUUAAUUUGACUAAAGUUCGAUAUUUAUGCUCCGAAUUCUCGGUAUAUUGCAUUCUCCACCCCUUAAAAUAAUUUCGUCUGCGAAAUUACACAUACUUAACUCGUCGACUCAAAUAAGUGCGGAUACUCUCUUCGCAUAACCUCCUCAAGCUCCCAAGUGGCUUCUUGCGCAGCAUGGUUGCUCCAUUGGACUUUCACAUAUGGAAUUCUGCGACUCCGCAGCUUUCUUUCUUCUCUUUCGAGGAUGCACACCGGGUACUCCUCAUAAGACAUAUCCUCACGUAACUCCACGGGCUCGUACUCUAAUACAUGUGUUGAGUUUCGAAUAUACUUUCGGAGAUUUGACACAUGAAACACAUUGUGAACUUCCGCGAGUCUCGGUGGUAGUGCGAGCUUGUAUGCAACCGCACCCACGCGCUCCAAUAUCUCAAAUGGUCCGACAUAAUGGGGACUUAGCUUCUCACGGACCCCAAAAUGUUUGACUCCUCGCAUCGGCGAUACUCUAAAAAAUACGCGAUCUCCAGCUGCGAACUCUAAGUCUUUCCUUCGCUUAUCGGCAUAACUCUUUUGUCGAGAUUGCGCCGUCGCUAACUGUUGACGGGCAAGGCAGACUUUCUCCUCCGCCUCCCGCACUACAUCUGGGCCAAAAGCCGCUCUCUCGCCACGUCGCUCCAAUGGAUAGGAGAACGACACUUCCGACUAUAUAGUGCCUCAAAUGGCACCAUCGCUAUACUCUCUUGAUAACUGUUAUUAUAUGCGAACUCCGCCAUCGGUAAGAAAUCAUGCAAUCCUCCCUUGUAAUCUAGUACACACGCUCAAAGCAAGUCCUCGAGGAUCUGUAUUGUCCGCUCUGACUGUCCGUCACUCUGAGGAUGAAACGCUGUGCUAAAGUCGAGCCGUAUGCCUAGCGCGACUUGCAAACUCUUCCAAAAGUGGGAUGUGAAUCUGGGGUCUCGAUUCGAUACAAUUGAUACCGGAACCCCAUGAAGUCUCACAACCUCGUCGAGAUAAACUUGAGCUAACUUGUCUCCCGACCACGUAGUAUGUAUCGGCAAGAAGUGUGCCGACUUUGUCAAUCGAUCCACUAUCACCCAUAUCGCAUCGUGUCCGCCUUGUGAUCGAGGCAAACCGGUAACGAAGUCCAUCACUAUAUCUUUCCAUUUCCAAACGGGUAUUGAUAGACUUCGUAGCUUUUUCGCUGAAAAUUGGCGCUCUGCUUUCACCUGUUGGCAUGUUAGACAUUGUGCCACAAACUCCCCAAUAUCUCUUUUCAUACCCGGCCAUCAAUAAUGCUCUUUCAAGUCCUUGUACAUUUUAGUGCCGCCCGGGUGCAUGCUAUAAGGGGACUGGUGUGCUUCUUGCAUAAUCGCCCUUCGCAACUCAUCAUCUUUAGGCACACACCAUCGAUUUCGAAAUCGAAGUGCGCCAUCGGCUCCAACGCCAAAGUCUUCGGCAUUGCCGCUUUCAACUUCAUCUCAAACCUUUUGGAGAUAAGGGUCCGAAGCUUGAAGCUCUUUAAUCCUCUCAAACAGGGUCGGUUGCACAACUAAUGCGGCUAGUGUAGCCGGCACUCCCGGCGCUACCACUUCCAACCCAAGCCUUUGCAUUUCCUUGUGCAAUAGCGGUUGAGGCGUAAUUGCCAUCGCUAAAUUCUCCGCCGAUUUUCUACUUAAAGUGUCGGCCACGACAUUGGCCUUCCCGGGAUGGUAUAGUAUAGUGACAUCAUAGUCCUUUAGCAACUCUAACCACCGCCGCUGCCGCAUGUUCAGUUCCUUUUGGGUGAACAAGUACUUUAGACAUUUAUGAUCUGUGUAGACUUCACAAUGUUCACCAUACAAGUAAUGCCUCCAAAGCUUUAGCGCGAAAAUCACCGCGGCUAACUCGAGGUCGUGAAUCGGGUAGUUUUUCUCGAAACUCUUCAAUUUGCGCGAUGCAUAAGCAAUGACCCGCCCGUUCUGCAUCAAUACACACCCGAGACCAACAUACGAGGCAUCACUAUACACUACAAAGGUCUCCCCCGGAGUCGGCAAGGCAAGCACCGGGGUCGACGUCAACUUGUUCUUUAACUCUUCGAAGCUCUGAUCGCAAUCGUCGCUCCAAACAUACUUUACUCCUUUAUGCAUGAGGCGCGUUAGUGGAGUGGUUAUUUUGGCGAACCCCUCCACGAACCACCGCUAGUAGCCCGCAAGUCCAAGAAAACUGCGGACCUCCGCUACGUUCGUCGGACGAGGCCAAUCCUUUAUUACCUCUACUUUCUUCGGAUCUACCGAAACUCCGUCGCCCGAUACCACAUGACCCAAGAAUGUUACCUCCUUUAGCCAAAAGUCACACUUCUUUAACUUCGCGUAGAGCUGUAUUUGCAACACAGCUCUCAAAUGCUCUUCGUGCUCCUCUUCACUCUUCGAGUAAACCAACAAGUCGUCUAUAAACACCACGACGCACCGGUCCAACAACGGCUUGAAGACUCGAUUCAUCAAGUCCAUAAAUGCUGCCGGGGUGUUAGAAAGCCCAAACGGCAUUACCUUGAACUCAUAAUGGCCAUACCGCGUACGGUACGCUGUCUUGUGCACAUCCUUCGGCUUAAUCUUUAAUUGAUGAUACCCUGAUUGGAGAUCGAUCUUCGAAUACACCUUUGACCUUUACAAUUGAUCGAAUAAAUCGUCAAUCCUUGGUAAUGGGUGCUUGUUCUUUAUCGUUACUUUGUUCAACUCGCGAUAGUCUACGCAGAGUCGAAGUAUGCCAUCCUUUUUCUUCACAAAUAGCACCGGAGCUCCCACGGUGACACGCUCGGCCUCACGAAGCCUUUAUCGAGCAAGUCUUGUAAUUGGCUUUUCAACUCCUUUAGCUCCACCAGUGCCAUUCUAUACGGAGCCUUCGAAACUGGUUCCGCCCCGGGAAUCAAGUCAAUAACGAACUCGACCUCUCGGUCAGGUGGCAAUCCUAGUAACUCCGCCGGAAAUACAUCCGGGAAUUCGCAUGCUACUCGAAUAUCCCCCAACUCUGGGUACUCCUUCCGAGCAUCUACCAUGGUUGCCAAAUAGGCCUUACACCCUCCUUUGAUCAUUUUCUUCGCCCUUACAGACGAUAUGGUCGCCGCGAAGCGCCUACUUUUGCACGCUUGGUACACCAUCUCUUCUUGAUUAGGCUCACGAAAAGUGAUCACCUUUCUUUCACAAUCUAUAACCGCAUAGUACUUGGAGAGCCAGUUGGUCCCCAAGAUGAUAUCGAAUCCCCACAUCUGAUCUAGCACUAGCAGAUCAAUCGGCAUAAUCCAAUCGCCUAUUUGCACUGGACACGCCAAACACUCAUUAUGGACACUGAACGAAUGUUCCGGGGCGUUCACCCACCAAUAGUCCUCGUUGUAUUCCAUCUUUAUGUCAUGCGUUUGAGCAAAUGAUGCGCUAAUGAAUGAAUGAGAUACGCCUGUAUCAAAUACUGCUAUAGCUCUAGUGCCUUUAAUCACAAUUAUACUUGCCACGACGUCGUCGGGUGCUGCAGGCUGUUGCUCCUCUACCUGAGCGGCGAAAACCGAGCUGCUAGGUGCUCUCAAUCCCUCUGGCUUACGCGGUGAUGAUGCGCGCCCAGCCGACAUUGCUGGUGGCAACCCUGCAAGCUGUCUCGGGGUAGACGGUGACGAUGCUGCCGCCGGUGCAGACGAUGUCCACGUCGGGCACUCCCGGAUAAGAUGUCCCGGUUGACCACACUUGAAACAUUUGCCGUCGCGCUGAGGGCAAGUCGACACUCGGUGCUCUCUGUCGCAAAUAACACAUCGAGGAGGUCUCCAGUUCCUCGACUGCUGUCGGGGAUACCGAGGGGGUUUCUUAGCAUUUGGCCGUCCCCCGGCACCACCCGCCGUCCGCUUUUUGCCUUUGUCCUUACUCUCGGCCAUAGCCUCCCGUUCUUUACGUACAUGGGCGCUACCGUGCUUCGCCCAUAAUGCUCUAUCAAAGACCUCCGCAAAGGUCAUUAGCUUCAGAAUCUGCACCUUCUCGUAAAUUCUCGGCUGGAGUCCUCGUAAGAACCAAUCAGCCCGGUCCCGAUCAUCUCGAACAACAUCAGAAACGCAGUCGAUAAUGUGGGAGAAUUCCUGCUCAUACUCCCCCACCGAUCGAUCACCCUGUCGUAACUUGCGGAACUUCUCUUGCAACCUAUGCUUUACCGUAUCGGGGAAGUAGUUCGCGAAUACCGCUCUCUUGAACUCCUCCCACAGCAUAAGCGGAAGAUCGGUAGGUCGAUCCCGUUUAACUCGCUUCCACCACACCAUCGUCGCCUUCUCAAGACAAUGGGUGGCAAGGUAUACUUUGUCCUUCUUCGAGGUAUUGAGAUCCUCGAAGAGCAUCUCCAUCGAGUCAAUCCAUGACUCCACGACCGCUGGCUCCACCAAACCACCUUCAAAGGUAGGUGGGUCGAACUUCUUGAACUGAAUAAGAGCCGCCAACGUGCGCUCUCGCUCCGCCUCUACCGCCGCACUAUCAGGAUUUGAGGUUCCCGAUCCGGCCGGUAGUACCGUAACUAGGACAACCGCCGCUGCUGCCGCUCCCUCGCCUACGCUCGGCACUACCACAUGGGGCGCGACGUGCUCGACACCCACCUGGGCCGCCGCUUGCUGACGCUCCAAGGCCUCCUGGAGCCACUGAAUCUGCUCCCCUUGACGUUGAACAGACUCUGCCUGUUGCCGCACUACACCGAUAAGCGUGGCCAUCUGCUUCCUAAGCUCUCCGUCGCUACUCGCUCCGAAUCGCUCGGGUGCCGCAUUCGACUCCUCAGGCAUCGACCUUGUCUGCGGUCGACCAUGAGGUGCCAUUGCUUCCUGAAAAGAAGCAAUUCGCAUUAGCUACUUGACCAACAUUACUUGACUAUACCCAAUCCAGCGAAAGCAACAUGCACAUUCAUCCUUGCCUUAAGCGUCAUGUCGUCGGCCGCCCGACACAACACCAGAAGUAGAGGACAAACGAAAAUUAAACUUAGCCUCUAAUCACAUUAGAGCUGUCCCAACUUAACCCAAUCACAAGCUUUCGCUAACUUUGAUUCUACGUCACUCACGUUCCCUAGAUCCUUAAGGUCUUCCAAUCCUAAGGGUCUCUAGGUCCAUUCCUAUUCUUUCACUCUAGGCUCUGAUACCACAAUAUCUGUCAUGCCCCGGGACCGAUAUCAAUUUGGGCCGGCCCGAGCACGUCAAGCAGACGCCGAAUGGACAGAGUUUCCCCUGCCCGCCGAAGGCUCAUCACUUGUACAUUUUCAAGUAGAGAAAGCACUAGCGGAAACAUACACAAACGGCUUACACGAAGGUAAGCAAUAGCCAUGGGUGAAAGAAAGGAAUCUAAACAUCUACACAAGUACUAUGAUUCUCUUUUGAUCACAUACAUUGCAUUUAACUUCUACAUUCAUAGUUCUUUACAUACUUUUCAUCAUUUCUUUUUACAUCACAUUCUCCUCGAGAUAAACAUUAUAUUCUUUUUCUUUUACAUCUCAAUUCAUCAAAUACAAAAGAUGAAAUAAGGGAAUACUUCUACAAAAUGUAAACCCGACUUGGUAGUCACUGUCUAUGGCGCGAUACCUUUACUGCAGUCGCUCGCCGGCUCGCUCGGUCCCGACUCUGUGGAAAUAGUAGGUGAGAACUACAACGAAGUUCCCAGUGGGUUCAGCCCCAAUCUCACCGACUUUCCCACUAGGACUAACUCAGGCAUAAUAGAAAGGAUAAGCAGGAUAGUAACCAAACUAUAAUCAUGAUGCUAAUAUGCCUGAACAAUAAAGCAAGGAAUAUGCUCAACGUAAAUCAUGCAAGUAUGCAAGUUCUUUGUUCUUUACUCUUUAUUCUUUAAUCUUUGUUCUUUGUUCUUUAAUCUCACGGCUAACCCGAGGGUUUCGCCAUAUUAACUUGCCAAUAUUAAGUCCAUCAUCGCGGGCCCUCAACUGCCUCCUGCUAAGACCGUCCUCGGGUUUACUCCAACCCGUGAUGCAAAACUCCGGAGCGCAUCGCCCGAGGGGGAGCGACCGCCCUCGAGCACGGAACUCAUUGUAAGUAUGAUCGAUCCUUAACUCUAAGGAUAUAGUUCAAUCAUUGUCUUUACACUAACUCUAGUAUUCUUUAUAUCACUUUAUUUUGCUAGCUCUAGCAAUCAUUGUUCUUUAACUUUACUCGUUCUUUAUGCCACUUUCAUUUUUUUUACUUGUCUCUACUCAUUCUCAUCGUUCUUUGCGCCACAUUUCUCUUUGAUGCUACACACUAACUCUAGUGUUCUUUAUAUCACUUUAUUUUGCUAACUCUAUCAAUCAUUGUUCUUGAACUUUACUCAUUCUUUAUGCCACUCGAUCUAUGUUUUAUUGUGUCACUUUGUUCUUUCAUCUCAUUGGACGCUCACAUCAUCUCAUGCAUACAUAUAGGGUUGAAUAGGUUCUCAAACAUUUCGAAUAGCACGAGUACUCACAUCAUGCAACACUCACAUUUAUAUCAUCACAUCUACCCUAUAAUGCAUGCAACAAUAUACAUAUAUGCUCAAUUGAAUGAUACAUUAGGCAUAGAAGGAAUUCCAACAAGUUUAGAUAGCACCACCCACCUCGUAGGCGUACUAGGAUGCUACAAUAAUUUUUUUGGAAUUUUUAGCCUCUUAGUUUGCUACCUGCGGCAAAACGGAUCCCUAUUAGGCAAUUUUGCUCAUAUCUUUACAUUGACUUUUCAUAAUGUUAAACCGAGCGCACCAACGCGUCGGAAAUACCCCGAAUUAGGUUUCUAAAGGGUCAAUUUUACUUUGAAAUCCUCCCGAGCAAAAGCCCCAAAUGUGGGUGCCCUAACUCUUAGCAUAUCAAAACCUAGGAUUUGAUCUCUUAGAGAAGCAAAAGUAAGCUUCAAACCAUGUAAAGGUUCCAUUUGAACCAUCCUUAGCUCAAUCAAAACCCAUUUUAGGGUUUCACCAUGAGAGAGGUUGAAGCUUACCUUCAAGCUUCACCACCUCCACCCAAUCCAUGGUUUUGAUCUCUAAAGGAAGCAAAAGAAAGCUUCAAAUACUCUAAAGGUCCUAUAAAAACCAUUCUUAGCUUAAUCCAAACCCUACUUUCGGUUCUACCAUGAUUAGGGUUCAAGCUUACCUCUAAGCUUGCUCCUAUGUUGCUCCAAAGAGGAAGAAGAGGGAAUAGCUCUACUCCUUGGCUUUUUCUUCACCUUCCUUCUCUUUUUCUUCUUCUUUUUUUCCUUCUUUUCCUUCUCUUCUUUCUUUUCUUUCUUCUCUUCUUUGUCUUCUAGAGAGAGAAAGAGAGGAGAGAGUGUCACGCCCCGAGACCGCUACCAAUUUGGUCCGGCCCGGGCGCGUCGAACAGACGCCGAACGGACAGGACCUCCCACGCCGAACGGACAGGACCUCCCCUGUCCGCCCAAGGCAACCAACAGAUCAUGUAUAAGAAUUUACCCAGGAAUUCAAUUCAUAAAUACACGAUCAAGAAGCACCACCAGUGCGACAAACGAGAGCAAGAUACAAGUAUAGAAACAUCUACAAGUACACAAAGAGAGAAGAGCUAUCUAUUACAUUCAUUUGACUUAAUACAUUCAAUUACAUCUUUUACAUUCAUCCAAAAUAUAAAUACAACCACUCGAACCUCACCCUAUACAUCAUCUACUCUCAAAUAUAAAAGGGUGACGGCUAGUGCAAAAAGGAAGGUAGCUAAUGCUACUAAAACGCCGGGCCCUUACCGCGAUCCUCACGCUCACCGGGGACACCCGAACUGGAACCUGUAGUAAAAUGGGGGUGAGAACUAACUUCCUUAGUUCCCAGUGGGUUCGGCCGCCGACUCCGCCGAUCUCCCCACUAGGUCCAAGUCGGGCACAAGUAGAUAAUCGAUAGAUAGAUAGAUAAGGAAAGCGGUAAAUGACAGGAGUAAAGCUACUCUACUAUGCCCAAUCAUAAAUAUAUGAAUGCAUGUACAAUGAAAUAGGUAAGCAACUAACCUGUUAUCAUGUCCAAAGGUGAAGCUAUUCACUCGUUCAUUAACCUCAUUUACUUGUCCAUUAAUCUCAUGGCUUACCCGAAGGCUCGCCUACAGCUCACUAGCCAUCUCGACACGUAGGGAGAAUUAACUCACACUACGGACCCGAGACCGUCUGGCGGGGCCAUAUAGGCAAUCCCUGGCGUGACCAACAUCCGGAGCGCACUACUUGUGUGGGGCUUCCAUCACAAGAUUUAACAGACCGUGAGCAUGAUCCCAUCCUCUAAGCUUGAGGAUACCCUGUCCUCUAGGGUCACAAUCAUCAUAUAGUCCAUAGGUUUCAUAUACACUAUGACUCACAUAUGUGUCAUUUGUUCUUUUGCUUACUAUCAACUAAAUGCCACUCGUCCAUUGUUUACUAUCGACUAGAUGCCACUCGUUCUUUGUUUAGCAUUAGACCAACCAUUGAGCCCAUCACUUUCUCUGCACUAUAGGAUUCACAAGUCUCGACCCAAUCCUUAUCAAUCCACUACGUCAAAUAUCCAAUACAUGCUACGAUAUCAUCAAGGAAGGCAUAAGGAAAGGCAAUGCAUAAUCAUCCUAUAAUGCAAUAAUACAAGAUGCAAGAAUCGACAUGUACUAAGACAUAGAAGGGAGCCCGAUUGCUUCGGGAUGGACACCACCCACCUCUUGGCGAUGCCGCGAUAGUAGAAAGCUCGACGUUGCGGUUCUUGCACGCCGCUUAAACUCCUCGGGGCAAAGCGAGCCCUCGAGUACCCGAUUCGGCGAUAACUCCGCACCCGCUCGUCGGAUCGGCAAACCGUCUUCGCCGACGCGUUCAGAGACCUAGCAAUUAGGUUAGCGACCCAACAAAUUAGAUCAAAACCCUAGAUUUCCCAAAAUCCCAAUCCGUGCCCUAGAAUGGCGACGAGAGGGAAAUCCAUGGUGCGAGCUUCGAUUUUGAGCUCGAACCAUCUAUUCAUUCCCAAUAGGUUCCAUUUGAACCAAUUCUAAACCAUAAAAACCCAAAACCCUAGAAUUUCCAUUAAAGGGUUGGAAGCUUACCUCUAAGCCAAGCUCCAAGCUUGCCCUAGGUUGAAGGAGAGAGAGAAGAAGACCUUCUUCUUCUUCUUCUUGGACUUCUCCUUCUACUUCUUCCUCUUUUCCUUCUUUUCUUUCUUCUCUUUCUUCUUCUUCUUUCCUUUCUUUCCUAGAGAGAGAGAGAAAGAGUGUGAAAGAGAGAGAGAGAGAGCAGCUGAGAGGGAAGGAGAGGGGUCCCCCACCUCUAAUAAGGCCAUUUUGCAGUUAGCCCCCUCAACUUUUCAUUCCUUGAAACAGCCCUCCCUGGGCCAUUUUCGCAGUGAGGGACCGGUCCCAGUUCGGGAAGAACGGUCCCCGAAGGCUGCCCUUUCGAGCAGAGGGGAUUUCACGUUCGGGAACCGGUCCUUACCUGAGAGACCGGUCCCCGGGAGACCGGUCCUCGUCCGAGAGACCGGUUCCCGAGAGCUGCAUUUUCAGGACUUAGCCAAAUUUGGCUAAGUCUCGUCGGGCCAACGUUCGGGAACCUGUCCCUGCCCACCAGGGACCGGUCUCAUCAGAGACCUCCACAACCCAACCUGAUGGGACCGGUCCCUCCCUGCCAGGGACCAGUCCCCGAGAGCAUUUCUGCUCCAGUGCAAGUUUUGCACUGGUGCUCUCGCGGACCUCUUCUUAAUGCACUUUAUGCAUUAUAAACACCUUCGGACUUUCCGAAGCCUACUCACUCGACGAAUAGUCGAUUCUGGUCGAAGUCUAAUCCUCGAGUUUCGAGAAUUCACUUCCUUACAGAGAGUGUGUGUGAGAGGGAGUGAAAUGAGAGAAAUAUCCCAUUUGCCCCUUAACAUAACCCCAUAUGAUGCAUAAUUGCAGUUGGGUCCCUGAACUUUGAUCUUAUUAAACUGCUUGAACUGGGCAGUUUUCGUGCUCGGGGACCGGUCUCCCCGACUUGGGACCAGUCCCAGAGAGCUUGCCCCGCGGGCAGCCAGACCCCCCGCGCAAUGCAACCGGUCUAUCCCAGAGGGACCAGUCUCUCGGGGACCGGUCUCUCCCUGCAGGGACCGGUUCCUGAGAGCUGGUGUUCUGGGACUUAGCCGAUUUUUCAGCUUUUCUAAUUUCUCACGCGUUCGGGGACCGGUCUCUCCCACCAGGGACCGGUCCCCGAGAGCACAAAACCUGCAGAAUGCAGAUUUUUGAUCAUUUUAACACCUUCGGACUUUCCGAAGCGUACCAUCCUCGCACUUUGGUCAAUUUGACUAAAGUUCGAUAUUUAUUUUUCGAAUUCUUGGUAUAUUACAAACCGCAACCAUGGUUUUUUAGUGGGUGCGACAGAGCCACGAAGGCAAGUCGUAAUCACCGGAAACCAAAGGAGAUAGAUAAACAAGAUAUAUAUAUGCUGUGAUGCGAAAAGGAAACUACAGUAGCUGUAACAGGUAUAUAAGAAGCAAGAACUAGAACUGCUACUGUAUAGAAACAAUGCAAGUAUGCCUUAAUGUAAUAAGCUAGAAACUGUACCCAAUCUGUGCCUACUAUAUUGGUCCGCAGACCUCAAGCGCUGCCUGUCACUAACUGCACUGACUUGAUCCAUCCGCCCAAUAGGACGACCCAUCCGGAUAAGUACACCUUCGAUCGGUGGCCAAACCGAUCUGGUGUCAUGAAUACCCCCAAGUGCUAUGACUAAGUCAUGCUGGUAUGCUCAAACGAAAACCGGUUGAAGUCGGUGACUAGGCCGAAGAUAGCAACAAGGGUGUACAACGCCGAACCAUAAUAGAUAUUAGGGUGUACAACAUCGAACCACGAUCAACCAGAUCAAAACACAUGACAAAAGAGUCGAUAUGUUGCCUGGAACCAAGGUCCACUGAGAUGAAAGUACAAAUGCAACCUGCUCUACUUGUCUAUCAACCACUAACUGAUGCAGCCAAGAAAGUAAGAUAUACCAAUGAUAACAAGCAAGGACAUGUAGACUCUACUAAACUGGAAUAGAAACAACAGGAAAAGGUGAAACGAUCUCACUGACUACCAGCUCGAAGCACCCAUUUGUCACAAUCGCGUCGGAAAUCUGGAUGUACACAAGUCGACCGGACCUACAAAGGUUCACCGGGUCAGUAUCCAACCCACUAACCCAAAGCACGAGACUCACAAACCCCCACACAAGUCCCCAAAUCGGUUUCCUAAAAUCAAUCACCAUAACUCACCGGAAGUCCCGAAAACCACAUCGGGACGCCGUCGGGACCCACUAAGUGUCCCGAAACUCACUGACUCGUGUCACGAGUCACCCGCUGCCACAAAGCACUCCUGUUUGGAUGUCUUGGCAGCAAACACAAGAUAACACCACUACAAAAUUAUCGCCGGAUAAUUGUACGAAUACGGGUUCCCGAAAGUGUCAAUUUCAGCACCGGAACCCAUCGUCGCUCACCCAUCAUCACCGAACCCAUAAAAUGAUGAUGGUGAUCAGCCAACAAGGCUCAGCGACAAAUCACAGGAUAAACAAACCACCGGAAGAAAUCCGAACUAAAACCACAUUCUUUCGGCGAAUUUCGCCGAAAAACGCACCGAAAUCGACUCCUCGAUUUUCGCGAAGGCUAUCGGAUCAUGGACAAUCAGUCUAGAGGUCACCACACAUGCAUACACAUUGCCCAUAGUAGCCUCAAGGUGCACGUAAACCAAGGACUCGUUCACGCAAAAGUCCCUCAAUUUACAUAAAAUCCUAUUAUUUUAUGUAAAUUGGGCGAUCAAGUGGCUCGUUCACGUAAACCAAGGACUUUCGAGGUCCGCCAAGACACGUACUGGUAGGUCUCGACGUGCCGGAGGCCGUGCUCAUGAUCCGGAGCUCAACGGCUCACUGUGGGAGGCGCGACUGCAACCCGAAGUUCUACGAACAACGCACAGUCAGGGAAGAUCACGCCGAAUAGAGCUAACCGGAAUCCGUUGAUCCAAAGUGAGGUGAGCACUGUGAUCAGCACUGACUAACGAUCACCAUGCUCACCUCUGGAGGCAUCGGAACAACCUUGGAUCGCCGAAAAAAUGCGCGUAAAUACGGAACAGCAGCCGAAAAGGCUCAACAGGGUCGACACCGCCGAAACAGCGGAACGGAGUCUCCCCGAUAGAAUCUAAGGUGAGCACAAUGAUCAGCAAUUUGCCACGAUCAUUGUGCUCCCUUCCAUAGAGAUCGGGGAGGCUCGGGAAGCUCGGAACAGCAAACAACCCAAGUAAAGCCCUAUAUCGGGCUUGGCCGGAGCAAGCUCGCUCCGGCCGGCUUCCGGCGGCAUGGCGAGGUGCGCGCAGGCCAGAGAUGGGUGCGGGGGAGGUGAGGAACAUGAUGCUCACCUCGGGUGGCAGCUGGGAGUGGCGGCGGCGUCGGCGGAGAGAGCCACACCAGCAUAAGCUAGGGCACGGGUCUAGCGGCUCCUCCCAGCGAUGGUGAUGGCCGGGACCGGUCGGGGAUGACGGCGGUGGGUCCCCAGAUGCCGGAGGAGGUGGGAGGCGGCGGGCGACGGCGGCGGCGGCCCGCGGCUGGGGCAUGGCCCCUCGAGCUUGGCUCGGCUAGGAGGGCCACAAGCGGUAGGAGUGGCGGCGGCGGCGCUCAAGGCAGCUCGGGGCGGCGGUGCCGACAGCCAGAGGUCGGGGAGGUGCCACGGGAGUGGCCUAGGGCGGCGGCCGCGUGGAGGGGUGGUCGCGAGCUCGCCUCAGCCCUAGCAAGCCUGGGGCAGCGCCGGCGGCGGUCGGGGGUGUGCGGCUAGGGCAGGGGAGCAGGGUAAAGGUGGCUGGGGGCAACUAGGGUUAGCUAGGGAUGAUCUAUGGUUCAGUUCCAAGGUGAAACCCUAGAAAACUUAAAUACAUAUAGCUCCAAAUUGCGGAAAAGCCCAUCUAAACUUAAUAUUUUAUAUUGAGUCCUCCACUGCGCUAGUAAAACGCGCAAAUGCCCCUCCACAUCCGUUUUCACGCGAAACGGUACAUAAAAUGUUGCGACUUUUGCGAAAUUACCGUUUUGCCAACACCGACCUCUCCUCGAUCAACAAGCGAUCUCUACAGAUCCGUCUGUCAGAUUUGCGAACGGAUCACACCAGUGCGAUCAGCACUUCGGAGACAACAAACCUACAAUUCUGGUUCGCCUCAAUCGGUCACGGAUUCGCGACGAAAUCCGUUCUCUCUCCAAAGGCCAAAAUGACGCACAAAUACAUAUAGAACAUGUAUUUUCAGAUUUUCUCGAAAUUCGUUCAUCAAACUCAAAAUCCGUCAGCGCCAUUAGUUCCAAAAUAGCUGAACCGGUCGAAACGAGCUAUUGGAUUGCUAUGAACGGAGUACGAUACGAGUCAGAAGCCAACUUCACACCGUGGCUUCUCCGGAAAACCGAGUUACUAUUCACUUUAAGUGAAACUUAGAAAUCGCGUAGAAUCUUCGUUUUAACUCAUUUUCGCCCGAAAUUUGACGAGUGCUUUUGUAAUUAAAUUUACACAUUAAAACAUCGUCCAUUGAAAGUUUAGCUACACUGCAAAAAUCUCAUGUCCUUACAUGGAGGGAGUUUGGUUGAAAGGAGAGGAGUUUCUUGGUGGUUUAUUUUCAACCCUAGCUCAAGAUAGCUUGAUUUGGAGCUUUCUUGAGGGUUAGUACUCUUCUUGAAACUUCUAUUUGUGAUUUUUGCAAGAUUUGGAGAUGAAAACCUAGUUUUGUAGAAACUAGGGUUUUGUUUGGGGCUUUUCAUUUGGAAGCUUUUGUGUUGGGAUUGAUGAGUGUAGAACACUCUUGUAAGUUGGAUUUGAAGCUUGGAAGCUUCAAUUUAUGCUUUGGUCAAGUUCGUCUUGACCUAAGGUAUUUUUCACUUUUGCAUGUGUAAUUUUCGAAGAUUUUUGAAGUAACUUUUUGAAAGCUUUUAACCCUUUAAAAUUUCUUUUAGGGUGCUAGGAGUUUGGCCGACAACUUCGUUCGAAGGAACGAAAGGGUUCGAAGUGCUUCCGGUGGAUUUGACCUCACCGAAAUGGGUUAACUCCCCCUAUGUCUUUCUUAUGGUUUUAAGACAUAAUUAGAUGUUUUUUCAUGCUCAGUAUGACAUGCUAGAAUUUAUGAAAGCCUAAUACAUACAUAGUAAAAUUAAUGCUCUACGUAGUAGAGGCAUACAUGUGGACAUGUACAUGAACUAGCACUACUUGAUGAUUUCUCUCUUAUGCAACUAUAGAAAGCAUGUUAGAGUAUGAAUGAUAGUAUAACUCUUUGGGGGUACCUAGUGAAUGGGUUAGAUAAGUAGUUAUCUUACAUGAUGACAAUAUUACACUUGUUAUAGACAAGGUGAUUGGAACUUAGCAUUACUUGCUUGAAAACAUUAUACUUGUUGUAGGCAAGGUAAAUGUGACAUUGGGACAUAGUGCAUGAUAAGGUCAUCAUGAAGCUAAGCUUGGUGCAUUUAACCUAGUUGAACAACUAGAACUUGACAUGUGACUUUGUGACUUAGUGCAUUUAAGUUAGUAGAACAACUAGUAUUUGCCAUUGUGAUAUUACAUUCGACUUAGGGUUUGAUAGUUAUAUUCCAUGUUUUAGACAUGAGGAAAAGAGAGUAUAAGCCUUUGGGGCGAACCCUAGUAGAGAUGAUUGCAUGUAAUACUAGUGGAAUUAAUUAUUCGCAUCAUAAUACUUCUACUCUAUGUAAUGGUGAUGUUAGUGGAAAGACUUGGGCAUAACAUGCAUGGUGGUACUUGUGGACAUUUCAUAAUUCUCUUGCAUAUGGCAUUAGUAAAUGUUUCUCUUGACAAUUAUUAAAAUUGCAUGUCAUGAACCUCUUUGGAGUCUUGUAUAAAAUGGUGAACUAUCCUAGGUAGGAUAAUGAUAUAUGAACUAUGCAUGCUUUAGGCAUUAUGUGUUGGUAGAGACAUACCACCCAAGUAGUUGUAAACAAGACAUGACAUGAAUGAUCUAGAACCCGACCGUCGAGUCGAUGAGUGACAAUUUCAUGUUUUAGACAUGAUGAUUGAGUAUCCCAAAUUGUGGACCCUAUGUUAUGAUCACGCUUGCUUGCCCUAAUGCUCAUUCGCACAUGCUUCUGAGGGUCGCUUCCUACAAGCCGGCACUAUGGAAUUUAGCCUUGCGACGAUAGAUCGCCCGUGCUCGAUUGGGCGUCGAAGUGGGAUGCCAUGGGCAGAGUCUCUUUUUUUGCAGGGAAAAUGAUGAACCCCACGGGACCACUAAGGCACGGCACGAGUCGGGACGUUACCACAUGUACGUUCCUUGUAAAUUGGGUAUCGAGACUUAACUUGACAUUGUACAUCACCGUAGUGGAUGCAUACAUGGUAGAUGUUCAUACUUGUGGUUUCCUACCUUAUAUUACUACUUGAUUCACUCAUAGUAGUUGGACAUUUGUGGGACAUGAUGACGUUGACAGCUUUAGUGGUAGUAAACCUAUACUUAUGUAGAUUAGUAUGUAUGCAUGGCUAGAAUAACAAUAAAAAGCACAAAUUAUUCUAUGUAGCAUCAAGGACAUUAUGAAUAUGCACGUAAUUUGACAUUGGCAUACAAUUGAAUAUGCAUGUAAACUGACAUUGGCAUAUAGUUGAAUAAAUGAAAUUUGAACAUCAUAUACUUGAUAGUUAAUCUUUUAGUAGUAGCAUGACUAUGGAAUGAACAUGUUUAAUUUAUUUGCUUUUCAUAUAUUGCUUAAUUAUUACCUUAUAGCAUGCCUCAGUUGAUCUAGUAGUGUAUUUCGCUACUGUAAGGAAGUGAAUUCUCCAAAUCCGAGAGUUGUACUUCGUCUAGGAUUGACUGGUUGUCGAGUGAAUAUCCUUCGGAAAAGCUAAAGAUGUCCAAACACAAAAAGUGCAUUGGAAACGUGUUCGCGAGAGCAUAUAGUGCAAAACCUGCACUGGGCUGAAGUUGCUCUCGGGGACCGGUCCCUGGCAGGGAGAGAUCGGUCCUCGAGGCUGGUGGUUGCUGGGGAUCUUUGAUGCAACCGGUCCCAGGCUGAGGGGACCAGUCCCCGUGUGCGACGCCAGCGAGAAAAGCCAAAAUUUGGCUAAGUCCCGAAAAUCCAGCUCUCGGGAACCGGUCUCUCAGACAGGAACCGGUCUCCCGAGGACCGGUCUCUCAGCGAGAGACCGGUUCCCGAACGCGUGAUGUCUGGGGAGGCUCUCGGGGACCGGUCCCAGGUCGGGGAGACCGGUCCCUCUGGGCGAAAAAUGCCCAGUGAGGGCAGUGCAAUGGAUGGAAAGUUGAGGAGCUAAAAUGGAUUUUGUUACAAUAGAGAGGUAUGUAGGCCCUCUCUCUCCCUUAGCUCCCUCAUCUCUUUCCCUCUCUCACACUCUCUUGCUCUCUCUUUCUCUCUCUAGAAAGAAAAGAAAGAAGAGAAGGAGGAGAAGAAGAAAAGGGAAAGAAGAAGGAUAAGAAGGUGGAGAAGAAGAAGGAGAUCAAGAAGAAGGCUUUGAACAUCUCCCUCUCCCUCUCCUCUUCUCUUGGGAGCUAGCACAAGAGGUAAGCCCUAACCCUAGCUUGUAGAACUGAGGGUUUUUGGGUUUUGAGCUUUGAGUUGAGGUCAAAUGGACUUCUAGCACCAUUGUUGGUGGAUUAGAGAUAGGAGCUAGGGUUUCAUGGUGCAAAUGGCAUGAUGCUAACCCUAGGGCACCCAAAUAGGAUUUUUGGUAAAGUAUGAGAUUGAUCUCAUUUGAUGCCUUGUUAACCUAAUUGCUAGGUGUCUAAAUGCGGGGGCGAAGUCGGAAUUACGAUUCGUCGUGUGGAUUUAAAGCUAUCGGCAAGAUAAGGCCGAUUGAGCAUUGUUUUGGACCGAGAAGGCCAAGACUUCGUCGUAACAUUCGCCGAAGAGCGUUUCUAGAACCUCUACAGCGAGAGAAGGUGGGGGGUGUCAUCCCGAAGCAACUGAACUCCUUUCUAUGUCUUAGAAUAACGCAUAAUUUUCAUCUCUUGCAUGUUGCAUUGUAGGAUUGCAUUGUAGUACCUUUCCUUACGCUUUCUGAAUGAAAACCUAGUGUACAUGGAAUGCUUGGUGAAUUGGACUCACGAACGCUCCAGUGGCAUUUAUGGACUUAAUGAACCGUGUCUUCAGAAAGUUUUUGGAUCGAUUUGUCGUGGUCUUCAUAGACGACAUAUUGGUCUAUUCUCGUAGUAACGAGGAACAUGCCGAGCAUUUGAGGAUUGUGCUUCAAACCCUUCGGGAGGAGAAGCUGUAUGCUAAGUUGAAGAAGUGUGACUUCUGGCUCCGAGAAGUCACAUUUCUAGGGCAUGUGAUUUCCGCGGGUGGAGUUUCUGUAGACCCGAGGAAGGUUGAGGCAAUCAAGGAUUGGCUGCGCCCGACUAAUGUCACGGAGGUCCGAAGCUUCCUCGGCUUGGCGGGCUAUUAUAGGCGGUUUGUGGAAGGCCUUUCGAAGAUAGUGAUUCCACUUACCCGCCUGACUCAGAAGGGCACCACGUAUGUUUGGAGCGAGGAGUGCGACCGGAGCUUUAAAGAGUUGAAGAAAAAAUUAACUUCUACUCCGGUGCUCGCUCUACCGGUGCAAGGCGAAGACUUCGUAGUCUACAGCGAUGUUUUCUAUCUAGGAUUGGGUGUGUCCUGAUGCAGGGCGGGAAGGUAAUCGCCUAUGCGCCCCAUCAGCUAAAGAGCUAUGAGAAGAACUACCCCAUUCAUGAUUUGGAGCUAGCGGCAGUAAUUUUCGCCUUGAAGCUGUGGCGGCACUACUUGUACGGUGCCCAUUGUGAGAUCUAUACCGACCACAAGAGUUUGAAAUAUCUGUUCACACAGAAAGAGCUUAACAUGAGACAGCGGCGGUGGUUAGAAUUGUUAAAGAACUAUGAUGUUGAUAUCCUUUACCACUCCGGGAAAGCUAAUGUGGUCGCUGAUGCAUUGAGCAGAAAAUCGGCGGAGAACCUCUCGAUGUGGGUUACAAAUCAAUCACCCUUGUGGUUAGACAUGGAGCGGAUAAACCUUGAGGUGGUUGCUCCCGAGAUUCCGGCUCAGUUGAUGGCACUCGUCGUCCAACCGACCUUGGUGGAGAGGAUUAAAGAUCUGCAACCUGCGGACCCAGAACUCCAAAAGGUGUGGCGAAACAUCGAGGAAGGUCGAAGUGGUGAUUUCAUUAUAGACGCCGAUGGUGCACUUCGGUUCCGAAACCGAUGGUGUGUGCCGAAGAAUGGAGAGCUUUGCGAGCUAAUUUUACAAGAAGCACAUCGAUCUCCAUAUGCUGAUCACCCAGGCAGCACCAAGAUGUACCAAGGACUAAAAAUGUAAUAUACCGAAAAUUCGGAAAAUAAAUAUCGAACUUUAGUCAAAUUGACCAAAGUGCGAGGACGGUACACUUCGGAAAGUCCGAAGGUGUUAAAAUGAUUAAAAGUGAAUUACGGGAGGUUUUCGAGAGCUAAAGGAUCAAAAAUCUGCAUUCUGCAGUUUUGAGCUCUCGGGGACCGGUCCCUAGUGGGAGAGACCGGUCCCCGAACGUGUGUGAAUUGAGACAGCCGAAAAAUCGGCUAAGUCCUGAGAAACUAGCUCUCGGGAACCGGUCCCUACCCGAGAGACCGGUCCCCGAGAGACUGGUCCCCCAAGGAGAGACCGGUUGCCCUGCGUGCAGCAGCUCUGGCUGCGCGGGGAAAGCCUUCGGGAACCGGUCCCUGAAGGAGAGACGGGUCCCCGCCUGCGCGAACAGCCCAGUCCAGGCUGUGUGAAAGAGUGAAAGUUGAGGGGUUUAAAUGCAUUUUGGCAACCCAUUGAGUAUAGUUAGAGGGUAAAUGAGAUAUUUCUCUCAUUUCACUUCCUCUCCCACUCUCAUCUCUCUUUCUCUCUCUAGAAGACAAAGAAGGAGAAGAAGAAGAGAAGGAAAAGAAGGAAAGGAAGAAGAAGAAAGUGGAGAAGAAGAAGAAGAAGUGAAGAAACUCCCUCUCCUUCAUCUCUAGCUUGAAGAAAGGGAAAGCUUUGAGGUAAGCUUCAACCCUAACCAUGCUAAAACCCUAAAAUGGGAAAUAUGUGACCUAGAGAUGGUUUUUGUAGAAUGUUUAGAGUCUUUGAAGCUUUUCUUUUGCUUCUUUUGAGAUCAAGACUGUUACGCCCCGGGACCGAUACCAAUUUGGCCCGACCCGAGCACGUCAAACAGACGCCGAACGGACAGAGUUUCCCCUAUCCGCCCAAGGCUCAUCACAUGUACAAAUUCAAACAAGAAAUGCACCAGCGAAAACAUGCACAAACGGCUUACACGAGGGUAAGCAAUAGCCAUUAGUGAAAGAAAGGAAAACUAAACAUACAUUUGUACUAUGAUUCGUUUUUGAUCAUAUUCAUUGCAUCCAUUUACAUUCAUGAUUCUUUGUACUUCAUUACACAUUGCAUCAUUUCUUUCUUACAUCACAUUUACUUCAAAAUAAGCUUUACAUUUUUUUUUACCUUUCAUCACUAGUCAUCAAAUACAAAGAUGAACAUAGGGUACUCUACUAACAAAAUGUAAACCCAACUCAACUCUGGUGGCCUUUGUCUAAGGCGCGAUACCUUUACCUCGGUCGCUCGCUGGCUCGCUCGGUCCCGGCUCUGUGAAAAUAGUGGGGUGAGAACUACAACAAAGUUUCCAGUGGGUUUGGCUCAAUCAAGACUUUCCACUAGUAUUUCCCAGGCAUAAUAGAAGAAUAAGCGUGCAUAUAGUACCAAUUCUAUACAUUGAUUGCUAAUAUGCCUGAACAUAAAGCAAGGAGUAUGCUCAAAUUACCAUAUGCCAGAUUAUCAAGUGUCUUUCGUUCUUUAUCACUUUACACUUUACACUUUGUUCUGUGCUUUGUUACUUACUCUUUAAUCUCGAAGGCUAAACCGGGAGGUUUCCGCCAGGGGUGUAACGUUGUUCACGAUUAAGUCGGCAUCAUCGGCAGGAACUUAGGGUCAUAUAGGACGUCCUUCGGGUUUCUCCAACCGUGUAUGAUAACUCGCGAGCGCAUCGCCCGAGGGAGAGCGACUGCCUCGUAUAUGGCACGGUAUAUCAUAUGUAGGAUGAUCAAAUCCUUAACUCAAAAGUGAUUAUAAGUUCAACUUGAUUUACACUAUGUCAUAGUGUUCUUUAAUCACUUUAUGUUGCAAAUCUAUUGCAAGUCACAUUCUUUUACAUUUCUUACUUUGCUAAACUCUAGCAGUUCUUAUCUUAUUGCCCCACUUUACUUUAAUCUUACACUAUUGUAUUUACAUCAACUCAUUAUACGUUGUUUUAUGCAUCAACUAAACUCUAGUGUCUCUUCUUUACUUUCAUAUUUUAAAUGGACUCGAUCUAUGUCUUAGUGUAUCACUCUGUUUGUUUUGCUCAUUUGGGUGUGUUGCUCACUUCUUCUCGUCAGUACACAUAGCGGUUUUUGACGUUUACAUAGUUCUCAUUCAUCGAUUAUGCAAGUUUGUACUCACAAUCAUGCAAUAUUACAUUUUCAGUCAUUACUUUCACCCGUAAUGCAUGCAACAACAUAGUAUUACAUGCUCAAAUGAGUGACAUAUUAGGCAUAGAGAGAAAGUUCAUAUGAGUUUGAGAGAGCAACCCCACUCGUAGCUUCCAGAGGAUGUCUCGAUGAUUUUCUUUGAGAUUUUUAGACUAUUGUUCUUUACUGCCGGGGCCAUAACGAAGGGCCAAAUUAGGUUAUUUCGCCAUAACUUUAAUUGGCUUAUCGUAACAUUAUCCGAGCGCGACCAAACGCGUCGGAAAAUACCCCAAUUAGGUUUUAGAGGUGUUACUUGCACCUUAGAAUCCCUAUGAGCCACAAAAGCCCAAUUUGGUUGCCCUAGCUCCAAAUACAUUACAUCAAACCUGGUUUAUCUCAAAGGAGAAGAAGAGUAGUUCUUAUACUCUAAAAGUCCAUUUAGAACGCAUUCUAAUACUUCCAACCCUAGUUUGAUUUUCACCAAUAGAGGUGUGAGCUCUCUUCAAGCCUUUACACACAACACCAAGCACUGUCUUGAUCUCAAAAGAAGCAAAAAGAAAAGCUUUAAAGCUCUAAACUUCUACAAAAACUAUCUUCUAGGUCAAUAUGUUCCAAUUAUUAGGGUUUUAGCAUGGUUAGGGUGAAGCGUUACUCAAAGCUUUCCCUGUCUUCAGCUAGAGGAUAAGGAGAGGGAGUUCUCACUUCUUCUUCUUUUCUCCACUUCUUCUUCUUUUUCCUUCUUUUCCUUCUCUUUUUCUUUUCUUUCUUUCUUCUUUUCUCUUUGCCUAUUAUAGAGAGAGACGGGAGGAGAAAGAGGAGUGUUAGAGGGUGAGAAUGAAGAGGAUGGGUGGUUUGCUCAUGUCCCUUACUAUACUCUAUGGGUUGCCAAAAUGCCAGCUAACCUGUCAACUUCACUUUAAUACAUGACACCGAACUUGCUGUUCGGCUUGCGGGGACCGGUUCUUCCUUCAGGGAUGUUCCCGAAAGCUCUCCCGCGCGAUGCCAGCAGCUGCUGCGCGCAGUGCAACGGUCUUCUUUGGCGGGACGGUCUCUGCUGUCGGAACCAGUUUUAGCAUGACCUGCCUGAGUUCUUGUAGACUUAGCGAUUUUCGGCUGUUUCAUUCAUACGCGUGGGGGUGUGGUACUGUCCCAGGGGUGGUUCGCUCCACUUGGGCGAGUGAGUUCGUGGGAACGUCUCUCCCACUAAGGGACGCGUCCGAGAGCUUGCAAAAUCUGCCGUUUUGCCAGAAUUUUGACUCUUAGCUCUCGAAAACCAUUCCACAAACCAACUUUUGAUCGUUUUACCUUCGGACAUUCCGAAAGUGUACUAUCUGCAUUGUUAGGUCAAUUUGAUAAAGUUCGAUAUUUAUUUUUUCAAAUUUUCGGUAUAUUACAUUCUCCACCCCUUAAAAUAAUUUCGUACGCGAAAUUACGCAUACCUUAACUCGUUGACUCGAAUAGAUGCGGAUACUCUCGCCGCAUGGCUUAUUCGAGCUCCCAAGUGGCUUCUCGCACUGCAUGGUUGCUCUAUUGGACCUUUACAUAUGGAAUCUUGCGACUUCGCAACUUCUUCACUUCUCUAUCGAGGAUGCACACCGGGUACUCCUCGUAGGACAUAUCCUCACGUAGCUCCACGGGCUCGUACUCCAAUACAUGUGUCGCAUUGCGAAUAUACUUUCGGAGGUUGGACACAUGAAACACGUUGUGAACUCCCGCGAGUCUCGGUGGCAGUGCGAGCUUAUACGCCACCGCACCCACACGCUCUAAUAUCUCAAACGGUCUGACAUAACGGGGACUUAGCUUCCCACGGACCCCGAAUCGUUUUACUCCUUGCAUCGGCGAUACUCUCAAGAAUACACGGUCUCCAACCGCGAACUCUAAAUCCUUUCUUCUCUUGUCGGCAUAACUCUUUUGCCGAGAUUGCGCUGCCGCUAAUCGCUGACGAGCAAGGCGAACUUUCUCUUCCGCCUCCCGCACUACAUCCGGGCCAAGAGCCGCUCUCUCGCCCACGUCGCUCCAAUGGAUAGGAGAACGACACUUGCGUCCAUAUAGUGCCUCAAACGGCGCCAUCGCUAUACUUUCUUGAUAACUGUUAUUAUAGGCGAACUCCGCCAUCGGCAAGAAAUCAUGCCAUCCUCCUUUGUAAUCUAGCACACACGCUCGAAGCAAGUCCUCGAGGAUUUGUAUCGUUCGCUCUGACUGUCCAUCACUCUGAGGAUGGAACGCCGUGCUAAAAUCGAGCCGCGUGCCUAGCGCGUCUUGCAAACUCUUCCAAAAAUGGGAUGUGAACCUGGGGUCUCGAUCCGAUACGAUUGAUACCGGAACCCCAUGAAGUCUCACAACCUCGUCGAGAUAAACUUGAACUAACUUGUCUCCCGACCACGUAGUAUGUAUCGGCAAGAAGUGUGCCGACUUUGUUAAUCGAUCCACUAUCACCCAUAUUGCAUCAUGCCCGCCUUGUGAUCGAGGCAAACCGGUAACAAAGUCCAUUGCUAUGUCUUCCCAUUUCCAAACGGUUAUUGGUAGACUUUGUAGCUUUCCCGCCGGAAAUCGGCACUCUGCUUUUACCUGUUGGCACGUUAGACAUUGCGCCACAAACUCCCCAAUAUCUCUUUUCAUACCCGGCCACCAAUAAUGGUCUUUCCCAUCCUUGUACAUUUUAGUGCCGCCGGGGUGUAUACUAUAGGGAGAUUGAUGCGCCUCUUGCAUGAUUGCCCUUCGCAACUCAUCAUUUUUAGGCACACACCAUCGAUUUCGAAAUCGAAGUGCGCCAUCAGCUCCAAUGCCAAAGUCUUCGGCAUUGCCAUUCUCAACUUCACUCCACACCUUCUAGAGAUAAGGAUCUGAAGCUUGGAGAUCCUUGAUUCUUUCCAAUAGGGUCGGUUGCACAAUCAAUGUGGCAAGUGUAGCCAGCACUCCCGGCGCUACCACUUCCAACCCGAAUCGUUGCAUUUCCUUUUGCAAUAGCGGUUGAGGCGUAAUUGCCGUCACUAAGUUCUCCGCCGAUUUUCUACUUAGAGCAUCGGCCACGACAUUAGCUUUGCCGGGGUGGUAUAGUAUAGUGACAUCAUAGUCCUUCAACAAUUCCAACCACCGCCGCUGUCGCAUAUUCAACUCCUUCUGGGUGAACAGGUACUUUAAACUCUUAUGAUCGGUAUAUACCUCACAAUGUUCACCAUACAAGUAAUGCCUCCAAAGCUUUAGCGCGAAGAUCACCGCGGCUAACUCGAGGUCGUGAAUCGGGUAGUUCUUCUCAUAACUCUUUAAUUGGCGCGAUGCAUAAGCAAUGACCCGCCCAUUCUGCAUUAAUACACACCCGAGACCAACAUACGAGGCAUCACUGUACACUACAAAAGUCUCUCCCGGAGUCGGCAAAGCAAGAACCGGGGUCGACGUCAACCUACUCUUUAACUCCUCGAAGCUUCGAUCGCAAUCNNNNNNNNNNNNNNNNNNNNNNNNNNNNNNNNNNNNNNNNNNNNNNNNNNNNNNNNNNNNNNNNNNNNNNNNNNNNNNNNNNNNNNNNNNNNNNNNNNNNUACAAUGUUGAUGGUUGUACCGGUACAGCCAUCGGGCCUGUACCGGUACAGUGCCGCAGAACCGUGCACCCGAGCCUCGGUUUUGGAUUUUCGUAGCUCUUGUACCGGUACAAGAUCCCGUGUACCGGUACAAGGAGGCAGAUUCUGCACAGUUUGUUCUGCAGGGGCUUAUUUGCGAUUGUGGGCUUCUUAUAUCAGCACCCACGCCCCUAGGGCUCUCCCCUGAGCUGGGAAGAGCAAGGAACCAGGUAAGGAAGCUUCCCACACUUUUCCACUUGGUUUUGAUCUCAUUCUAGCUUGGAUUUUGAUGGUUUUUCCCUCUCUUUUGCCUAUUGGAGCUAUUUCCACCAUUCUUGAAGCUUGGAACUUGGGUUUGGAGUUUGAUUGAGGGAAGAUACUUGAAGUUUGAGGACUUUGAGCUGGUUUUGAGGCUUCUAAGAGGUAAGUGGCAAGAUCCGUUCCUCUAGUUUUGGAUUUUAGAGCUUUCUUUGAGAUGAAACCCUAGUUUUGGGCCUUAGGGUUUAUUUUGGGCUUUUUGAAUCUAGGACUUUUAAAGCUAGAUUGGGUGGAUUAGAGGCUUCCAUUGGGUUAGAUUGGAUGAACUUUAGCUCUCUUUUGGAGCAUUGGAGAGGGUUUUUGCACUAGAGGUGAGUUCUCUCCACCUAUGCUUGAAUAGCUUAAUGUUUGGGUAAUUGGUUGUUCGUAUGGUUCGUGUGACGCAUGUUCUUGUACCUCUAGGACACUAGGAGGCUAUUGGACAUCUUCGUUGGAGCAAACGAAAGGUUUCGUUUACCAUCGGUGGGUUUGGCUUCAUGAAAACGGGGCGAAACGGCCCCUAAGCUUUCUAAACUCUUGCAUACUAUUUUUGAAUGCAUAUCUAUGCUAAGUAGUAUUUAUGUGAAUUUUGGAACCCCUGAAAUACAUGUGUUAUGUAUAAGAAAAUUUUUACUCUAUAUAGUAGAGCAUUCUGGGUAUUGUUGCAUGCUUUCGGGUAGAGCUCUCGCUAGUCAUUUGAAAACACGCUUUAAAUGCUUAAAAUGGUUCAGUUAUGUAAUUAUGGACAUUUGGGAUGAGCUUGAACUUAGUGAAUGAAAGUGUCAUAAAGGGGCACUUAGACUAGCACUUAUGAGACUAUCGUAUUGAGACAUAGAAUUAGGCCACUUGAACAUCUAUUAUUUUCCAUGUUGUAGACAUGAUGACAUAGAGAUAGGCCUAUGUGAGAGUGGUGAUAUAUUCCAUGUUAUUAGAUAUGAGGACUUGGUACUUGUGACAGAUCGUUUGACUACUUGUCAUUGUGCUCAUUCGCACAUGCUUGUGAGGGUCGCUCCCUACAAGCCAGCACUCCGGAGAUAGCCAUCGCGAUUCAUAUUCGCCGUGCGGGAUUGGGCGCCGAAGUGGAUUGCCGUGGGCCAGGCUCAUCCCUAGGGUGGGGAUGAUGACUACCACGGGGCCAUUAGGCUUGGCACCGGCCAGACAGCCUACGGGUGGGUCUCAGGGCCAUAGACAGCCUUCGGGUGGGUCUCUUCAUAUUUGACUUCGAGUAUUCAUGAUAACUUAGUGUACUACUUGGACAUUGACUAGAAUAGUAACAACGGGACUUUACUAUUUCGCAUUGUGGACAUUAUGAUAGUUGGAGACUUUUACUGCACGCAUAGUUGAUUUCAUACUUAUGCUAUUUAUACUAAGUAGAGAUAUCAUGUUGUAGUAAGUUACAUUUUUUUUACUUGCCUUUCGCUUUCCUACAUUUAUAGUCACUGACAUCUAUUGUAGCUUUGGGCCUUGUGGUGCAUUCACUGAAGUCAGUAAUUGCCCACUGGGAACUAUUCUUAAUAGUUCUCACGCCCCUGUUUCUAUGUUUCCUUUUCAGAGCAGCAUUUCCCUUCUUCCCUCCUCAUUCUCACCCUCACGCCACCUAUCUAGAGAUCGAGCAGAGAAAGGAAGAGGAGAAGAGAAGAUGAGCUUGCUUGAGGGAGCUUGUGAGCUCAACCCUUUUCUCAUUUUCCACCCUUGCUUGGCUUGGAGCCUUGCUUGUAGAGCUUGGUGAGUGGACCAAUCUUCAACCCAUAAAGAAUUUGGAGCUUAGUUUGGAGGUCAUCGGUUGGGAGCGUUAGUACUGGAUUUACCCUUUGAUCUUAUUUGAGGUUUUACCAUAUGGACCGUAGAAUGGAUAUUAGUGUUGAUUUUAUGGGGCUUUUUUGAUCUAGGGCUUUUGAGGCUAGAUUGAUUGAUUUGAACCAUUCCUUGGGCUUUGGAUUGGAGCAGGAUUUAGCUUCUUUUGGAGCUUUGAGAGAGAUUUUCCACAAAUUAUUGCAGUUUAGCCUUUUGCCAAAGUUCGUGUGUUAAAGCUUCGAUCUUUUAUAGAUUGCAUGCGUGAAGUACACGUGGGAUCGUGUGAAUGCGGCGACCUCAAAUACUUUUAGGGAUAUGUUUUGAGAACUUCGUGGAAAACUCCAUUCGGCGUGCGAGGAGUAGCACGCCGACGAUUCGGUGGGGUUGAGACCUAGAGACCACUCAAUGAGAAGAUCUCAUUGGUGACGAUUUAAGUGUUUAUAAUGAAACGAAGUGGCAUAUAUAUUGUUAUAUGGUAUUAUAUGUGAAUUUUAGAAUGUUAAAUGCUUAAUAUGUUGAUUAUAGAUGAGGAGAAUUUUGGACAGUCCUCUAUUUAGUGUUUGAAGCAUCUCAUGCCUAUUUGUGAUACUGCAUUCUGGGUGAGAUAUUUAAGCUAAGAUCCGCUACUUGAAAAUGAAUCUUGCUUUUCAUGCAUUUAUGCUUAUUUGCAAUUGUGAUCAAAUUAGGAUUUUUGGGAAGCCUGAGAGAGGCUUGAAGGACAUAGGUUCUAUUUGAGAAGAUUGGCGCGCAAUUCAUAAAUAGGCAGUAGGGCCCGGGCUAAAGAUAAGAACUUUAGCGUAGUUAUGUUUUAAUUGAAUAGUACAAAUGAAUUGGGGCCCAUUGAUUUGUUGUGUGGAUGGCUUAGAGUGUCAUAAAGAGGCACUGUAAGCAUGUAGUGUGCUAUCUGGAGCGUUUACUUUGAGACUUAGAUACUAGAUCCUUGGAAAAGAGCGAAGUUAGUGACCGGAUGCCUAUGCGCAGAGCAUGAGAUUUGUAGAAGUUAUUUUGAGACUUUUGACCUUGCUUGCUUGCCGAUUUGUGUCAUUCUCACAAUUUUGCUUGAAGUAGCUGGACGCUACCUACAGCCAAGGCACCUCCGAGAGAUAAGCUACGCGACUUAUGUAUCGCCUCCGUGCAAGGUUAUUAUAUAAGCCUACCGUUCUGGGGAUCGGUGGGACAGCAGACACAUUCCAAAGAGUAGGGAUGCUCGGCGCUACCACAGGCACUUAGGACGACACAAGCUGAUACCUUUGGUAUAGGUUCCUUAAUGAAAUGGAAAUCGAACACGGUGUUAAAAUUUAUGAAUAAUCAAUGCUAAUAGAUUUUGGGCUUAGUCAGUUGGCGUACCUACACGCUCGCUGACAUAGCAUUGUAUACAUUAGUAUACUUGCCUGUUUAUUCUUGUGUCAUUUAGGAUCUGGGUCGCAUUGUGGUAGAGCUUCAUUCUUUAUGCAUGAACUCUUUGGGCGGUAGCAUUUUUCUUUCUUGCCAUCGGACGUACUUGUUUAUGCUAAAUAGAUGUACAUCAUACUACAUCAUGUCCUACUUAGACAUAGUUUUUGUAUAUAGACCUUUGCAUAUAUAUACUUGUCUUUUGAGUAGUUUUUGUUACACGCUCUUUAUUGCUUACUCAUUAUUGUCGUUACUUACUUUUUUAAGUUGCUUUAUUGGUGGCCCGGAAUGAAAAAGGAUGUUGGUGAGUUUGUGGCUAGAUGUUUAACUUGCCAACGGGUGAAGGCUGAGCACCGAGUUCCUGCGGGGAAGUUGCAGAGCCUACCGAUUCCAGUGUGGAAGUGGGAAAAGAUCACCAUGGAUUUCGUGAUGGGAUUGCCUCGCUCACAGGCCGGGCAUAAUGCUAUUUGGAUGAUCGUGGAUAGAUUGACGAAAUCGGCACAUUUCAUAUCUAUCCACACUACUUGGACUGGUGAGAGACUCGCACAGGUUUAUUUGGAUGAGAUUGUGCGAUUACACGGGGUACCUACUUCUAUAGUAUCGGAUCGAGACCCCCAUUUUGUAUCCCAUUUUUGGAGAAGCUUACAGGAUGCUUUGGGUACGCGCUUGGAUUUCAGCACUGCUUUCCACUCCCAGAGCGAUGGGCAGUCGGAGCGUACAAUACAGACCUUCGAGGACAUGUUUCGAGCCUGUGUGAUUGACUUCCAGGGAGGAUGGUCGUAGCAUCUACCGAUGUCAGAGUUUGCUUAUAACAACAGCUAUCAAGCAAGCAUCAAGAUGGCACCGUUCGAGGCACUAUAUGGACGGAAGUGUAGAUCGCCACUUCAUUGGAGUGAAGUUGGCGAGAGAAUGGCUUUAGGCCCAGAUGUGCUCGAGGAAGCAGAGGACAAGGUUCGCAUUGCUCGGGAGCGAUUAUUGACAGCCCAGAGUAGGCAGAGGAGUUAUGCUGAUCGGCGUCGACGAGACUUGGAAUUUCGGAUUGGAGACCAUGUGUUCUUGAAAGUCUCGCCGACCAAAGGAAUUAGAAGAUUUGGAAUCCGGGGUAAGUUGAGCCCCCGAUUCAUCGGACCGUUUGAGGUUUUGGAGCGUGUAGGCCCGGUAGCGUAUCGACUCGCUCUACCGCCAAACCUAUCAGGUGUACACAAUGUGUUCCAUGUAUCGGUCCUUCGGAAGUACAUCCACGACCCGGCUCAUGUUUUGGACGCUACGCCUUUGGAGCUGAGGGAGGACUUGAGCUUUGAGGAGCAACCUUUGAGGAUUUUGGCCCGCGAGGUAAAACGAUUGCGCAACCGCGAGAUUCCAUACGUGAAGGUGCUUUGGAGCAACCACGACGAACGCGAGGCCACUUGGGAGCUGGAGAGCGCACUAAGGGAGCGCUAUCCCCAUCUUUUUCAGAUGGAGGCUUGAGGUACUUGUCAUCUCGAGUUUCGCGGACGAAACUCCCUUUUAGGAGGGGUGAAUGUAGCACACUAGACCUUUGCAAAUUGCGAGGUUCGAGUGUUUGGAUGUAUUUCGAGCUUUUCCACACUUGGUGGAGGGUUGUAGAAUAUUUUCCAACCUAAAAAGUUCGAAAACUAGAAUUCGGGACAAGUCCUGAGAGUUUUUACUCUCGGGGACCGGUCCCUGAAAGGAGAGACCGGUCCCCAAGUGAGCAGUGUUGCGGCAGCCUUGAGGCAACCGGUCCCUGGCAGGCGAGACCGGUCCCCGAGCGCGCCUACGUAGUGAGAGACCGGUCCUGCGCAGGGAGAGACCGGUUCCCGAAAAGGUUUUCCGGGUUCGCAACGAGAGACCGGUCCCUGCUGGGGAGAGACCGGUCCCUCUGGGCAAAAACUGCCCAGUUCGGGCUGAUGUAAAUUUGAGUUUUUGAGGGGCCUCUCCGGAUUUUGUUACACUAGAUGGGCUUAUUAGCCAUUUCCUCUCUAACCUCCCUCAUUUCUCCCUUCACCCCACACCUUCUCAGAGGAGAGAAAAGGAGAGGAGAAGAAGAAGAGAGCUUGCUUGAGGGAGUUGGAGGCUCAACCCUUUUCUCUAUUUUCCACCCUUCGCUUGGCUUGGAGCCUUGCUUGUAAGCUUGGUGAGUGACCAAUCUUCAACCCAUAGAAGAAUUUGAGCUUAUUUGGAAGGUUCUCUUGGGAGGUUAGUACUGGAUUCUACCCUUUGAUCUUUAUUUGAGGUUUUACCAUACUGGAACCGUAGAAUGGAUAUUAGGGUUGAUUUUUGGAGCUUUUUUAAUCUACGGGCUUUUGAGGCUAGAUUGAUUGAUUUGAACCUUCCUUGGGCUUGGAUGGAAGGAAUUUAGCUCUUUUUGGAGCUUGCGAUAGAUUUCCACACAUUAUGUUGAGUUUUUAGCCCUUUGCCAAGUUUUGUCUAAAGUUCGAUCUUAUUAGUUGAUCGUAAUACCCGGGUAUCUCGUUCUGCUCAAAUACUUUUUAGGGUAUUUUGAGACUCGGGAAAACUCCGAUUCGGCGAAUCGAGAGUAGCCACGCGACGGUUUCGGGGGUUUUGACCUAGCCACUCAAUGAGAGAAAAUCUCCUGUUGACGAUUUAAGCUGUAUAAAAUGAAAAAGGCAUGCAUUUCUGUUAUAUGUAUUUAUUGUAAUGGUGGAAUACUUAACAUGCUUAUAUUGCCAUAUAGUUUAGAAUUUUGGGCCUCUAGGUAGUAGAGAGCAUGCAUGUGUGAUACGGUCUGGUGAGAUAUGAGCUUAAGAUCCCUACUAUGAAAAUGAACCUUGCUUCUGCAUUUAGCUUAUUUGCCAAUUGUGACAUAGGAAUUUUUGAAGUCCUAGAGAGCGCUUGGGACUUAAAGGCUAUUGAGAGAUUGGCCAAUGUCAUAAACAGGCACUUGGGCCCGCGGCUAAAGUGAACCUUAGCUAGUAUUACUUUUAAUGAUAUGGAACAUGAUUGGGAGAUUAGUGUGAUACUUAAGUUCAUAAAGAGCAAUAAGCAAGUGAUGCUGCGUUCGGAGGUCACUUUGAGACUUUUGGACUAGAUCCUUGGGGGCUGUGACCAUGGCCGAUGCGAGAGGCACUGAGUAGAGUACUUGAGACUUUGCCCAUUGCUUGCUUCGCCAUUUGUGGUCAUUCGCACUGCUUUGAGGGGUCGCCCUCCCUACAAGCCGCACUCCGGGAGUUAGCCUACGGACUUAUGUUCGGUCGUGUGAGUAUGAGAAGCUCUACAGGGGUCGAUUGGACGGACACUUCAAAGUAGGGAUGUCGGGCUACCACAGGCACUUACGCGGCACAAGCUGGACUACCUUUGGUAGGUCCUUAAUUGGAAAUGGAAAUCGACACGGUGUUAAAAAUGAAUAAUCACUGCUAGAUAGGCUUAGUAGUUGGGUUACCUGACACGCUCAUGACAUAGCAUUGGGAUACAUAUAGUAUACUUGCCUGUUUCAUUCAUUGUGUCAUAGUAUACUGGGUCGCAUGGUAGAGCUCAUUCUUUAUGCAUGACAUCUUGGACGGUAGCAUUUUCUUCUUGCCAUCGGACGUACUUGUUUAUGCUAGAAUAGAUGUACAUCAUACCUACAUCAUGCCUACUUAAGACAUAGUAAUAUAGCCUUUCAUAUAUACUUUCUUUUAGUAGUUAUUGUACACGCUCUUUAUUGCUUACUAUUAUUGUCGUUACUUACUCUUUUCUUUUGGGGCCUAGUGGUGCAUUGAGCUGAGGUCAGUAAUUGCCCACUGGGAACUAUAAAUUAUAGUUCUCACGCCCUCUGUUUUAUGUUUUCUUUCAGAGCCUUCCACGCCGGGAGAGGCUAGGGACCGUGGGAAGGGCGUCGCUUCGAGUUAGCCCUUCAGCGAGAGACGAGUUUAGGUGGUCUACCUCUCGAUGUUUUAUUUUGUGAGAGGUUGAGAGUUGUACCCGUAUAUGUAUAGAGACCACCUUUCUUUUGGAUCUUGGUAUUUCUUUUGUGGAGUUAGUAUUGUAUCAACUUAUGUUUUACUUUCUUCGUCUUGGUAUAUUUCCUUUACUCUGGUUUAGAGGAUAGAACUUUCCUCGCUCUGAUAUCGUUAGUUGUUAUUAUUCUAUUUGUUCUAUUUCUUGCUUUUACUUCCGCUUUAUUGUAGACGCCUUAUAUGUGUAGACAUAUGGCGGGUCUGGGCACGCCACCCGGAGGGCCCCCGCCGGUCCCAGGACGUGACACGUUCGAAGUAUUGGAACAGGUAGGUGUGGUGGCGUACAAAAUAGCAUUACCACCGAGCUUGUGGGAGUACACGAUGUGUUCCAUGUAUCGAAUCUCCGCUAGUACGUUCAUGACCCCGAGCAUAUCCUGUCAUUUGAACCGUCCGAGAUCCAAGAGGACAUGACCUAUGAGGAGUUCCCGACAUACAUCAUCGAUCGAGAAGUAAGAAAACUGCGAAGUCGCGAGAUUCCGUAUGUUAAGAUUCGUUGGUGCAAUCACGAUGAUCGGGAAGCUAUUUGGGAGCUCGAGAGCCCAAUGCGGGAGCAUUAUCCUCACCUUUUUAACGAGCUGAAUUGAGGUAUGAGUUUAAGUCUAAAUUAAGUAAGUUUCACGGACGAAACUAAAUUUAAGGGAUGGAGAAUGUAACAUACCGAAACCUCGGUAAUUAAAUUCGAACCUUUGUCAAAUUGACCAAAGUGCGAGGUUGGUACACUUCGGAGAGGCCGAAGGCGUCAAAUAAUGCAAAAAUGCAUUACUGGGGAUCUUCGAGAGCUUUUGAAAAACAAAAUCUGCAAACUGUAGGUUUUGUGCUCUCGGGGACCGGUCCCUGGUGGGAGAGACCGGUCCCCGAACGUGUAGGCAGCGAGGGAGGCUGAGAAAUAGGCUAAGUCCAGGAGAACCAGCUCUCGGGAAUGUUAAGGAUUUUAUAAGUUGGCGAAUUUCGUGAAGUAUUGAACGGAGUCUCGAAGAAUUAGAAGAUAAAGAUUGAAGAAAGAGUUGAGGUUUCGUGAUCAAAGACCUUUGAGAUCUCAGGUAUGAUUAUAAUAAUUUGUGGUGAAGUUUUUAUUGUUAAAAGAUGUUUAGAAGACUUGGUCUAUAUUUGAGUUGAUUAAAUUUAAGUUUUCUAAAAAACUCAGGGGUCGGGGACCGGUCCUUGAUCAGAAAGACCGGACCCAUCAAGCUUCUCUGCGUAGAAGUUUUGGGAGACCGGUCUCUGAUCUUGAGAACCGGUCCCCGUACGUGGUUUUUCUUGUUGCGCAGGGAAGGACCAGUCUCUGAAUUGAGGACCGGUCCCCGUACGCAUAUUUUAACAUCUACGCAGCGAAAGACCGGACCUCACCUUGGAGGACCGGUCUCCCAAGGACCGGUCUCCUCGAAAGAACCGGAUCCUGAGACCGUCGUCUGUUUUUAAAAUUGAGUUUUUGGAAUCCUAAUCUACCUAGAAGUCUUCUAAACCUAUAAAUAUGAUAUGAGGAUCUCUAUUUGAGGUGAGUUGAGCAAAAUAACUUUCAGAAACCCUAACGGCUUGAUUCGGAGAUUUGUUCAAUGUUUUAACCAUCAAGCAUUAGAUCGUCAAUUUGAUUCUUUGAUUUUGAUUCAAAUUUUCGUUAAGGAUCAAAUUGGUGAUGUUUUAAUUUGGGUUUCUCCUCAUAUUAUAUGUGCUUUCAAAGAUCUUAAAUCACCACAAAUAGUUGAAUUUCUAUGAGCUUCGGAUGAAGCGUUAGCGUGUGGAUCUCGCGUGAAGACCGUGGAUUCAGUGGUCGUUUCGUGGAAUCAAGGCGUGUGCGGCUGCAAGGAUUUGCAGUGUGAUCGGUUGGAGGAUUCCAAGCGGUCGUUGACUGGCAAAGAUAAUCUACAGCAAGGAUUCGGUAUUUUGAGUCUUGUAUUUUUGCAAAAUCACUUGUACUUAUGUUUUCUUAGUGUAUUUCUUUGUGUGAUCGGUCAUGUGGGUUUUUCUCUCCGAUUUGGAGUUUUCCGCGUUUACUUUAUAUUCGCAUCGAGUUUAUUUUAUUUUUACCAUUUACACCUAUUCACCCCCCUCUAGGUGUGUUUUCACCUUUUAGAUCCUCGGGAUCCAUAUCUAACAAGUGGUAUCAGAGCGGGUAUAGGUUGUAAUCUAUGGCCGAGGGCGGUAACAUUAAUCGACCCCCUCUCUUCGAUGGCACUAACUACGCUUAUUGGAAAGUCCGUAUGAGGGCGUUUCUUAUUGCUAUCGACGAGAGGGUUUGGCAAGCCAUUGAAUUCGGAUGGAAACAUCCUACUGAAGUGGUCGAGAAUGUUACCGGUCCGAAACCUAGAAAUAAGUGGACAAAAGAGGAAAACGAACUAUCUUCGUUCAAUGGGAAGGGUAUCAAUGCUUUGUUCAAUGCUUUGAAUCAAACUGAAUUUUCUCGAGUUUCGGCGUGUGAAACCGCCAAAGAAAUUUGGGAUACCUUACAAAUCACUCAUGAGGGUACAAGCUUGGUAAAGGUUCAGAAAUUACAAAUGUUGACUAGUCGUUUUGAUUCUAUUCGUAUGGAAGAAAAUGAACCUUUACCGAGUAUUAUACUCGUCUUCAAGAUAUUAUCAAUACUUGUGCAAAUUUGGGUGAAAAAAUUUCUGAACCAAAAAUUGUUCGAAAAAUUUUGAGAACCCACCCUUCCCGAAUGUUUUCGUCCCAAGGUUGCGGCCAUAGAAACGGUAAAACAUCCGGAUGAACUCAAAGUAGAUGAAUUAGUUGGUUCUCUUCAAACGUAUGAAAUGACUUUUCCUGCUAAUUCAUCUUCUUCCAAGUUGUCUUCUAAAGCUUCAGGUAUGGCACUAAAAUCAACGAAAGGAGGCAAUGUGGAAUCUUCUUCAUCGGACUCGGACUCAGACGUAACCAUGGAAGAGUUUGAGAAGCAAAUGGCUCUUUUGACUAAGAAGUUUCAUCGGAACUUUAGAAAGAAGUUCUCUUCUAAGCCAAUUCCCUCCAAGCCAAACAAAUCAAAAGGGAGUUCCUCUUCCUUCUCUUCUUCAAAGUUUAAAAAGUUGGAAAAUUUUCAAAAAGAUUUUACAAAAGAAAAGAAAAGUAGCGAAGGUCAAAUACAAUGCUAUAAGUGUAGGGGAUUUGGUCAUAUUGCAUCAGAUUGUCCUAACAAAAAGUCUUUGAAGAAGAAAGCGAUGCGAGCCAUUACUUGGGAUGAGUCCUCCUCAGACGAAUCGUCCUCAAGUGAUGAUGACGUUAAUGCCAUUGCACUUAUUGCACAGGAUUCUACUUUUAUGUGUUUAGCAUCUACUGAUUCAAUUUCUAUGUCUUCUUUGCAUGGAAAAUCUUCUACGGAAAGCUCAACGGAUGAAGAAUCGGAAGAAGAGGAUAUGGCCGCCGCAUAUCAUCAACUUGUUAUUGAAUCAAAGAAAGUGGCGAAACACAACAAGAAGUUGAGAUGAAGACUGUAUGAUCUAGACCAAGACAAUACAAGAUUAGAGUCAUUGACAAAAAGUUUGGAGCAAGAAAAGGACACUUUGACCGAGUUAUAUAAUACUUUAUUAGACAAGUGUGCACUGCUUCAGAAGGAAAAGGAAACUUUGGUUGAAAACAUUAAUUUUCUUAACAAGCAAUACACGGAAGCAAGAUAAUCCAACAUGGAAUUUACCAAGACUAUCAUUCAACUCAAAUCUGAUUUGAACAAAUUCUCGUCCGGGUCAAGCAAACUUGAUAAGAUGUUAGGACUCGGUCAAACCAACAAACUUGGACUUGGAUACGAACGGACAUAUGUCGAUCAAGCAAUGAAGAAAGUAGACGAACAUUCGACAAAACCGGUUCUGAAGCUCUAUGGUAAGUUUGUUCCUCCAAAGAAUUUAUUUGCUAACAAAACCUGUCAUCUUUGUGGUGCUGUAGGUCAUGUGAAGAGAUUUUGCAAACAAAAGCCGAAAAAUGCUACAACACACAUGAAUAGGAGACCAAAGGGACAACUGAAGAAGGAGAAUCCAAAGACAAAGGCAAGACAAAUGUGGAUGCCUAAGAAGAAUGAUUCAAAGAAAAGAAUUACACAAAUCGACGACAAGCAAAGCGUAUCUCAAUCAAGUCGGACAACGCAACCCAAAACACAUAAGGUUUGGGUGCGCAAAGGUGAACUCUUUCCUUGCCUUGUCAUUCACACUUCACUUCAUGCUUACGACAAUGCUUCUUGGUAUCUGGAUAGUGGCUGUUCACGUCAUAUGACCGGUGAUAAAAAUUAGUUUUUUUCUUUAAACAAAAUCUCCGGUGGACUUGUUGUUUUUGGAGAUGGUCGGUCAUCAAAAAUUGUUGGAAAAGGAACUGUCGCUAUCUCAGAUGGCCCUACUUUGAAUGAUGUCUUUUAUGUUGAGAGGCUCAAAUCAAAUCUCGUGAGCAUAAGUCAGUUGUGUGAUGACGGGUACUCCGUUAAAUUUUCUGACAAAGAUUGCACUAUGACUCGUAAUAAUGACAUCUUCUUAAAAGGUGUAAGAUCGGAGAAUAACUGUUAUGUAGUUCCUAGCUCUUCAACUGAACAUUGUAACCUAACGACAUUAGAAACUGAAACUUUAUGGCAUGAACGUCUAGGUCAUAUGAACUUUAAGGAACUAUCUAAGAUAACUAAGAAGGAGGUUGUUCGAGGUGUACCUAAGAUAGACUUCAAGGAGAACACUGUGUGUGGGGGUUGCCAAUUGGGGAAACAAACUAGAGCCACACAUAAGAAUUUGAACCACUUAGGGACAUCUAAACCAUUAGAGCUACUACACAUGGACUUAAUGGGACCCUCUCGGAUUCAAAGUGUGGGUGGUAAACGAUACAUUCUGCUUAUUGUUGAUGAUUUUACUCGUUUUGUCUGGAGUGCUUUCUUACGUGAAAAGGCUGAUACCUUUAAUUCUUUUUCUGAAAUCUAUCUUCGCCUUAUGAAUGAAAGGAAUGAUAAAAUUGUACGCAUUCGAAGUGAUCAAGGGGGAGAAUUCAUAAAUUCAAAAUUUGUUGAUUUCUGUGUUUCAAAAGGCAUCAAACAUGAAUUCUCUGCUCCCUAUACACCACAAUAGAACGGAGUGGUUGAACGUAAAAACCGGGUUGUUCAAGAGAUGGCACGUGUUAUGCUUCAUAGCAAGAAAGUUGCACUACACUUCUGGGCUGAAGCAGUUAACACGGCUGUCUAUGUGAUUAACCGCAUCUAUUUACGCCCGGGUACUUUAAACACUCCGUAUGAAUUGUGGAUUGGUAGAAANGGGAGGGCCCCCGCCGGUCCCAGGGCGUGACAGUUGCUCUUCAAAGCUCAAAUCUUCUUGUAUCUUUAUUGGAAUACUUUCCAAAAUAUGAGUGGGAUCAAAAAUAUAUUUCCGAAGCGUAGAUACAUGAAAUACAUUAUGUAUUCCCGAUAGAUUUGGUGGCAAUGCAAGUCGAUACGCUAUCGGGCCGAUCCGCUCCAAUACUUCAUAAGGUCCAAUGAAUCGAGGACUUAGAUUUCCUCGAAUACCAAAUCUUUUUACUCCUUUUGUUGGUGAUACUUUUAAAAAUACGUGAUCUCCAAUCUGGAAUUCCAAUUCUCGUUGACGUUUAUCUACAUAGCUUUUCUGUCGACUUUGUGCUGUCACCAGUCGAUCUCGUGCAAGUCGAACUUUAGAUUCAGCUUCUUGCAAAACAUCUGGUCCCAAGGUUAAUCUCUCGCCUACUUCACUCCAAUGAAGUGGUGAUCUGCAUUUUUUUCCAUAAAGGGCUUCAAACGGUGCCAUUUUUAUGCUUGCUUGAUAACUGUUGUUAUAAGCAAAUUCUGCCAUCGGUAGAAACUCUGGCCAAUCGCCCCGAAAAUCCAUUACACAAGCUCGUAACAUGUCCUUGAGAGUCUGGAUAGUACGCUCGGUCUACAAUUCACUCUGAGGGUGGAAAGCAGUACUAAAGUCCAAUCGAGUACCUAAAGCCUUCUGCACAUUCUGGGUAUUAUACAUGCAUGUGAGAGGUGUCAUGGUAGCGAAUUAGAAACUUGUCUCGUAUGCUCAAAAUAGCUCAAAUUAUGCAUUUGUGAACAUUUGAUUCAAGCUUGGACUUAGCGAAUAAAAAAAAAAAUACCAUCAAGGGGCACUUGACUUAGUAGACUAUGAAACUGCUACUUUGAGACACAGUGAUAGGCCAUUGACAUCUAUUACUUUCCAUGUUUUAGACAGGAUGCUAUAGAGAUAGGCCAUUGAGACAUUCGAUAUACAUGUUCCAUGUUUUUUUAGACAUGAGGACUCGGUACUUGAGACGGAUCUUACGCUUGUUGCCAUUGUGCUCAUUCACACAUGCUUGUGAGGGUCAGUUCCUACAAGCCGGCACUCCAGAGAUGGCUAUCACGAUACAUAUUCGCCGUGCGGGAUUUGGCGCCGAAGUGGAUUGCCGUAGGCAAGGCUCAUUCCCAGAGUGGGGAUGUUGACUAUCACGGGGCCAUUAGGCUCAGCACCGGCCAGACAGCCUACGGGUGGGUCUACAAGCCAGACAGCCUUCGGGCGGGUCUUCCAAGAUUUAACUUUAAAUAGUUAACAUGUCAAGUGAACAUUGACUAGAAUAGUAAUCAAUGACAUUUUACUAUUACAUGGUGGAUAUUAUGUUGACUGUAUACUCGUACAUUUUCAUGAUAGAAUAGCUUUCUUACUUAUGCAUUUUCAUGCUACGUAGAGACAUCAAGUAGUAGCAAGGACUCAUGUUCAUUUACUUGUCGUAUAUAUCGCUUUUGCUUAUACUCGUACUUACCCCCUUUUUGUAGCUUUUGGGUCUAGUGGCGCAUUUCACUGAAGUCAGUAAUUGUCCACUGGGAACUAUUAUUUAAUAGUUCUCACGCCCCCUGUUUUAUGAUUUUAUUCAGAGCCUUUGGCACCGGCGGAGGCACAGGAUCACGGAAAGGGUGUCGCCUAGCUAAAUAGCGGGAGCUGCUUGCUCUUAGGUGGUUACUCUCUUUUUGUGUUUUUGGUGAGAGUGAUAUUUUUGUACCAUGUAUAGAGGCCACCUAUGUACUCUUUUAGCUCUUGUUUUGGGAUAUCUUUUGUAUUACUUAUGACUUUUAUUUAGUGGAUUUGGAUUUCUUUUACCUUAUCAUGUUGUAGAAAUCUAGAUGUAUUUUGCUCUAAUAUCAUUAGAUCUUUUCGUAUUAUUGCUUUAUUUAUCGCUUUAUUCUAGACGCCUUGUAUUUUUAGACAUAUGGCGGGUCUGGGCACGCGCCGGGCGGGCUUCCGCUGAGCCCCGGGGCGUGANCAUGGUUGAUGGUUUAACAGUGCGGGGCCCCGAGUCGCCUUCGGGCGGGCCGCGCACGGGUCUGCCGAGGUCUCGAGUUCGAAUCCUAGUUGAUUCACAUUUCCAGCUAAGUUUAUUUCUAAAAGAAAUAAAUAAAGCAGGUGACAUGCUAUCUUUCUCUCAAAAAUAAUUCAAAUAUAAAUAUAAAUAUAAAUUUAAAUUUAAAAAUUGAAUCUAAAAUAAAGUUAAAAUUUUAAAAUUUGAGUCCUUAAAAUCAGAUAUUUGUAUUAGUGGCAUUAUAUUUAUGUGCCACUAAUAAAUAACUUAAAAUUAGCAUUUAAUCCCUUUUAGUGGCAUGUUACUAAUGAUACUAAUUGAUUUAUAUUGGUGGCAUUCAUUAUAAAUGCUGCUAAUACUUUUAGCAAUAUUGGUAUAGGUAGCAUUUGGUGUCAAAUGCUGCUAAAACUUUUAACGGCAUUCGUUUAUCUUUUAGUAGCGUAAAUAAAUACCGCUAAUGACUAAUUUUUAGUAGUAUAUUUAGAAAGAAAAGCCCUAGCCCUAGACGUGUGAUGCAUGAUUUCAAUCAUAAAUUGCAUAUAACUCCCCCAGCAAUAGAAUUUCAUAGCUAAUCCCUCACAUGAGGUGUGUUUUGCGUAGAAGUUCUACCACAAGCCUCCCCAUUCAGAUGCAUAUAUAAAAUAAUAGGUUUCCCUUCCCGAAACCGAAGUUGCGCAUCGCCAAAUUAUCAAAAAUCCACCAAUUUUCUACACUCGGAUUGUCGAAUCCAAAAUCCGACUUCACCAUGACUCCCAGCACUGCCGGACUAUCGAAAACGACCUAUUGAAUCGAUCAAAACGGUGCCCGAUUGGCAUCUGAAGUCAACAUUACGCCUUCGUCCCAAAUAGAAAAGUUAUUUACUAUUCACUUAAGUGUACAUUGAAAAUUGCGUAACUGCUUUAUUUUAAUUCAUUUUUAAAUUUGGCAUGCGAUUUUAGAAUUAAAAUACACACGAUAACAUUAAAAAACAUAAAAUUUACAUAGCGAAAAGUCUUAGUCCUCACACAAGUUUUGGAUUCUAAAGCCAAGGUCCGAACCCCGAGACUAGAAAACCUCAAGUAUGGCUUAUUUCAAAAAUUUUGUUUUCGCGCUAAUUUGCUUGAAAAUCUUCUAAUUCCUCUCCUACAUUACCAAAGUCUCUCUAACUGCACUAAAUGUUGUUUUCUCCACUAAAACCUCCCAAUUUUUCUACUAUUUUUCUAAUUAAUACGUUUGGUUGCGGAAAUAAAUUUUAUUAUAUAUUCUUGAUUUAUUUACCAAAUAUAGCCUAGGUUGGUUUCUUACGUGACAUCUUAGCUAUACUUGAAAACUUGCAUGCUAAGAAAUUUCUGUCUUAGGCCUUUUCAACUUGUGGAAUGUUGGGAGACUGAAAAGAUAGUCGAAGUUGACACUUUGGUAACAACGUUUAUGUAAGCGCUGAUGGAGAUCAUCCCCAUAUUAGUCCACCUGGGUGUCAACGCAUGCGGAUCAGGUGGUGAUUUGGCCCAAGUACGUUUCUUGUCUAGCUUGGAGAACAAGCAUCCAAGAACAGGAAUUGUACACACAAACAGCACGAGAGCAGUCAAAGGAAGAGAGUGUGUGUGUGUGUGUUUAUAGAAAGAAAUUAGGAGAGAUACCAACUAGUAAUAACACCAAUUCCUUUCUGCUAGUAUGCUAUAAAUUAUUCUUAAUAAUAAGACAUUCGAUUUUAUCUGGUUUUAUAAUUGACACAAUUAACAUAUAUAAUGUAAGGUAACGUAAGGUUUUAAAUUUUCUACAAAUUAAUAAAAUUUUAAAAUUUUCAAAAUUAUUUUACAGGCCAUCAAAUGGCCAAAAAUGAACAGUCAAAAUUUAAAUCUUACUCUAAAUAGUUGAAAAUCAGGAGCCUGGGGCUCCGCCCUCGGUCCAACAAUUUUAUUUCCACAGGUAAUAUUCGUAAUUACCGGGAUUUAGAAAAGCACGUUUGUUGGACUUUUUAAAAUCAGUUUUCAAGUUCAUUGAGUAGCAAAUUCUUUUACAAUCAAGGUAAAAUGUCACAAUUUUAUAAAAUUAAUUUUACUAUCUAUAUAAUAAUCUAUAAAUAAUAUAUAAUAUAUCAAUAUAUCUAUAUAUAUCUAUUUCUAUAAAUAUAUCAAUAUAUCUAUAUAUCUAUAGGGGUGGAAACGAGCCGAGCUCGAGCGAGCUUACCUCGGCUCAAAUUCGGCUUGAAAUUAAUUUUCGAGCCUAAACUUAAGCUCAAGCUUGGAUUGAAAUUAAUUCGAGCCAAUUCGAGCCGAGCUCGAGCGAGCCUAAUUUCGAGUCGAGCGAGCUCGAGCCCUAAACGAGCCGCUUGAAAUUCUCAACAUCAUAUGAUCAAUAGUUUAAUUUGUAUAGAACAUUAUCUAUAAUUUGAUACAAAAAUAUGUCUAAUAGUUCAAAAUACAAAAUAAUUAUAUAAAAUAUAGUAUUAUAAUAUGAAGAAAAAAAAUUUAUGAGUUGAAUAUCUAAUCUUUUUAGCCUCACAUGUCUUUUCUUCCGCCUUCAAUCUCCAUAUUAUUCAUUUUUAUUUAUGCAGUCAAAAAUAAAUAAAUUAUAUAGAUAAAUAUUGGAUUAAACUAUCCAAUCAUAUAUAACUAAAAUUAAAAUUUUAUAUGAAUAAUAAUUUUUUACUUUAAAAAUAUUCUGUAUAUUUUCUCAAGUAUACAAUUAAUAGCAAGAUAGACAACGGCAGCCAUAUGCUGCUACUUGGUAACUUGGAGGGUUUCCGGCUUGGCCAAAUAGGGUGAGAGACAGAAAAAGAGAAAGAGAGAAACACAUUGAAAAUUUAAAGCUCUGUGAAAGAAAGAAAGAAAGAAAAAAUGUAUAAAUUUAGUAAAAUUUUGCUCUUUUAUUUGUUUACUAUUGAGUUUGUUUUUAUGGGCCAACAAUAUUGGCCCAAUUUUAACUAAAUUAAGAUUAUUCACUCAGCCUAUAUAUAACUAAAAUAUAUGAUAUUUAUAUAUUUUUUAAUAUAUAUAUAAGUUAGAACUACUAUGUUAUCGAAAAUAUAGAGGAUUUGAUGUUUUCGAAUUUUUGACCCUUUGAAUAAGAAUUGUAUGGUUGGGAUGAUUGCGGUCCCCGCUAGGAUUAAAUAAUAUCCCUAGAAUUGAGUGGUCCCUACAAGAUAAUAAUAGUAUUAAUUCAAAGAAAUGAUUAGUUGAUCUAAAAAUCAAAAAAGCAAAAGCACCAGAUCCUCUAUACUUUAUGUUAUCGAAAAUAUAGAGGAUUUGAUGUUUUCGAAUUUUUGACCCUUUAAUUAAGAAUUGUAUGGUUAGGAUGAUUGCGGUCCCCCCUAGAAUUAAAUAAUAUCCUUAGAAUUGAGUGGUCUCUACAAAAUAAUAAUAGUAUUAAUUCAAAAAAAUGAUUAGUUGAUCUAAAAAUUAAAAAAUCGAAAGCAUCAGUUCCUCUAUACUUUUGAUAGCAUAUAUAUAUAUAUAUAUAUAUAUAUAUAUAU